rnacentral:lncRNA from 1 species
UUAAAGGCAAUGGGAUUCCAACCUGUUGGUUGUCUCUCCCAGUAGGCCUACCUCUUCCUCCUCUCCCAACCCUAUUCCCUUUUACUCCUUGAGCAGUAGCCCUACUAAAAGAACCUGGAUCCUGGUUUCCAUAAGGAGGCUGUGAACCACUACUAGAACUUUGGCCACCAGCAGCACGACCAGACAUAGCACCUUUCUGACCUCUUCCUUUCCCUCCCUGAAUGUCAAUGUCCUCUCUCCAAGAAUGCUGAUCCCGCAUAGGGGUGCUAUCAUCUAUAUAUCUUUCCUUUAAAUCAUCACCAGCCUGGCCAGACCCAUAUACAUCAGUCCUUCUUGCCCUGUCCUCCCGCAUAUAUGCCCACUCCUCAGCAUUUGGUGCUGAUUUCAUGUCAGAUGUAGGACCACCUUCAGUUCUCCUGCCAAAGUUGGAUCCCAUGUCAGCUCUUCCAUAAUCAAGAGGCUUGGUUUGAAUCUCUAUCACAUCAUAAUUCUCACUAGCAAUUCCAAAAUUUGAUGACGUUUUCACAGCUUCACCCCUGCUCCCAUCUUUCCUGUUUCCAGAACGCCCAUCAGUCCUAUCCCGAGCAUGUCUUGGUAACUCCCAGUCUCUUCCAUGAUCAUACACAACAUCCCCUUCUUUUGUCUCUUUAUCGUUACUGCUGGGUUGCCUUCUUUUCCAACUCUCUUUGGAACCUUCUCGAUCCCUGUUCCUGUCACCCCAGCUAUCCUCCCUGCCUUUUGACCUAUCAUCCCUGUAACCAUCCUUUUCCAGUUCCUUCCGUUUGAGGCCAACACUUCUUUCAUAGUCAGUCUCAUAGUUCUCUGAUCCUUGAUGUCGUCUCCCACUCCUCUCAGGUGUUCUUGACCUGUUAGAGUGCCCAACUUCUCUCCCACUUUUGUCUCUCAUCCAUACACUUCCAUCCUCAUCAGUAUUGAAAGACCUUUCCCGGUUUUCAGCAACAUCGCGACCAGUGGGAGUCCGCUGCUGUCUGUGCUUCUCAUUUUUCUCCCUGCCAGAUCGAUCUUCACGAGCCAGAGGACUUGCUUUAUUAUCUUCUUCAGGAGCUUCUGCCCUGUUUUUGCACUUACUCCUCUCAGCAUCAUUUCUUCUCUCUUCCUUGUUGCUAGAUUUGACACCCUUGUCGCUAUUUGAAUCUAUGCCUCUGUUUUUACUCUCAGUGGGUUCAGUUCUUGCAGACGCAUUUCUCUCUUUAGCACCCUCAUUCUUGGGAUCAGAAGCCUUCCCACUUCUCAAAUCAGCUUUUUCAUAAUUACUUUCUUCCCCUUUCACAACAGAAUCUGCAUCAUCCCAUCUUCUCCUUGGGUUUCUCACCUGAUCAGAAGAUCCAUGGCCUUUCUCUCGGUUGGUUUCUUUCCUGUCUGAAUGCCUGGAAUCUCUCUCCAUUACUUUUUCAAGCUCUCCAUCACGAGAUUUUUCUUCUUUGCUUUUACUUCUCUGGGAACCCUCAUGGUCAGCAAACUUUGAGGCCAUUUUCCUUCUCUCACCUUCAUCAGCUCGACCAUGCCCUCUACUUCCUGCCUUAUCUCCACCAUCUUGCUUGUUCUCCAAUUCUCCAUCUUGGUACCAACUGCUCAACUUUUCUAAAGCACUUUCCUCUUGUUUUUUCUUCAUCUGCUUAGAACGGGAGUCCUUUUUUAUUUCAUGAUCAUCUUCAUCACUUCCAGCUCUAGAGCCACCUGACCUUUUUCGGCUUUCAUUUCUUUCGCCAGAAGUUCUCCUUCUUCCACCUCCUGAUCCUUCAGUUUCUUCUCCAUUGCUAGGCUUUUUUGACUUACUUGAUCUGUGCUUCCUCUUAUCGCUAUCCUCCCAUUCUUCAUCAUCCCGGGCUCUUUCACUUUUCACAUCUGAAUUAUCCUCUGUGUCACGUUUCCCAUAGCUCCUACGUUCAGGUGAAUCCAUUCAAGCAAAGACCUCAAUGAAUUGUUUCCUCUUUAGUCCCAGGACAGACUAAUAUGCAUGACAAAAGUACAAAAAAAUCAUCCUGCAAAUGGUGAAGGAAAAAUGAGAAAAUGAAACUAAGAGCAAAAUUAUUUAUUGCUCCUGCCACGUUUGUUUUGCCAGAAAAUUUCUCCAAAACAAGUAGAGGAAAUAUUCAUUUGUAAAGAGUUUUUCCUUCAAGGAAAUAGAAGAUACAAGUUAAAUUUCACUCCAGCUUCAUGAUAAACUAACCAUAGAGACAAAAGGAAUUUUAAGAGAAAUAAAAUUUUAGGCAGAAUUAUUUUUUCUGAAAUCUUCUGUAUGAAAGGAGCCCAGACAACCGAAUAACUAGCUUAGUAGUCACAAAUAGAGUCUUAUGGAGUUUAGUUGAGUUCUAGAACCAAGCCUUUGCUAAUGGCAUCUUUUGUAGUCCCUUCCUUGACUUCACAUAGCUAAAUGAUACCCACUUUUCAAAAUGAAAAAGAAAAAAAAUUCGAAUCUGACAAAUUACAAUUCGUGGAUCUGAAUCCAAAUCCAAAGAAAGCUCAAAAAACCCACUGACCUUAGUAGAGCAGGGUUCAAUAUUGCAUAAUAAUACACCAACUAAUGAGAAGCCCACAUUCAAAAUUUUGAUUUAUUUCCUUUUUGUCUGUCCCUUUUUCUCACCGACCAAAACACCAUAACCAUACCCCCUCAAUUUCUUUUUCCUUCAUUUUCUUCCCAUGCAUCAGCAAACAAAGGGUACCCACCUUUCCACAUGAAAAAAAAAACCUCAAACCUGAGAAAACUGUAAUUUGCAAAUCCAAAUAAAGCUUCAAAAACCCACUAACCCUCUAUCACAGCAAAGUUCAAUAUCACAUAUAUAGUACAUAAAAAAUAAUAAUAACAAAGUGCUUCCUAUUGCCUUCAUUAACAGCUCAAAAGAAUCCCUGAGUCAAAAGAUUGAUUUAUAUUCUUUUCCACCCUUUUUCAACUAGCCAAACAUACCAUAUCAUAAUAAUUCAAAUUUCUAUUUUUCCUCCUUUUUCUUUCCUUCCGUUCUGUUUCUCAGCAUCGAAAGGCAUCCAUUUUCCCAUAGGGGGCAAAAAUCAAAGGUAACGAACCAUAAUUUUCCAAAUCCCAAUUCAGUCCAUAGAAGACCCAAAACCCACACUUUCCAAGUAAUUACUUAACACAUUGUUAAGUCAACCAACUCAAUUCUCUCUUCGGUUGGAAAAUCAAGAAAAUACAAAGGCUCGGAAUCUUCGGCUUCCUACUGCUAAAUUCCCAAGAAAAAUUGUUUAUGUCUCUUCCUCCCAUUUCACACCAAUCAAAAACAACAUAAAUGCACUAUUACAAUUUUCCUUUCCUUUCCUUUCCUUCCCAUGCCCUUCACUUUCUCAGCACCCAAACGCUACCCACAUUUUCAGAGCAAAAAAGAAAAAGAAAAAGAAAAUUUCAAACCUAACAACUAUAAUUGAAAUCGAGUUAAAGCUUUAAAAGAAACACCCAUACCUAAAAGAACAAAGUUUAAUAUCAAAAAAAAAAACAUGUAUUGUAAACAAAUGUUCUGUGAAAAGGGGAUUUACGGUUAGGGUUGAAGGUUACCUGAUGUUGGUGAUCCAACGUCAAUUCUCCCCGCCGGAAACCUAAUGGGUUCGUAGAGAGGAAAAGUAGAGGGAGUCUUUGGGAGAAAGGGUGGAGAGCAUUUCAGAGUGAGUUGUGCUUGGAAAAGGUGGGAACCCUAGAAGCCCUCUGACUAGGCUUGGGGAAUUCCAGGUCAAUAGAUUUUAGCAAAGACGUAAUUUUGGCUCAUUUUUUGUCCUAUUUACUAUUUAAUAAUUAAUAAUAUAUAUAUAUUUCUUUUUUCUUUUUUUUUUUAAAUUGAAAAAUGAUAAUAAUUUUUAUAUAAGAUAUAAGAACGAUUUAAAAAUUACAACGGGAAAGUAAUGAUUUAAAAACUAUCUAAAAUUUUUAGGUAUAAAAAAAAAUAUAUAUCUUGAAUUUAAAUUUUUUUUAAAAGUUAUAAGACAAAUUUAUAAUUUUUUAAAGAUAUAACACAAAUCUAUAUUUUUUGUGCAAAAUAUUCUAUUUAUAUAAAAAAACUUAAUUUUAAAAAUAUGAAACAAAAAGUUUAUUCAAUUGAAGACUUAAGCUUUAUUCGAAGACUAUUUUUUAAAACCGUCUUUAAAAUCCAUUCUCUAAUAUUUUAUAAAGCAAAUAAGAACAAAAAAAAAUGUUUUUUAAAAAUACUAUCGUAGAAAAUAGAAAAUAAUUUUUUUAUUACCAAAAGUAUUUUUCUAUUUUUUCUACAAUGAUUUUUUUAUUAUUAUUAUUACCAUUGCUUCCACUACUUUUGAUGCUUAUAUGCUCAUUAUUGAACUUUCUUUUCUACAAAGCUUUUUUUGUCCUAAUUUUUCCGUUUUACAUAGCAUUCCCUCGUAUGUUUCCCCAUUUGUAUGUUGGGGAAAGUACUCUCGAUGUAGGCUUUCCUAAAUCAAAUGAGGAAUAUAAUUUUAUCUUAUGAUGAAGGGUUCAUUUUGCAUUACUCCUGUUUCCAUGCGGAUUUGAGAAUUUCUUUUGAGCUUGUUUCUUCCUAAUUCCACCCAAAACUCUAUUAGGGUUCCAAUUGAAGUUUAGGCUCUGUUUGGCGAAUGUUUUCAAUAAUAGUUUUCUAUUUUAUAUAACAAAAAAAAAAAUUCUGAAAAACAUAUUUAACAAUUAUAAAUUAUUUUCUAUUUUUAAAAACAGAAAAUAUAGGUCUUUUUUGGAACUAUUUUCAAUAACAAUUUUUUGUUUUUUAAAACAAAAAAACUGAAAAACACCUUCGAUAGUUAUAAACUAUUUUCUAUUUUCUGUUAUUAGAAAACAGAAAACAUUGGCCUUGUUUGAUAACUGUUUUUUAAAACAAUUUUGAAAAAAUAGAUUUUAAGAAUAGUUUUCAAAAGUUGUUAUAUGAUGUUUAGUAGAAUAAAAGUUUAUUUAAGAACCUAAAAUUGUUUUUAACAUGUUUUUAAUAUUUUUAAAUAUAUUUUUAAAAUAAUUUUUAUGUUUGUAACUUUAUUUUUAAUUAUUAUAUAUGUUUGUAUAAUUAUUAUUUAAAACAACUCUAAAAAAAUAAUUGAAAACAACUAAAAUAAGUUAUGAGCUAAAGGUGUCCAAUGGGUCGUGCCAGCUGGCACGACUGGAUAUUGACCGGGCCUUUACGAGCCAACGUGCUGGGCUAGCACGACCCACUUAAAAAUCUUGUCGGAUUGGGCCGGGCUAGCCCAUGCAAGGUAAAUAGGUGGCCCCGCACGACCCAUAAGUCCACAAGCUAAUCAUGCCGGCGAGUCAUGGCCUAUGGGCCACCCACUUUGUUAAAAAAUUUAAUUUAAUUUUUUAAGUAAUUUUUUCUUAAGUUUUUUUCAAUAUUAAAUAAAAUUUCUUUUUUGUCACUUUAAACACCUCUAAUAAUUAUAUUUUUUAUUUUUUAUUUUUUAUACACCUCUAAUAAUUAUAUUUUUUAUUUUUUACAUUAAUAUUUAUCGAGUUUGUAAUCAUAAAAUUUAUAAAAAUGUUAGUUUUUUGUUUUUAAAUAUAGUAAAAAAAUUAUAUUUUAAUUUGUUUAUUUUUUAUCAAAAUAAAAAUAAAUUUAAAAUAAUGAAAUAUAAAAAUAAAAUCUUUUAUUCAAUAUUUUAACAAAUUACAUGAAAAAAUAAGGAGAAAAAAAAAAAAGAGAAUUACAUCACUAUAGUUUGAGUACAUCCCAACUAGGUUGGCACCCACCCAACUAUCAACCAUAUGUAUUACUCAACCUUUAACAAUUAGCUACAUUUAAUAGAUUUAAAAGAAACGAACAACAUAUCAGUCUUUAAUUAUCAUAUUCACUUUUGUCUUCUUAUUUAAUCUUCAUUCUUCUUUUUUCAUCUUUAAUCAUCAUCAAUUGAACAUCAUUGUAUGCAUUGAGAAGCAAUUUCUUAAAGGCUUCUUUAAGUUCAUCCCCUAAAGUUUAAAGUCCCAUACGUCCAUCUUUCCAAUCCUUCAAACAUGUCAAAGCUAGCCAUUAUAUAGUUGUUGAGAGGGGUAUUAUAGACAUUUGAUAUGUAAUAAAAAGUAAAAAGUGAAAUUUAAAAGGGUCAAGUGGGCCAACACGAUGGGCCGCACGGGCUGUUUCUUUAGGCCUAGCAUGACCCACUCUUUUUGGGUCAUGUCGGGCCACGGGCCAAAAUGCUAGCUCGGCCCAAUGGACACGUCUUUAGUUCUGAAAACACCUUGUUUUUUGUUUUCAAAUAAUAGAAAACAUAAAAAGAAACAAAAAACCAUUUGCGGGUUAAGCCUUAGAUCAUUCGAUCAUGAUUUCCUCUUCUAUACGUGGGCACAUUUGAGGGCCUUCAGAGCCUUUUUAGUUACAGUUCGGAUCCAACACUCCAUCUUUUGAUGUCCAAUAGAUAGUGCUCAAAUAUCAGUGCGAGCUUGAGUUUCAGUUGGACCACUCUUCUGUUAACUUGUUCAUUCUAGUUUAGUCUAGCAUCUCUUCUAUACUUUUCUUGCGCCGUGCAUUACUCGUUUCCCCAUGCUUUAUAGGAUUUGCUCUUCGUCUCAGUUUGAGUUUGCCAUUUUAAGUCAGAAUUGAUGAUAAGUCGUUUUGCAUCAUUGAUCAGACAGAUAUGGAUCCGUUGGCUGUCACGGUUGAUCAGUUCACAGCCACUAUGGCUUCUAUUUAGGAGGUCAUAGAUAGUCUCAAUCAAAAGCCCGACAGUCAGCAGGGUAUACACCCAUCCCCACCUCCCAGACUAUUAGUGCCACAAACCUCGUCUUUCAUGCUACAUGGUUAAUUUGAGGUUGCUCCACCCAUUAUAGUACAGAUCACAAUCCUUGAGGAUACUCACGUAUGCAUGGAUCGUAUUGAGCAGUAUAUCAGGCAGUUGAGGGUAUCUGAUGAUUCAACAGCUUAGGAUAAUCUUGAGGGUCAUUAGGGGAUUGAUUAGAGAUCCUAGAGGGAAGUUCAGACCUAAUUGGAGCGGACCUUAUUUCAUUAGGGAGCUGAUCCUAGAGGGUGUUGCAUGGUUGAUGGAUCUAGAUGGAAACCGAUACUUGAAGCCAACUAACGUAGAUCAGUCGAAGAAGUAUUAUGUUUGAGACCAUGGUCGCAGGAUGGGUAGCCAUCAUUUUGGUUAGUCAUAUACCUUGUUAUCCCCCUUUUGACAUGCAAACUAUUGCUAGCCCAUUGAGCCUCGCAUGUGUAUCAGAUUCUUUCUUUCUUAUUGCCUUGCUUAUAUUUCUACACUGGGCGGCCCUUUGGUGUAUGCAUGCUUCAUUUAGGAGUUUCAUGAUCCUUGGGCCUACGGGUGCAUCUUUCUCUCAUUAUUUUUCCUACCAUACCAUUACACUAUUGCAUUCCAUCGUAUCUCAUUGGUUGUGUACUUCAUCUCUUCUUCUUUAUUCUAUCUACUACUUGUUUUGCUUUAUAUUCUCUUCACCCUGAGUGGUGAUCCUCCUCAGUUCAUUACAUGGAAGAUAGUCACAUCAUUUUCACUAUCUAUCUCACGAACACUGAUUUAGAAACCCUUAGUUUAAGAAGGUCAUCUCGUUAGAGAGAGUUUUUGUUACUUUAGCACUUGAGAGUGUGUCUAUCCAUUAUUGAUAUCAUCUUUGAGGUUCAUUUGUUUAUGUUCAGGGUAUGUGCAUUUGUAUAUAUGUAAAAAAAAAAAAAAAAAAAAAAAAAAAAAAAAAAAAAAAAAAAAAAAAAAAAAAAAACCCUGAAAAAAAAAAAAAAAAAAAAAACACAUGGGGGGAUGUCCAAAGAAUUCCCCAUCAUUAAUCAUGUAUAUUGAUAUCGGAGGGUCUUUUUAUUGAGUAUGUUUGUUGUUGAAAUUUCCCAUGUGACCUUUCUAAAACCCAAUUUUAUUUGUAUUCAUUUUGCCAAAUUUCUUUGAAAGGGAAAUGAGUGACCUUUUUCCUAGGGACUCUAAGUCAUUGUCCUUUUCAUCAUCACAUUCAUUAUUGAUGUGACUUCCCCCCAUGUUUGACUUGAGUUGACCAUCAUUUUUCUUCGAAUAUUCAUUGUUUCACUAUCAUCCUUGUCAUUGCUUGUGAUUCAUCCCAUUCCCUUCCCCCCCUNNNNNNNNNNNNNNNNNNNNNNNNNNNNNNNNNNNNNNNNNNNNNNNNNNNNNNNNNNNNNNNNNNNNNNNNNNNNNNNNNNNNNNNNNNNNNNNNNNNNGGGGGGGACUUCAUUUUUUUUUUUUUAUUUUAUUAAAAACUUGUUUUGCUUUAAAUUUUUUCCCCCCCGAGGGGGGGUCCCCCCCAGUUCUUUCCAGGGAAAAAAGUCCCAUCUUUUUCCCUUUUUUUUUCCCGAAAACUGAUUUAAAAACCCUUUUUUUAAAAAGGUCUUUUUUUUAAAAAAAGUUUUUUUUUUUUUAGCCCUUGGGGGGGGGUUUUUCCCUUUUUGAUUUCUUUUUUGGGGUUUUUUUUUUUUUUUUCGGGGUAUGGGCAUUUUUUUUUUUGUAAAAAAAAAAAAAAAAAAAAAAAAAAAAAAAAAAAAAAAAAAAAAAAAAAAAAAAAAACCUGAAAAAAAAAAAGAAAAAAAAAACACAUGUGUGGAUGUCCAUAGUAUUCUCCAUCAUUAAUCAUGUAUAUUGAUAUCUGAGGGUCAUUUUAUUGAGUAUGUUUGUUGUUGAGAGUUCGCAUGUGAGCUUUCUGAGAUCCUAUUUUAUUUGUAUUCAUUUUGUCAUAUUUCUUUGAGAGUGAGAUGAGUGACCUUUUUCCUAGGGACUCUAAGUCAUUGUCCUUUUCAUCAUCACAUUCAUUAUUGAUGUGACUUCACUCCAUGUUUGACUUGAGUUGAUCAUCAUUUUUCUUCGUAUAUUCAUUGUUUCACUAUCAUCCUUGUCAUUGCUUGUGAUUCAUCCCAUUCGCUUCACCCCCUUGUUAUUUUCAUACACUGACCUAUUCCAGGUUUGAUAUUCCCUUUCAUCAUUCUUGCGUAUCUCAUUAUCAGUUUGAUUUGCUUCAUCAUCUCAUUAUUGAUAUUAUAUUCACAUUGGGCACCCUCAGGUCCAUGGUUCACAAGCUUUUCUAUACAUGUUGCAUUUUAUACAUGAGGGCAUGAGUUUUUUAUCAUUGGGUAUUUGGGCCUAGUUUCCCUUCAUUUCUAUUACCUUAUCACCCUGGCCUACGUUAUGUCCCGUGUCUUAAGACCACUCUGAGGCUAUGGGAUCAGAUGUCGUCUUAAACAGCCCCUACUUAUAUAGGUAUUCAAGAUUUGGUUGAUAUUUAGAUGUCAUCAUGUUUCUUCUUCUAAGAGACACCUCUUUGAUGUUUGAACUUGAUUCAGUUGUGGAUAUGGAUGACUGGGAUUGCACAUUUGAUGAUAGAUGAUCCGAUGUUGUCCAAUUUUUUUAUCUAUCAUACAUCUGAUGCCAUACUAGGGCAUAUUUCUGUUUUGGUUGAGAUUUGUAGAUUUCCAUUGAUUUGCAUGAUCAUUCCCACUCACAAGAUACACGUUGAGACGAUGACCUAUUUGUCACCUUAUCAUGAUCUCCCAGGAGAGCCUCUCUUGAGCCAUUCAGUUAGACCCACACUUUUCGGCAUUUGGAUGUCAUGAUGCUUCUCCUUCUAAGAUACGCCUUCUUGAUCUGUUGGGCUAGAUUUAGUUGUGGAUAUAGAUGACUGAGAUUGCACAUUUGAUGAUGGAUGAUCCGAUAGUCUGAUUUUUCAAUCUACCAUACAUUUGAUGUCAUAUUGGGGCAUAUUUCCCUUUUGGUUGAGAUUUAUAGAUCUUCAUGGAGUUGCAUGAUCAUCUCCACUUACAAGAUACACACCAAGACGAUGACUUGUUUGUUAUAUUAUCAUGAUCCCUUAGUGGAGCCUCUCUUGGGCCAUUCAGUCAGGCCCACACUUUUGAUAUUUAGAUGUCCUCGUGCUUCUUCUUUUGAGAGACGCCUUUUGAUAUGUGGGUUCGAUUCAACUGUGGAUUUAGAUGACUGGGAUCACACUUUUGAUGAUGGAUGAUUUGAGGUUGUCUAAUUUUUCGAUCUACCAUACAUCUGAUGCCAUACUGGGGCAUAUUUUCCUUUCGGUUGAGAUUUGUAUAUCUUCAUGGAGUCACAUGAUCCUCAUCACUCACGAGAUGCAUGUCGAGUUGAUAGCCUAUUGUUAUCUUAUCAUGAUCCCCUAAUGGAAUCUUUCUUGGGCCAUUUAGUUAGGCUCACACAUUUCGACAUUUAGAUAUCAUCAUGUUUCUUCUUCUGGGAGACGCUUCUUUGAUCUAUGGAUCUGAUUCAAUUGUGGACAUGGAUGAUUAAGAUUACACACUUGGUGAUGGAUGAUUUGGUGCCAUCUAAUUUUUUUACCUACCACACAGCUGAUGUCAUACUAGGGCAUAUUUCCGUUCUGGUUGAGAUUUGUAGAUCUCCAUUGAUUUGCAUGAUCAUCCUUAGUUAUGAGAUACACACCGAGUUGAUGAUUUGCUUUCAUUUUGUCCUGAUUCUUCAAUGGAGCCUUUCUUGAGUCAUUCAGUCAGGCUCGUGCUUUCUGAUAUUGUUGUGAUUCUUGGACAGAGUUAUCCCAGGUAUCAUCAUUUCAGUGGAGCACAUGUCAGAUCUCUUAUACAUCCCCAUAGAGUUAUCAAGAUAGACUAGAUGCACUAGUUUCUAUACUUGGGAAUAUUUCCCUCUUUUAGUUGUGGAGAUGAUUGUUUUCUCAUAGACUUGUUAUAGUCUUCAUUACCCGAGCGAGGGAUAUUUGUUUGCAUUACUAGUCACUCUUUCAGUGAUUUUUGUCGAGAUGAGCCUUCAACAGAGCAUGACAUUCGGGUUUUGAUUGUCCCAUUAUCUAUGACCCCACAGUGGAUUGUUGUGUUAAGGUCGAGGUAUUUGCCCUAGCAGACUAUUCUCUUGAGAGCCCCAUUGGAUCAUUCAUUUGAGAUGACGAUGGAUUCCUCCAGCAGAGCAUUUUGAGUUAGAAACGUUCGACCUAUUCUAGCACUUUGUUAGACUCGCGAUUUAGUCCGAUGGGCUAUGAGGCCAUAUUUAUAGUCAAUUUGACCAUUCCGACUUGCUAGCAGAGCAUCUUUUGAGACUCAUAAAGUCUCUUUCAGACUCUUUUAGUAGAUUGAGAGUUAUGGCGACAUGCUACAUUGGGGCAUAUUUUCAACCUCAUCAUUUUCUUGCAGCUCGAUGUUCAAAGCCGCCAUCUAUUCUCAGUUACGACGUUCAGAGUCGUCCUUUUCAAUUUGGGCGUUUAAAGCCACCAUUUCUUCUCAGUGUCGGCGUUCAAAGCCACCAUCUCUUCUUAGUUUCGGCGUUCAAAGCCACUAUCUCUUCUCAGUUUAGGCGUUCAAAGCCACCAUCUCUAUUCCACUUUAGGUGUUCAGAGCCACCAUUAUCUUCUUAGUUUAGGCGUUCAAAGCCACCAUCCCUCUUCUCUUUGAUGUUCAGAGCCUAUGACUCUGAACGUCGUAACUAAGAAGAUAUGGCGGCUUUGAACACCAUAACUAAGAAAUGAUGGUGGUUCUGAACACCAAACUGUGAAAGACGACUCUAAAUGUCGUAAUUGACAAGAUAUGGUGGCUCUAAACGUCGUAACCAAAAGAUGGUGGCUAUGAACGUCAAGCUAAGAAGAUAUAGUAGCUUUGAACACCGAAACUGAGAAGAAACAAAAAAAACUAUUCUUGAAAACAAUUGUCAAACAUGACCUAGUAUUUUUAUAGAAUAUUUUUAAAUUAUUUUCACUUGUUUUUUGAAAGCUGUUUUAAAAAAUAAUUAUACAAAUAUAUAUAUAAUGAUUAAAAAUGAAGUUGUAUACAUAAAAUUUAUUUUUAAAACAUAUUUAAAAAUAUUAAAAACAAGUUAAAAACAAUUUAAGUUUUCAAACAGACUUUUGUUCUACAAAACACCAUAGAACAAUUUUAAAAAAUUAUUUUUCAAACUGUUUUAAAAAAUAGUUACCAAAUAAGGCCAUAGUGUUUUCAGAUAACAUUUUUUUAAUUAUUUUCAAUUAUUUUCACUUGUUUUUUUUUAGAGUUGUUUUAAAAAAACAAUUAUACAAACAUAUAUAAUAAUUACAAAUAAAGCUAUUGACAUAAAAAUUAUUUUUAAAACAUACCUUUUCUUUAAUUCUACAUGUCAUAUUUCCUGUUUGAGCACUAGUAACUUGUUGAUUUUGUUUCCAUAGAUGAUAAGGUCGUUUACUUUUCAUCAUCCUCCUUUCCUGCCUCCCAGAAGACAUAAAAUGUUGGCAAGCGCACUACAAAAUCGAGGUAUGAGUAGAAGUAGAUGUCCUUCAUUGUUGAUGGGGAUGAUAUGUUGAUUAAUGUGUCGGUUUGAGUUUAAGAGCAUGUUUGGUAGUAUUUUUAGUGGAAGUGUUUUUUAUUAAAAGUGUUUUUUUUAUAUUAUUUUACAUUUGAUAGUGAUUUAAUAAAUGUUUUUAGUUUUUCUAAUAUAUAUAUAUAUAUAUAUAUAUUUUAAGUAAAACCACUUUUUAAAAGCAUUGCCCCGAAAUUAGCUGUUGAGAGUCCUAUAAAUUUUCCUUUAACCACUCCAAUAAUACAUUUAUUAACGAUUGAGCUUCAUAUUAUAUUUAAUCAAAUUUAUUGAAAGCGGAAAAUUAAUUGAGGAAGACCCAACCAAAAUAAUCAAUCAUAUUAGAAAGACACGACAUGAUAACCUUCUUUAACUUCUGGCUGAGAUACGAAAUCGGUAGCCAUCGCUCAAGGACCUUUUAUACAUACUCCACAUCCCAUAUAGGAAAAUAUUAAACUAAAUCCCAUAUCUCUAAAACCUAGGAAAAUCCGAACACCCACAGACAUUGACCCACAUUAAUUAAAAUUUUUAAAAAUAAAACACACAGUCAAACCCCUAAACCUCCAUUAGAAACUCCUUAUCCUUCUCCAACUUCUCCAUUGCACCAGCCUCCAACGAUAUCUCCAUGUCAAUGCUUCCUACCCCGGUCUUCCCCUGAUACAGAUACACCAUUCCGUCAAAUCUGUUGUUCGAUCCACUUCGCACCCUCUCCGGCUUCCCAAACCCAAAGUCCACGUCGUACACCUUGAACCUCGGCGAGCUUCCCACCGCAACGCAGUUCACUCCGGCGUCUUUGAACUGGAAUAUUAUUGGGUUGCUCUCCCAAUCAUCGUUGCGUUUGUUGAUGACUUUCGCGUCGUGCGUUACUAUCGCUUUUUGAAUCAUCGCCGCGGCGAACUCCGGCGGGUUUGCGUAGAGGAGUCCGGCGGCGGUGACGGUGAAAAUGGCUUGAAUCAGGUUGCCGAAGUAGGACUCCGGCAUGGGAGGGUCGACCCUCUUGCGGCAGUCGGCGAAGACGGUGUAGACAGUGACGUCCUCGGGUUUGAGUUGGCGAGCGCGUGUCACCGCCAGCCACACGUGCGUGGAGAGCGAUUGGAAGGUGGAGAAGGGUUUGGAGCCGUCGGAUGGGGUUUUGUUGAGCGUGGACUUGAUCUGGUUGAUUUGAGAUUCCGAGAAUCGGAAGAUACGCUCACGGAGAAGCGGCGGUGGCCCCGCCGUGCCGUUCGGAGGGGCGGCUGCGGGGUUGAGAGGGAGGUCGAGCUUCACGCGCGUUUUGCGCGCUUUGGUGCGCUCGAGGAACGGUGGGACGGAGACGGAGUCGGCUCCGUUGCAGAUCUCGGCCCACGAGGUCAUGAAGUGCCACGUGGAGGUACCGUCGAGGAUCGCGUGGUUGAAAGCGCAUCCCAGUGCGAGUCCAUCUCUUAGCUUGGUGAACUGCGGAUCAUGACAGAAAAAUAAUUAGUUGGCUCACGGUAACAGACUCAAAAUUGGAGCCACGUGGAGGUUCAAGGGACGGUAACAGUGAGUAAUUGUCAUAAAUGCAUCUGUGGAUGCUUGCAUACUCGCGAAAGUAGUCUGUAGCUUCGGACUCGCUCUAGUAGACUGAAACCUGGAUUCUCCGUUUUCCAAUGCAAAAUGAAUGGCAGCUGGCACAUCUAAGUGUUUGAAACUUUUAUCUAGAGCAGUGCGUACGGGUAUUACCUAGAGCUGAACCUGCCUUUAUGACACUACCGUGGGCGCGAUACACCCAACCAUGCCUCCACCUUCAAAGCCUCAAAUUUUUACUUAUUUAUUUAUUUGUUUUAAAUUCAUUUAUUACCCAUUCUAUCAUAAUUAGAAAGAUAAAAAGAUAAUAAAAUAAAAUUAAAUUAAAAUGGGCUUUUAGGCCCACAACAAAGGCCCAAAAAAUUUCAUAAAUCAAAAAUACCCAUACCAUCAAUUUCUCAAAAAAGCAUAAGAAUAAAAUUAGGCAUGCCGUCCUUGUAUUAAUUGAAGUAGUUGAAUAACCUAGGAGGCUAGGACACGAAAUUUUCUUCUAGUCCAUGCUUUUCAACUAUUAGGAGAUCAUUCUUUUUGUACUAAAGAGGCAUAUAUGACUACUUUGAAUACAACAUUACGAGUAUGAAGUUUGGUAAGUGACAUGCCCCUACAAAGAUCCCAAAAAGGGAGAGUUCAUAAUAAAUAUUAAGAAUUUUAAAAUAAAAAUAAAAUAUUAUGUUCUUAAAUAUGCACAAAAUUAAACAAUUCCCAGCUUUAUCUUAACUAAUUUAUACCAUAUUAUAUAAAUAUUAUGCCAAAGGAUACGAUCUCUCCAUUCUCUGAUCAAAAACGUUUUCUAAAAUCAUUAUCAAACGUCAUUUUAAUCGAUAAUGUGAUAGAUAAUUUCUCGACUAUUAAUGAUAUAUUUGAUUUGGGAAAAAAAGAAAAAAAAAUACAAGGAAUAAUGUAAGUUUAUAUUUAGGAGAAAGAAGAAGAAGAAAUAAAUGUCCCUCUCCACAAAUGGAUCUACAUUUUGAUAUGAGACCUUGGUUUUAAGGUGGUGAAGUACAAUAAAUUCAUGGACAAUCAGCUUGGUAGGUGGGUAAAAUAAUGGGGAGAUGAUUACCUUCUUCUUAUCAUUUCUGUUUGGUUGGUGGGAUUUAGGAAACAUGACAAAAGAGAAAAUAAGUUAGAGCUGAUGCUAAUUUUUUUCAUUAAAUUUUCUCAUCAUACAAAGAGAGCAGAAAAUGAAAUUAAAUAAAUGAAUUUCAUUUGUAAUUUCCCAAAAAUUUUGUAUAUUAAUGUUUUAGUAAAUAAAAAUUUAAAUGACUUGAAGGCAAUGAAACAGUUCUGACAAUAAUACAUUGUCCUUCCCUAAAUAAACCCAACAAAUUUAAGGGCACCCCUAUAAUUUUAGGCCUGAUUUGGACCAAAAAGAGAAGAAAAAUAAAGAAAAAUUCAAUGCAAUAGAAUAGAAAAUAAAUAAAUUGUUACCUGUAGGACCAGGAGGGGUUUAUGAAGACCCUCAAAGUUCAAGACUUGGGUGUAUGGCACCAUAUCCUUCAUCAUGCUUGUGCACUCCACAUCUGUUAGAUCAGAGACACUGAUCUGAUCAGCACUUGCUUCCAACACUUCCACACCCUCCAUUUCAUCAUCAUACACAACCUUAAAGACCCCAUCUUCGUCCUUCUCAAGCUUCCCAGCCAACUGAUAAAACUCUUCCAAAACUACCCCUAACCCAUCCUUCAAUCUACCCACCAUGUCCUCAAAGUCAGACCCCUUGUAGAAUAGCAGCUUUUGGUUAUAGUAAAAGGCCAAAUAUGGGAGAUCAAAUGUGAUCAACUGACACUCUCUUCUCCCAAGCUUCUUAGUGGGCAUAAUGUGGGACUUUCCAUGGACAGACACCUUCACAACCUCAUCUUCCUCCUUCUUCACAACUUGAUCAGCUGCCAUGGUUGAUGAGAUGAAGAACCCUAAAAGCAAAGGAGAGAGAGUAGAGGUUUGGGGAGUGAAGAGAGAGGGAUUAAGGGAUAUACUUAUAGGGGAGUUUUCAUUUGAUAUGGUUGGAAGGUGCAUUUAUGGAAUGCAUGAGAGCAGUUGUAGGCCAUUUAAUGGCUCUUUUUUCUCCUCUGUUAGUCUGGGUGGAAGUUGAGUAAAGACGCUAUGGAAUGGCUGAGCACAGCUCCACUUUCUCUCUCUCAGAGCCUUUAAUGUAAUUUCACUAUCUUCUUUUUGAAAAGAAACAAAAUCUCAAUUAAGGCACCCUGGGCCAGUGGCUUUGACAAUCGUUACAAAGAAACAAGUUUUUGGGGGCACUUUCUAGCUAUAAAACUUUUUAGUAGACAAUAUUCUGCCCAAGAGAAAACCCAAAUCAUUCUUGAAUUUCAAGGCUCAAUUUGACCUAACCAUAACUCCCUGCAUUUAAAAGAUUGAUACGUGGUGGGAAAUACCCGUAAUAUCAUUUAUAAUGAUCUGUUUUCUAAAGCAUAGGUAUUAUCGACUUAAGAUAUAAGUUCAUACAUGUUGUUUUUAUGUAAAAUUUCUAAUAUGACUCGUAAGGAACUUUUUUUUUUGUUUUUAUAUUACCUUUUAAAAGUUAUGAUUUUGUCUUUAACUUCAACUUCUAAUAGUCAAAACUACGAAACUAACCAAACCAGAACUUAGAAAAAUAUCGAAAAUUUCUUUUCUUAAUAGACAUGAAAUCUUGUACCAAGGUUUCUAAAUUACCUUUAUGCCCCAAGUUUUUCCACAAUAAUUAGUCCUAGUCUCUUAGAAGAAGAAAUUUGAUUUUGAUAGGACUAUGUAUGCUUUUUCAAAAUUGGGGUUGAGUGAACCAUUGACAGGAACCUCAUGGACAUAGAAAAAGUUCCCAAAUGUGACCUUCAUCAAUCCAUUGCCAAAUGCAGACCUAAAAUUGAUGAACCCAUGAGGUUGUAAAAUUAAUAAGUUGUGAAAAGUGGUUGACAGUGUACACUUUCUUUGUUAAGAAUUUUUCAUUUUGGGAGUAGGGAAAACACAUGGAGAGAAGUAUUGAGUUGCAUGGGUAAAAGGGCCAUCCCCAACUUCAUUUGCAGCUAAUUUUCAUGGGCUUGAACCAAUUAAAAUUACUCAUCUUUAUGGUCAUGGGGGGCUGAGGGGUUGUUGAGGUUUAAAUGUGUCCCUUCCGACUCCUUCUCUGAAUGACUCAGUAUGCAACUUAGUGUGAACUACUUUAGAAUUCAUUUCUUGUCUUGGAAGAGGCUGUCAUGUGUGAUUCAUUUAUGCCACUUUGGAUCCUGUUUUAUUGGUUUUUAAAAGCUAGAAUGCUUUCAUUUCUUUUAAGAGAUUUUAUUUUGUGGGCAUUUGGGAUGGUUGUUAAUUUUUUUGGUCUGCAUUUGUAGUAGUAUGAUAAUCAAAAGUUAGAUAGUGUUUUUAUAUGUAUUAUGCUUGAGCGAUAAUGUCAAGUUACAUGAUCGGUAUAGUGAAAUUUAGACUAUUAUAUAAAGAUACAAACAAAUGAGAUUAGAGAGAGUGCACAUAUGACACUGUCUGAUUGAUGGUGUUUUCUCCAUAUUGUAUUGAAAAAACAAAAAUACGUUUUUUUUUUCGUAUCCGGCUUUAAAAAAGCAAAAAACAUGAACAUCUCUUAUUUUUCAAAAUAAAAUAAACCACAUAAAGAAGUAAGAAAAAAAAAAAAACCUAUCAUGAGAAGAUUUUACCCGUCUUAUUUAUUUAUUUUUUUAAGGUGUGUUACUUAAAACAUAGUUUUAAAAGGAUGAUCGUAAAAAUAUGAGUAGCAUUUUGAUAUUAUUAAUUUAAAAUAAAAAUUUUGGUUUAACUUCAAAUUUGACAUUAGGGUCAUUAAAAUAGAGGUAAAAUGUAGAUGUGAAAUUAAAAAUAUUUAUUUGAUAUUCCUAAUUAAUGAAAAUAGCAUUAUUUUCAAUUAAUGGUUCAUAUGAAAGGGUUCACUUCAAGGGACCUCCCACAUCUACCCCAUCAAUGCUAUUUAACAUUAAGAAGAUGGUGCCCUCUCUUUGGGUGGAUGGGUCAUGCACUCUAUAGGUAAUGGAAAAUGACUUGUUAUUCAUUGACAAUUUGACAUACAAGGCUACACCUACAUCUUGGAAUUUCAAUUUCUUCUUCAUUUCUUAUAAUGGAAUUUGAAUAUCAAAAUUUAUGGUGCAAAAAACAAUAAACAAAAUUGAAUUUGGGUCCUUAAAAUAAUAAAUAACUAAAUAAAUAGCUUUCUUGAUUGAGAAUUGACAUGUCAUGUGGGAUUUUUUUGGCCCUAUUGCUUCUUGCCAUUACUACAUGACUUUAGACUAUAGUUGCUUUUUGAAAAUAAAUUUAAAAAGGGGAUAUUAAUUAUGUAAUUUUUUUUCUCUUUGGUUAAAGAUGAAGGGUCUAUUUGGUAAUUAUUUUGAAAAAAUAGUUUUUGAGAACAAUUUUUGAAAACUAUUAUUUAAUUUUUGUAAAACAAAAGUUUGUUUAAAAACUUAAAUUUUUUUUAACUUAUUUAAUAUUUUAAAAUAUGUUUUAAAAAGAAAUUUUAUAUCUAAUUCUAUAUAUUUGUAAAAUUAUUUCUUAAAACAACCCUCAAAAAACAAGUAAAAAUAAUAUAAAACAAUUAAGAGAUGUUCUCUGAAAACAUUUUGUUUUCUAUUCUAAAGAUUACCAAACGUGUUUUCUCUAUUUUUUGUUUUGAAAAAUAGAAAAUUAUUCUAAUAAAUAUUUCUCAAACAAGUUCGAAAAUUCUCAAUUUUUUUUUAUAAAAAAAUCAUAAUGUCAUAAUAAUCACAUUGACAUUUAGUGGUAUGUUUUCAAGAAAUGGUUUUUAAAAAUCAAAUUUAGUAAUAUUUUGGGGUGUAAAGUAUUUAUUGCUUGUAGUUAAUGAACCAAUAAAUCACAAAAUAUAUGAUAUUGUUUGUUAAAAUUCUCAAAUUUAAUAUAGCUUUUUAAUUCAGUUUAUUUAUAUACUCUAUCAAACUGAUGAUCAUUUGUAUGCAUUUUCACUUUCUAUUUUUAAAUAGAAAACAUAAUGAUAACAUUUUUUUUUCUAACAUUAAUUUAUGCUUCAAAAAAGGCAUUAUUAUCAAGUUUUGUGUAGUGGGAUAAGGGAUAUUGUUGAGUAUUUAAACCAAAAAUAAGCACCAAAAAAAAAAAUCAAAUCUUUUUUGUUAAAAAAAUUAAAUUUUAUUUUUUAAAAUAAAAAUAUAAGGCCCGUUUAGCCAUGUUUUCUAAAAUUAUUUUUAAGUUAAUAACAAAAAACUGUUUUUAAAAAUAAGUUUUAAAAAAAAGGUCAAAUGGGCCAAUAUUUUCCUUUUGGUUUUUAAAAAGGGUGAAAAAUUUUCCUACUUACUCUCUAAAAAUUAUUAUCUAUUUCAUUUUAUUUUUAAAAUUUAUUUCCAAAAAAUAAUAACCAAUCAAUGUUAGAAAUUUUUAAAAACAACUUAAUAUUUUUUAAAACAAAAAAUUGUUUUUAAGUCACACCAUCAAAUCAGGCUCAUAGACUCAUGAAAAUUGUUGUUUGAAGUUUUGUAAAAAUAAAUAAAUAAAUAAAAGUUUGGAACUUGAAAUGUUUUUGUCUUAUUUUUUAUAUUUUUAAAUAUUUUUUUUUAAAAAAAUUAACUUUUAUAAACAAGUCAAAAACUACUAAAAAUGUUAUAAUAAACACCCUGUCUCCGAUUUUUUCUUUUCCUAAUUACCAAAUAUGUUUUCUUUUAUCUUUUUAUUCUCAGCAUCUAAUAAACCAACAUAGUGUUGAUAUUCUUUUGUCAAUAUUUUUUUUUUCCUAUUUUUUGUUAUGUUAUUGGUAACCGACUAUUUAUUAAGCACAUGGCUCCACUUGAAAUGACCUUAUUUGAAAAUUACACAUUAAUUAAUGGUAUCCAAACCUACUAAGAUUUUGACUUGCCAACAACUCAUUAACCAAAAACUCAAACUAUUUUCUAUGUACGUACUUUCUUUCAUGGAAUCCUUUUUCCUCGUUGCCCAUGGAUAGCAACCACUAUAUAUUGAAAAGGGAACGUCAGCUCAAUAUUGAUAGCAAUAGAUCACCAUGGAAAUUGCCUACCACUCUUCUAUUUCUCACAACCUUGUUUCUUCCAAAAUAAAACAAAAAAAAAAAAUGAUAAUUGCUUUCUAAUCUAUGAAAAAAAUUUGGAAUACUAAGGUAAUUUUUAAGUCUUGAAUCAUUUUACGGUAAUAUUUUAAUGAUUCUUUUUCUUGUUUAUAUAUAUUUUAUCUCAUAAAUUACUCGAAGUUUGGUUUUCGAGAUUGUUAAUAUGAACAAGGGAAAAAUAGGUUUUGAUUCACUAAUUUGAAAAAAUAUAGAAAAAUGAAUCUCGACUUUUAUAAAUUAGUUUUAUCUUCAUCCAUUUAAAAAUAUUUUAAAAUAUAUGCACUUUUCAUAAGUCAGACAAUUAUUUCCUAAAAUACCCUUUUACUUGAUAAUGUUAAAUAAAAUUAUCAAAAAAAUAUCAUUUUAAUUUGAUAAAAAUAUCUUAUAAAUAAAAGUAUAUGACAAUAAGUUUUAGUUGAAACAUACGUAUUUAUUUCAAACAUGUAUUUUCCUACUAAAAUCUUUACAAUGCGAACAAAUAUAGGUCAUAAGUCUAAAUAGAGAGGAUGCCCAAAACGUUCUCGUGUUAUGCUUGUACAUUUAAAUGUUUAUGAGAUUAUGAAAUAAUAAAAUUAGUAAUAAAAGUUUAGCUAACCUAUGGUUAUUUGAAGAUUGUAACCAAUUUUUUUAUAUGAAGUAGGUAAGUGAUGAGAGGUGGGUUUAAGCAAUAAAUGAAAAAAUUCAAUUACCUGAUAAAAACAAUACAUGUGAGCCAACUACUCGACAAGUUGAAAAGAAACAAUCUAUUAGUAUUAAAUGAGUUUAUAAGAUGAAGUACAAACUCGAUGGUAAAGAUAAUCAAUUUUAGACUAGAUUGAUGGCAAAAGGCCACAAAUAGUAGGUAUCUAUAAUUUUUAAGUUCUUAUACUAGUUGCCAAACUAAACAUCAUUAGCAUAAAAAAUUGAACUUGUAAUUAAGAAAAAGUGAAAACUUCACUAAAUGAAUGUUAAAUGAAGAAAAGUUUUUAUUAAACAAAAUAAGCAAGUUUACAAACUAGAAAAUGUAUUAUUUUAGUUAAAGUAAAUGUCACAUACUUGGUAUAGGCGGAAUGAGAUAUUUAUUUAUUGUAGCAAAGUUUUCGAAAGUGUUCUUCUAAUCAUACACUCUGCACAAAAGUUAAAUUCUUAUAGUGAUAUAAUUGUUAUAUACCUAUAUAACAUUAUUUGAUUUUUAUAGGAAAUCGUCAAGAGAUGAUUGAAGAUUUCAAAGGGAUGUUUGAAGAUUUCAAGGAGAUAACGAUCCAAUAAUUUAAGAUAAUAAAUUUGGUACUAAUGUCCUAUUUUCUUAAAAAUCGAGGCCCAAUAGGAUAAUGAUAUCUUUAUCUUACAGAACAAGUGUAUCAUACACAUUUUAGAAUGAUUUAUGAUCAUUAGUAAUAACUUGCACUCCUACUACAAACUGAUUAAAAAUAAAAAAUAACAAAAUAAAGGACAAAAUAAUUAAUAAAUUUCACAUAUUUCAAAAUCGUAGUAGGAACUCUUUACUAUUUUAUUUCUACUGGAUCGAAUAUGCUUUAAGAGUAGAAAUUACUAGUAGAUUAAUGAAAAGAAAUAUAUGUUACAUUUGUGAGCAGUAAGUUUAGCAAUGACACUUGUGAUCAUGAAAUUUUAUACUCCUAUUUGAGCAACUUCAUUUUGGUGUGCGACAAGGUUAAUAAUUAGAGCAACUUUGAAAUAUGUCGAGCAAUUUAGCUUUAUAGGAUACUUAGUAAGUUGAAAUAUCGACAAAAAGAUCCUAUAAAGAUUUUGUAUGAUAAUAAAUUUAUUAUUGCAUUGCCAAAAAAUUUGUUGUUUUAUGAUAAAGGCUAACACAUAUGCAUCAAGUUUGAUUACAUUAAAAAACUUGUGAAAUCAAGCUCGAGUUUUGUGGAACAAAUUACAGAUAUUUUUAUAAAACUACCAAUAUAGAACAUAUUUGAAAAAUUAAAGAUGACAUAAGAUGUAAUUAGCUUUAAAGUUCGGGUUAAGGAAAGUUAUUGAAAAAUUUUAAGAAUUAUUAUUUAUUUAGGUUUUUAAUAAUUCAUAUAUAAUCAAUUUAUUAUAUAUAUAUAUAUAUAUUGAAAUAAAUUGUGAAAUCCAAUAUAAAAAUUGGUGACAUUAUUUUUAAUAAUAAAAAUGAAAAAUAAAAUAAAUUAUUUUGAUGAGCAAGUGGGUGGACCCUGGUCCAUAAUCUCCUUCACCACAAGGGUUCUCCCUCUAUUAAUGGUCAUGAAACAUAAGUAUAAAUGCUCUUCUAGCUCAUCUAGCUGCUGGCUAAAGUUAGAGUCAUUCUCCUUCAGCUGGCGCGCCACUUCUCCACUGGCUUGCAGGUUAUCCUCUUUAUGCUCCAACCAAAACCUAACCAUUCCACUUAUAUGCUCCAGCUCAUUGUUUAGCCUGGCCACAAGCCGGCUUAUCAUGUCCAUAUCCUUGUUCAGUAUGUAAGUUCCUUUGGCAGCUGCGUCAAGCUGAGCCGACCGCCUGGCUAAUUUCCUAGUCGAGGCUAACUCAAAUGAAGCCGCUAUGAGACCUGGUGCAGCCACCAACAUUGCUAAGGCGUGAGUUGUGGCGAUUACAGCCACCGAAGCCGUUAGCGCGACAAGCAAAAUAGCUGAGCCGCAUUUUAUGCUUUUGACGAGCUGGAGCUUGGCUCGAGCCUUGUCACGUCCUAACUCUAACCGCUUGAGUAAGCCAGAGCAGCCGGUUUGGAUGACCCGAACCCGAGCCAAUAUUACUGGAAAGCGGUUUACGGGUAGUAACUCAGUGGCUCCAUGAGAUUCCAGGGUGGAUUUCAAGGAUCGGUACCAAACACGUAUACGGUUAAUAUCCUUUAGCAGAAGGCUACACAGGAAAGAAGCGUUAGCCGUUUCAGAAAAGUAUUCGGCUAGAAUAGAGUGGUUUUUGGGUCUGCUUUGAGCCAAAGCCAAUAGUUGAGUGACAGUGGGUUGGUCCGGAUCUAAGAGAUAUUCAGCGAAGAGCCGGUAGGAUGAGAGCCGAGCCGCAGUGGUGGACUCUAUGGGAAUUGACGUGGCGCUAUCUCCAUGGGUUAGAGUAAGGACACGUGUCCAAAACUCAAUGUAUGAUUCAGUGCGGAAGGCAUUAGCAUAUUCUUCGCGAUAAUCCACAUAAUUAGGAAGAUUAGGAGGGUUGGAUCCGGAGACUGCAUGAUAAAAAACAAAAUGGGAUAUCACAAUCUUUUAAUUUGUCACAUCAUACUAUGUUAAAUUACAACCCGACAUCAACAAUUUAAUCCAAAAACCAAUUAAUGUUUGUUAAAAAUACGGUAAAUCUUUUAUGAUAUUCUGCAUCGCACCUCAUUGAUUUAUUUUAAUAGACAUUAUUUAGGUGGUCCAUUUCCCGAUUUAAAAACGAUUCUUAUAACUCAAACUCAUUACCCUUAACCUAAUAUCAAUUAUUGGAUCGGGUUUUGAUCGAUUUUUUACUCCAAUACUAGUUUUUGGAUCAAACUUUCACUAUCUAAUAUAACUAUCAAUUUGCAUUCAACAAAAAUAAAUCAAACCUUUUAUAAUAUUCAACAUAACAAUCAACAGUCGUAUUCUAAGGGUACACCCAAAAGGACAUUACUAUAUCAAAAAAUUAGGAUGUUUUCAUAUACUAAAUUAUCACAUUUCCUCAAAACGAAAUUACUUUCAACUAUUGAAUACCACUCUAAUAGUGAAAAAUAUAAUUAAUGAAUCACAUGCAUAGAAAAUCAUACCAAAGUACUUGCCCUAUCCAUGAUAUAAAGUCUUAACACAAAUUAGGGCAAUCAACUUCUGAAAAAUGGGCACAUGGUACAUACCAUGGGACACCCUGUUCUUCAGUACAGGGCUUCAAUGGCAUUAGUGGUGAUGUGAGACUACUCCUAGACCCCUGUUCUCUCUUUUCUUUCAUUCCGACUAUCUUUGGAAGACAUGGGGCUGUGGGGGAUUCUGGUUGUUGGGUUAUGCUAACCCUAGCCAUUCUCAAUCAAUGCUCUUAACUUCACUCAUGUUGGACCAAUUUCUAUUUCUCACAUUUUGUACCCACUAAAUUUCUAGGGUAGAUGUGGCCUGUUUGGGCUUAUUUUGGGUUCUUUUUUAGCUCCCUAGGGCCUAGCCAAUUUGCCACUUUUUCUAUCAUUUUAGAAAUGACAAUGAUUUUUUUUUUUCCAAAAAAGAAAACAUUUUUAGUAUAUUUUUCUUUAUUGGAAGUAGAUGGUAAUUUAGAACUAUACAAUUUAUUCUACAAUAAGAUAAAAUAAUUUUAAUAAAAACUAGUGUUGAACCUACAUUUCACCAAACAUGAAUUUGUUGAGUUGAAAUAUUAAAUCGAUGUAAUUUAGAAAAAUAAUUAUAACUUAAGACUAUGUUUCGUCUAUGAAAAGUAUUAAAAAAAGAAAAAAGUUAUUAAUUUUUUUUCUUAAAAUAACUUUUAAUAGAAGGGACUUCAAGAUUUAUUUUAAGGGAACAAGGGAAUAAAUUUUUUAUUUCAAGUAGUUGAAAACAAAAUUUUAUUUAAAAUUUUUUAAUUUCAUAUUGUUAAAUAUUUAUAUUUUAAAAAUAUAAAUUAAAUUAUUGAUAUAUUCUGAAAAGGAUACAUUUUUUGAAAAAAUAUUUUUGAAAGAGUUUUCUAAAGCCUCCUAUUAGACAUGUAUAAAAAGAACCAUUGGUUUUUUUUUUUUUUUUUUUCUAUUUUUAAAAGUAAAAUUAAUAUUAUUUUCUGUGGUGAAAUAAAUCUAAAUAUCAAAAAGUUAUGAAACUGCCUCUAAGAAAAUAAUUGAGAUGAUUUUUUCUUUUCUAACCAUGAAAAGAAUCAGACACUACUUUGGGCCAUUUGUAUGGAUUAAAAUGGGCUCCUAUGGGCCUUUGUGGCCCAUUUAAAACUUUUUCAAUAGGAGUAUCUUAGGCCUUGGCUCCAUACGUGGUAGCCCAAAUCCUUGAGCCCACCCAGGCCUGUGAUGGUGGCAUGAAUGGGAGAAAAAUAAAGGCUAGUGUAGAUAAAAUAAAAUAUAAAUAAAAAAUGAAAGUAUAUAUUUUAAGGACAAAUUCAGUCUGUCAGUUUAUUAAGACCUUGUUUGGAUUGACUUCUAACAAGUAAAAAUAUAUUUUUUCAUCUCUUGACGUACAUAAAUUUAUCAAAAAAUUUAUUAUUUAAUAAAAAAACUUAAAAUAAAGGGUUAAUCGAUUAAAAGGGUCAUUAAAAACCUAAUUUUUGAAAUUCACCUUUUCAUCAUUUUUCUAGCUUUAUCUGGACAAAAAUAUUCUCGUAUUUUUCUCGUAAAAAUAACCACUUCUUUUAAAACCUACAUAUAAAUACUUGAAAUAUUAAAGGUCAUUUAUGUCAAAAAUUAAUUACUUUUCAAGUAAAAAUAUGAAAAGUUAAAUUUACAAAUUUGAAAAUUAUUUUAUCCCUUUUAAUCAAGUAAUUCUAAAUAAAAAUAAGCACAUAAUUAGUUCUUAUAAAAGCCCUGUUUUAAAUGAAAUAUAAAAAAAUUUUGAUUUAAAAUUAAAUUAAAUAAAAAUGAAAAAUAAAAGUAAAAAAACGAAGAAAAAAAUAGGUGUAAAAUCAAUAAUUUUUUCUACAUGCUAACCUAAACUUUUUUUUACUCAUUUUAGCUAUUUUAUAUAAAAAUUAAAUAAUUUAAAAAUAAAUAACUUUUUAACUAAUUUUAAUUAUAUAUUUUUUAUAACUAAACUAUAUACGAGAAAAUCACUAUCUUUAAUAUUUUUUUUUCCUUUUGUUUUUAUUGAUAUUUUCAUAAACCCAACAUAAUCAAAAUAUGAAAAUGAAUAAAUAAAUACAUGAAUAAAAAAAAAAAAUUGCAUACCAGAGCAUGAAAGGAAUUUUCGGAUGCAAAUGCUGAUUCUUUUCCUCAUUCUGCUUCUUCAAAUGCAAAAUUCAGGUCAGAGAUGAAGAAAAUUUGGCUUCAAUGGUUGGAUUCUACACAAGUCUGGAGAAGGAAGUGAAAGGAAAAUGGAAAAGGGCUCUUUAUAAACCAAGAAAAUAGUUUCUUGCUUUUGCUUGUGGGAAAGGUGAGCUUGAAGUGCAAGCCAAGGACUUGCCUACAUUUUGAUACUUACAAGGAAAAUGCAAAUAUUUGAUUAUUAUUAUUAUGAUCAUAUUUUCCGGGGAGUGAACUGUUUGGAAGGAUGGAAAAUUUUGUGGGAAAGCUUAUACACGUGGGAUAAUUUGUAUAGUUCUAGAAAACAUUAAUGUGCAAUCGAAGUCUAUGGAGAUAGAUUGCUUGUUUUAACCCACCACCCAUAAUAUUAUUUUCUUAAUUGAAUGAAAUAUGCCAUAAAAAGAAAAAUAAAAAAAAAUGAUUAAAAAGAAAAACUUAUCAUAAAAAAAGAUGAAGAAGCAAUAAACAUUCGAAUAAUGUAUAAAAUCUUGCUUACUAGAUCAAAUAUGGGAUAUUAGGUUGAAAGCGUUAAAUCAUAAAUCCAAAUACUAAGUGAGUAUUUGGUAAAUCAACUUAAUAGCUUAAAGUGAUUUAAUAAUUAAUUUAAGUUAUUAAGUAAAUUAAGUAUGUUUGAUAAAACAAAUUAAUGAUAUAACUUAAAAUAAAAAAUAACUUGAAGUAAUAAGUAAAAAUAAUUAACUUAUUAUUAAGUCUACAUCCCUAUUUUUACUUUUUUACCCUUAUUUGUUUUAAUUACUUCCAUAAUUUUUUUUACUACUCCACGACACCUUUAUUGUUACUUCAUCUUUUUUAUCCUAGUUAUAAUUUAUGAGGAUGAAUAUGUUAAUUUAAUGAUUUAAAAUAAAUUUUAAGUUAAUUUUAUCAAAUAACUUUAAUACUUAAAGUAAAAAUUAAAUAGUAAGUUUUAAGUCAAUAAGUUAAAUAAAAUUUAACUUAAAGUCAAUUUAAGUCAUUAAAUAAGUAUUAAGUCUUAACAAAUACCCCUAACAUUCACUUAGUAAAAAUAUAAAAUAUUUAAUUACUCAAGUAUUGGUUUGAUUAUAAUUUCUGUUUUUUAUUUUUAAAAUAGAAAAAAAUGAUAACUUUUAUAAAGAUGUGAAAACUAUCACAAUCUACAUAUAUUGAAAGAGUGAUAACAUUAAAAUUUAUUUACAAAAAUUGAAGUAUAUAAAAAAAUUACUAUUUCAAUUUUCAAAAUUUUCAAAAGUGAUUUUUAAACUAUAAAAUAAUUUAUUUUUAAAAAAUAUCUUACUUUUAUAUGGUAUAUAUUUUAAAAAUAAAAAGAAUAAAAAGUAUACUUGCAUUUAUAUACUAAUUUUAUAUCAUUAUUAAUAUUUACUCAUUUUAUUUUAAAAUAUGUUAUUUAUAUAUAAUUAAACUAUACCUCAACAAGAUAAAGAGGAAGAAAAUAAAGUUAGUAAUCUCACAUCAAUUAUUGAUGGUAUUUGUUCUUUGACUGAAUAGAAAAAGUCAAAAUAUUUAAUUUUUUUUAUUAAGUUAAAAGUAAUUGGUUAAUAUCAAUCAAUACAAGUAAAGUAAAUUUUUUAUCAAUAGAUUUAAUUUAGUCAUAUUGAUCGAUAUCAAAAGAUUACUUUUACUUAAAUUAAAAAAGUUCAAUAUUUUAUCUUUAUUUUAGAAUCAUUGCAAAAAUAUGAAUGAAAUAUAAAAAGUUCAAUAGCUUUGAAAACGAUAGAGGCAUCGAUGACUAUUAAUUUUAUACAUCCGUCAAAUUGAUGGACUAAAAUAAUAUUUUAGUACUUAAUUUUUAAUUUUAUCAAAUACCAUGUUAGUGGAUUAAUUUUUAAUUUUAUCAAAUUCCUUGUUACUUUCAAAUCACAAAUAGUUUACAAAAUUAAUUAAUUUUAAAUCUAAAAAUGAAUUGAAGUUUGUAUCAACUAUGUUUCCUAAUUUCAAACCUUAGUGAUUUAGGAAACCAAGUUUGUAUCAACUAUGUUUCCUAUUCAUGUCCACUUUCUAUUUUCUCUCAUGAGCCAAUUGGAUUACCAUCCAAAAAAAGUAAGAAAAUAAAUAAAUUACACAAAAAUAGAAAUUCUUAGUUUACACCAAAUCUAUGAUUCUAUCUAUAAAUAACUACUAGGACUCAAAUUUAGCUCAAGAAAUUUGAUGUUACUUUCUAUUUCUACUCAGAUUUCCGCUCUAUAUAUUCUCUAAAAUCCAAGGUUUUUCCAGUUUCUGGUUAGAAGAAGAAGAUGGUAAAGCUUGAAGAUAUGGAGGAUGUGAUGAUGAAGAAGGACCGCUGGGAGAAGUUUGAUGCCCUGGUAGAAGUAGCGUUCGUUGCCGGACGGCAAGAGGAGGACGAAGAACGAGAGAAGAAAAUGAGAGAAGAGAUGGAGAAAGCUGUUGCAUUCCUCUCCCUCGCCGCGAAGAAGCGUUGUAAGACCGUGCCGAGACCAUAUCAGCAGCCGAACAUGGAGCCACCUCCGGAGAUGCCGGAGAGAUUCAGAAGGAAGAUAAUGGAGAUGGGGGGAGACAAUGUGGCGUUUGUGAUCGAGAAGAUGCUGUUCGAGACGGACGUGAGCGCGGGGCACAACCGAUUAUCGAUGCCCAUGUGCCAAAUCAGGCAGGACUUUGUGACGAAGGAAGAGAGGAGGAGGUUGGACUCGACGGACGCGAACAUAAAUGGAGUGGAGGUGAUUCUGGUAGAACCGUCCUUGGAGGACGACGAAGUGAUGCUGAAGAAGUGGAAGAUGAAGAGGAACUCGAUUCUGUAUGUGCUGAUAAAGAACUGGAACUCUGUUGUGAAGAGGAAUGGACUGGGUGCAGGGGAUGUGGUUAGGGUUUGGUCGUUUAGGGUUGGGUCGAAGCUGGGUUUUGCCCUGGUUAGGGUUGGAGAUGAGGAACAUGAAGGCAAGAAAGGCAAGUCGACGGGGAAGAAGAAGAAGGAUGGUGGGAGUGGAAGUGGGAGUAAAGGGAAAGAAGUUGAAGACAAUGGUGGCAAUGAGACUUGGAUCCACUAGCCAUGCAUACGUGAUGUGUUCUUAGGGUCAUAUUUGUAAUUUGAGGGGUUUGUUUUUUUUUUUUUUUGGAAAAUUAUCUUACAUGGUUUUUGGGUCCUGUAAGAGUUAGGUCCUGCAAGGGUUUUUGAGUCCUGUUAAGUGUUAGGUCUUGUAAGGGUUUAUGAGUCAUGUUUGGGUUAAGUCACCAAAUUUCAUUGGGAAAAUUUAACUAUAAGAUAGUUCAAAUUUUCUCAAAUUUUCUCAUUUGUUUGCCUUUUUCUCCCAUAGCUCAUAGCCAUUUAUGAUCAUAAUAAUGUAUUAAUAUUGAAACCAAUGUGGCACGAUGGGGGCACCUCUAACUCUAUUAUUUUUGUAGUGAAACAUAGGUAUAUAUGACACAUCUUAUAAUAUAAAUAUAUUAAAAAUAUGAUGUAUUAUGAUAUGAUCAAUUUUAUUUUUUUAUUAAUUAUUAAUGUUGAUUUUUUAUUAUUAAAAUGUUUUCUUGAUAACUUUAUUACAAAGUAAAACAAUUCAAUAUUUACGAAAUCAAUAUAAUAAUAAAUAUAAUGACUUUGUUACUCUGUGCAACCCCUCAAUUCAAACCGAUGCUUGUUGUUGCACCAUGAAAGAUGUUGUAAAGCACGUAUGGAUAAUUGUCUAGACACUUAUGAAUAUUCAAAUCAAAACUGUGAAAGCCUAGAAAAAUACUUGUCUAGACACUUAUGGAUAAUUGUGAUACACUCAUUGACAUUCAGUUAAUAGCAAACCAAUCAUAUAAGAUACUUUUUUUUUGUUUAGUUGUUAUAUAUGUAUACUUAUGAGUUUUAUCAUAAGAAUCAUUGACAGUGAAAAUAGACUUAAUAUAUGAUGUUAAUUCAUUGAUAUAAUGUAUUAAUAUGGGAACCGAUGUGGCGUGAUGGGCACCUCUAACUUUAUUAUGUUUGUCACAUAUGCAUUGACCAAAUUAUAUAGAAAACUUAAUUAUAACACAUAUGCAUUAAACUUAUAAUACAAAUAUGUUAAAAUUAAUUAGGACAUGACCAAAUUUUAUUUUUUAAUAAUUAUCGCUAUUGAUUUUUUUUUAUUAAAAUAUUUUUUUAUAGUUGUUGUUAUUAAUUAGUAGUAUUAUUAUUAUGUUUGACUUUUAAAUCCUUUUCGGGACUUGUAAAAAUAGAUUCCUUAAGGGGACUUCUAAGCUACAUAUGACUUAAAUUAAAGAGUAAAAAAAUGUGAGUACAAUUUUAUUUUAUUUUUUGUAUGAAUUAAAGAAUAAAAAAGUAGUGGACAAAUUUUAAUAAAAAAUGUGAGUAUGAUUUUUGUGAUAUUCUUUAAAUUAAAGAAUAUAUAAUCUUCUGAUUCAACCUCUUGAGGAUUCAAAUUUGGCAAUUAUGUACUUUUGCUUAACUUAAUCAAGGGUUGACUAGGCUUGAUCUUGACUCUUCCACAUCAAUAGUUGAUUUGUACCAAAAUAUAUACUUAUAAAAACACUAAUGAUUGCGCUCUAGACUCGCAACGGGGACAAAUCACUAUUUAUAUCUUAGAUUAGUGUUAAUAUCCAUUUUGAGAACUAAUGCACUAUUUUUUAAUAAACAGACAAAGAAAAGGAGAAAUGUGAGAAUUUGAUGCUAUUUUGACAUAUGAAAUAAAAUAAAGGUACGAAUAUAACGCAUAAAGAUGUCCUAGUAUUUAUUGAAGUGGAGAAAGUGGAGUAAAGCAAGAACAAUCACAAAAGCAUAUCAAAUUGGUUUAAGGAGUAUUAAAAUUGAUUUGAGGUCAAACUAAUAACAAAAGAAAUGAAGUAACACAAACCAAUGCCCAAAAUUAAUAUUCCCAUUUCAAAACCAAUUCAGGAGGACAAUGAAGAUGCAUUAGUAGUAAUUCGCAUUCAAAUUCUGAUUUGUAAAGCUUUAAAUUAGUUUUGACGAUUCCACUUUAAAGAGAAAUUGGUUUCACUAGAGCUUCUUGCAAGUUUCCCAUUGAAAUUCAUAUUUGAGACUUUACUUUUGUAAUUAUGGUUUGUUAGAUAUUACUUUUGUUAAAGUGGCCAAUGAGGUUAAGUGACAUGUACUUUUAGGGUUAGAUUAUACAUACUUUUCAUUAAUGGGUUAAAAGGAGAGUGUAGUUUUAUAUUUGGAUUUUCAUGUUCAUAUGUUGAAGAUCUUUUGCUUUAUUUUCAAUAAUACCAUAGGUUCCUUAUUAUCUUAUGAAAUUUGUGUGAAAACUCAACCAUGAGAGGCUAUGAACCUUUCUUCUAGCAAUGUAGCAUAAAAGGUGGAGGAUUGGGACAAAGGGCAAUGAGUAUAGUAAGGCUACAUUGGUAGAUUAGGGUUUUGAUGUUUAUUUUGAGGUAAUGAGAUCCUUGGUAUAGUUUGGAUUGGGUGAAAUAUAGUAGAUGCUUGUUUAAGGUACUACUAAUACCUAGACACCGGGUAAUUAAGUCUAAUCCCAAAUAUAUAAGAUGAAUAAAUAAUUUGGAUAUAUGGACAAAUUUAGGUUUUGUCAGAUUUAGAGUCAUAGGAAAAGUCUUAUCAAUCUAUAAAAGUCAAUUAUGUCGAUAUCAGAGGAGGGUAUCCGAAUAUGACACGAUGUUCUUUUCUUCUCUAGUUUUUAUUAGCCAAAAUUUCUAUGGAAAUAAAGAAAUUUAUAGUAAAACAAAAAGUAUGAAUCAAGAAAAUGGUGUCAUCCCCAAUGACCAUGAAAAUAAGUUUAAAGUGAUUAUAUUAUUUUCAUAUAUCUACCCAAUUUCAUUUAUUUUAUUUUUUAUUUAAACAAUGAAAAUCUUUCAAAUAUAUAAAAUAUGUAAGUUUUUAAUUUUUUUUGGCAAGCCCAACCCACAUUGCCACCACCUUAAUCAUUGUUUUCUAGGGGGAAAAGCCCGUCUAAACAAGCCCAUAUCACCACAGUUUGGGCUCUACCUUUUGACCCCAUCUCGGAUGAGUAAUGCAUUUAAAGGCCUCCCUAUUCGUCGUCCGAUGUGGGAUUGGUGAUAUUAGUUUAAAGAAAAACAAUGAAAGAAAAUCCCACCAAGUUUAAGAGAUAAUAUGGGCACCACUCGCCCACACACUUUUUAAUGCUAAGCUUAGCAAACACAAAAAAAAUAUCAUUUUCUAAAAAAUUUUAUAAUAUUAAAUAAAAACAAUGUAAUAUUUUUAAAAAUCAAGUAAUUAAAUUUUCUCUAUUUUUAAUAUAUUCAAAUUUAAAUAUUAUACAUAUUUUAUUUAAAUAUAAUAUCACAUAUUCGAUGACUAAUUUAACUAGUUAGUUAUGAAUCAAUAAUUUUUUUGAUUUAAUAUUCCGAAUUUUAUUUUAUUUUUUUCUCCUACUAUACUCAUACAAUAAACACACGAUCAAUUAAAUAAUUUUUUAUACUUUGAUAUCAUUUAUUUAAACUUUGAUUUGAAAAUCAAUAAAUAAAUAAUAAUAAACCUAGAAUCUAGAACCUUCCAAAUGGAAGACAAAGUGGAGCAUGUUGUGGCAUUAUGCUCAAUUUUGAGAAGAAAUUCUGUAGAAGGCAGUUAGAUGCCUAAAUUCAACUUAAAGCAUCUUUUUAUUAAUUAUUAUCAUCCCCUCAACCCCCUCUCCACUCACUUUUACGAUUCGCCACCUCCACUCAUUUCGGUCUCCCGAUUUUUUACUUUCUGUUCAUUUUCUUACGUAAUAUUAAAAUUAUUCUUACACAUAAUAUAAAUUAUUUUCUUUAAAAAAAAAAUACAAUUUCCAGCGUAAAAAUAAAAGCCUUAAAGAAGUCUGUAUUACAAACCCGGCCCAAAAAGGGCAGUUUUCCGGACAAAUUAUUUGUCCAACACCAUUAUUGUUCAUAGUAUUAUUCGAGGAAGGAGAUGAUCCAAAAUCAAAAGUCAUCACCAUCGUAAUCUUCCAAGUCAUCACCAUCGAUCCUAUCUUCCACGUCAUCAGCAAUGUGAUCCUCCAAAGCAUCCACGCCCUCCGAUAUUGCCAGCCCACCCAAGACCCCUGCGACUGCGCCCACUGCCAGUCCCGUCCCCAUCCCCAUCCCUGACUUCUUCUGCGGCUGCUCCACCACCGUCUGUCCGUAUGGCCCCUGCGCGUAUGGCCCUUGUCCGUACGCCGGAUCUCCGUAUCUUGGCUGAGGCUGCCCAUAUGCCGGCUGUCUGUAGGGGUCUUGGCCGUAGGGUGGUGCAUUGGAGUAGUAAGGAUCAGGUGGGGGUGCGCCGUAUGGAGUGGCGUAAGCCGGGGAAGCCGCGUAGCCUGCGCCUCUGGUUCCCGCUGGCGGGGGCACGCCGUAAGGGGGUGAGUAGGCAGACCCAGGCGCACGGUAGCGCGGAUCUCUCACAGAGACCUUGACUUCCACCUUGCCAUGAGGGCGGCCAGAGGGGCGGCGGAGCUCGAGAGUGCGGAUGGCCUGGGCGCCGAAGCCGACGUCAUCGACGACGUCGCGGAGGAAGAGGCGAGCGGAGCCGACGACCGGCUUGGUGUCGUCUUCGUCAUCGGCUUUGAGAUGGACAACGUCGAGGUAGAGUGUGGAGUCUUCGAUCCGGGAGGGCACUGGAAUGAGUAGAGUCUCGUUCCAGCAAGGAAAGGUGUCGCCGUCGUUGUCGACUUUGGUGGAGAGCUUGGCCGCAGGAUCCACCCAAACCACGACGUAUGGCUUCAGAGAGCCGUGACGCCAGUUGACGUUCUUCAGAUCUUUGGCGGAGGAGAUAAUCAGCUCUAUCUCGUAGCGACCAGCCAUGGAAGGGGCAAUAAGGGAAAAAUAAUGGAGAAAAUGGUCGGACUGUCGAAUGGUUGCUAGUCGUGGGUCAAGUAUUUAUAGGCUUUAAUGUCCGCUUGUCCUUCGAAAAUCUUGUCCCUUUUACCGUUAUACCCUCCUACCCAUGUUUGAAAAAAAAAAAAAAAACAAAUAAGAAACAACUUCUCUGUAAGUCAAAAGACAACAUUUUUCUAAUUUUAAAAUUAAACUAUUUUUGAACGUUCGGUGAGAGGGUAUUUUGGUAAAAAAAUAUGACAGAGGAGCUCAACUGGGGAAGGGCAUAAUAGGGAAAAGACUAACUAGGGAAAGGGUUUGGGCCCCACGGAUUGCUUUCUCACUAAGCAUCGAGAUUGUCCUGAUGCUCUGUCUUUAUGCGCACUCGAUGGUUGCGGAAUUCUAUUGGUGUAACCGGAUAAUGCCGGUGUCAGAUGUCAAUUGAGAGGAGAUCGGCGUUGUCCACACGAGGAAUAUUCUCGCAUGACAGAGAAAGGUCUCGUAACGAGAUUGGUCCUACGCGGAAUAGACACGGCGUCACUUGGGCCGGACCUUGUCAAUUUUGUAUCUUUUAGGCCCAAAAAGUGGGCCACCAAGGCAGCCCAUGGGCUUGUUGCAAGCCCACUAUUGCCAUCUUUCAUCUACUUCACCAGGAAAAGUUCUUGAUUUCUCUUCCAAGGUGGAACCGUUGAACGUCCAUGAUUAUUUGUCAUGAUUAUAAAGCAAUAAAAAUUUUAAUUUAUUUACUUAUGAUGUUUUUAUUCAAUUUAUAUGAUCAUAAUGUUAUUAAGUCACUUCUUUUGUUAUAUGUUUCUUAAAAUCAUUUGAAAAUUCAAUUUCUAAAGUCUUAAAAAUAAAAUCACUAGUCUAUGGUCCAUGACUACUAAGUUUUUGCAUUUUGUAUAAAAAUUAUUGUCAAUUUUCUAUUUUAAAAACAAAAAGGCAUAAUCAAUUAGAUGAUAUCAUGUAUGUGCCUUCGAAUUUUAUUCAUUUAUACUUGAAUUUGGUUCGUUCUAUAUUCUUGAAUUUAGAAGUCCCAAAAGAUUCUUCCAAUAUAUCAUUUUCGGUCCAAUGGAAGAAUUUUAUUUUUUAUUUGUUCACUUUUAAAAAAUCGCAUUCCAUUCUUACUUGCAAUAGAAACCCAAAAGAUUCUUCCAAUAUAUCAUUUCUGGGUCUAAUGGAAGAAUUUUAUUUUUUAUUUGUUCACUUUUAAAAAAUCGUAUUUCAUUCUUACUUGCCAUAGAAAAUAUGGGAAAUUGGUUAUGGCCUCAACACGCUAUAUCUCCCCUAAAAAUUUAGUUAUUGUUUGGAUAUAUUUCUUGUAUUUUAUAUGUAGAAAUACAUUUUAUAUAAAAAGUAUGAACUUACCUUAUAUCCUUAAAAAAUAUUUUACAAUUAAACUUUGAAAACUAAGAAAGAUCAAAGGGAAACUAUUUUCUCAUGUUAAAAUAAAAAUAAAAUAACUCCGUUAAUUUGAAGAUGGUUCAUGAUCCUUGACAAUGACACCAUUUUCUUGAUUGAUACUUUUGGUUUUAAUAGAAAUUUCUUUAUUUUCAUAGAAAUUUUGGUCAAUAACAACUAAAAAGAAGAUAAGAAUAGUGUGUAAUAUUCAAAUAUCUUCCUUUGACAUCGGCAUAAUUGACUUUUUAUUCAAUUUAUAUGAUUAUAAUGUUAUUAAGUCACUUCUUUUGUUAUAUGUUUCUUAAAAUUAUUUGAAAAUUCAAUUUCUAAAGUCUUAAAAAUAAAAUCACUAGUCUAUGGUCUAUGACUACUAAGUUUUUGCAUUUCGUAUAAAAAUUAUUAUCAAUUUUCUAUUUUAAAAACAAAAAGACACCAUCAAUCAAAUGAUGUCAUGUAUGCGCCUUCGAAUUUUAAUCAUUUAUACUUGAAUUUGAUUUGUUUUAUAUUCUUGAAGUUGGAAGACCCAAAAGAUUCUUCCAAUAUAUCAUUUCCGGGUCUAAUGGUAGAAUUUUAUUUUUUAUUUGUUCAUUUUUAAAAAAUCAUAUUCCAUUCUUACUUGCCAUAGAAAAUAUGGGAAAUUGGUUACCGCCUCAACACGCUACAUCUCCCCUAAAAAUUUAGUUAUUGUUUGGAUAUAUUUCUUGUAUUUUACACGUAGAAAUAACUUUUAUAAUAACUUUGAUAUAAAAAGUAUGAAUAUACCGUAUAUCCUUAAAAAAUAUUUUGUAAUUAAACUUUGAAAACUAAGAAAGAUCAAAGGAAAACUAAUUUCUCAUGUUAAAAUAAAAACAAAAUAACUCUGUUAAUUUGAAGAUAUUUCAUGAUUCUUGACGAUGACACCAUUUUCUUGAUUGAUACUUUUGGUUUUAAUAGAAAUUUCUUUAUUUUCAUAGAAAUUUUGGUCAAUAACAACUAAAGAGAAUAUAAGAAUAGUGUGUAAUAUUCAAAUAUCUUCCUCUAACAUCGGCAUAAUUGACUUUUUAUAGAUUGACUAAAGUUAGCUUUAAAUCCGAUGAAACCUAAAUGUGUCCAUACAUCCAAAUUAUUUAUUCAUCUUAUAAAUUUAGGUUUAGACUUAAUUAGAAUAGAUCAAAUCAAGUUAACUAAUGAUUAAGUGGUGUCUAGAUAUUGGUAGUAUAUUCACAAACAUCUAUUUUAUUUCACCUAAUCCAGACUACACCAAGGAUCUCAUUAAUUAUCUCAAAAUAAACAUCAAAACCCUAAUCUUCCAAUCUAGUCUUAUUGUACUCAUUGCUUCUUCUUGUCCCAAUCCUCCACCAUCAUGCUACACCACCAUAAGAAAGGUUCAUAGCCUCUAAUGGCUAAGUUUUAACACAAUUUUCAUAAGAGAGUAAGAAAUCGACGAUAUUAUUGAAAAGAAAGCAAAAAGUCUCCAAUAUAUGACCGUGAAAAUCCAAAUGUAAAACUACCUUCUCCUUUUAAUUUAAUGAUGAAAUAUAUAUAUAAUCUAACCCUAAAAAGACAUGUGACCUCAAGGAUGAAAAUAUUGGUUUUUAUAGAUAUAUCGACAACUCAAUUUUAUAGAGAUAUAAGAAAAUAUCGAUGAAUAUUUUGACUCAAAAUAUCAAUAGGACAAAAAUCGAUGAAAACUAGUAAACAUGUUGAAAAAAACUCUAAAAAUGAUAUAAUAAACAAUAAUAAAUAUUUUAAAGUUUUUUUAUCAAAGAAAAUGAUAUUAUACAAUAUAAUUUAUCAUAUUUGAUAAUAAUAUCGUAUAUGUCGAUAACAAAUAUGAAUUUUAUAAGUGUACAUUUAUCAUUAAAUUACAUCAAAUAUUAUUCAAUAAUAAUAUUAUAAUAUUUUAUUAUAAUAUGUUUAAUUUUAAAUAUUUAAUAUUAAAUUUAUGAUUCAUUUAAUUCAAUUGUAUUAAAUAAUAUAAAAUAAAUGAUGAUAUAUAUAUAUAUAUAUAUAUAUAUAUAUAUAUAUAUAUAUAUAUAAUUUUUUAAUAUUUAAUUAAUAUAUUAAUGAUAAUUUUUAUAUUUUUGGUAAUUAAUCAAAUGAAAAAUUUUCAUUUAAUUAUAAUUAAUUUGUUCUUUAAAAUAUUCCUUUAAUGUUUUGUUUAUAUGAUAACUUUAUAUAUAUAUAUAUAUAUACUUGGUGCACUAUGUUUAAAAAAGACAUAUAUAUCAUAUGAUUCAAAAAGGUUAAUAGACGAAGCUAUCUCUUUCUCUAAAUUUAUAGAAAUCCUUUCCAAUCAAUCUGAAUUUGAGAUUAGUUUUAUUUUUUUCCCAAUUUAAUUUAAUGAUUUUCUUGGUGUUAAUUCCAGGCAAAUGCUGUGAGGGCAUAUCGUCCUCAGUGGACGUGCAGGAAAAAGGACAUAUACCCACAGUUCUAUGAGGACGCCAAGGUGUACUGCAAUGGUGAACUGGUGAUGACCACUGGUGGGACUCAGAAGGAGUAUGUGGUCGAUGUCUGGUCUGGAAACCACCCCUUCUACCUCGGGAACCGCUCCGCUCUUCUAGUGGACGCUGAUCAAGUCGAGAAGUUCCGGAAGAAGUUUGGGGAAAUAUCACAGAUUAUGGAAAUUCCUGUCCUCAAAUAUGGAGAAAUCGUGCUACCACCUAAACGCAAAUCUGGUUCUGGUAAAGGGGGAAAGAAGAAGUAGUUGCCCAAUUUCACGGUAAAAAGAAAUAGCCUCUGUUUGGUUGCAAGGAAAAAAAUUGGAAGCAAGUUAUGAAUCUUAUCUGUUUAUUUUCUUACUUUUCUCAGCUUCCAAAUAGGGCAAUUAGGGUUUUGGUUUUCUGUUUAUUGGACAGUGUAAUUUGAUUACUUGUUAUAAAUUUUUUAAAGUAAUCCCUAUUUCGUGUUCAGUGGUAUGUCUUAAUUUUUUUUCUUUUUGAUUAUUAUUAAUUUUAAUUGUAUAUUUUAUUAAAUACUUUAAAAUGUCCUAUAGUCCAAAAGAAUAGUUUUGUCUAGAACCAUGUUCACUGAUUGUGAUGCACUAAGUAAAUAUCAGUCAGCUUACUCUGGGAAACCCCAUUGAGAUUCUGCAGUUCCCAGAACAACAAUAAUAUAAGUAAAUAUCGUUCUAUAUUCUUGAACUUAGAAGACCCAAAAGAUUCUUCCAAUAUAUCAUUUCCGGGUCCAGUGGAAGAAUUUUAUUUUUUAUUUGUUCACUUUAAAAAAAUCGCAUUCCAUUCUUGCAAUAGAAACCCAAAAGAUUCUUCCAAUAUAUCAUUUCCGGGUCCAAUGGAAGAAUUUUAUUUUUUAUUUGUUCACUUUUAAAAAAUCGUAUUCCAUUCUUACUUGCCAUAAAAAAUAUGGGAAAUUGGUUAUGGCCUCAACACGCUAUAUCUCCUCUAAAAAUUUAGUUAUUGUUUGGAUAUAUUUCUUGUAUUUUAUAUGUAGAAAUACAUUUUAUAUAAAAAAUAUGAACUUACCUUAUAUCCUUAAAAAAUAUUUUACAAUUAAACUUUGAAAACUAAGAAAGAUCAAAGGGAAACUAUUUUCUCAUGUUAAAAUAAAAAUAAAAUAACUCUGUUAAUUUGAAGAUGGUUCAUGAUCCUUGACAAUGACACCAUUUUCUUGAUUGAUACUUGUAGACCCCCUUGUUGGCAGGGAGAGGGAGGGGGAAAAUAUUAUUUUUUUUAGGAGAGUGGGUGAGAUUGGAAGUGAUGGAGAGGACGGGAAGUAGCGGGAGAUUUGAGGGGGAAGAAAUCUGGAAAAAGAGAAAAGGAAAGGGGGGAAGAUUUUUUUUGAGGGUUUUUGAGGCUGGCGAUUAAGGAUUGGAGGUUUUGGAAAAGAAGAGAUUUUUUCAGAGGAAGAGAGUAGAGGUCCGGAUUUUUAGAAAGAAAAAAACCAAAGCUGAAAGGGGAGAGGGUGAUAUCUGGAGAGGAGAAAAACAAAGAAAAUGGAGAUAGAGACAGUCUGAAGGAGACGGAAAAAAAGCUGUGCUUGGGAGGAGCCUUUCAGGUAAGAUUUUUUUUGUAAACUUCACAUCUCUUUUUCUCUCUUAGGUACAGUCUUCGAUCUUCAUGCUCACUGUGGGGAUGAGGAAUUCGUUGUUUUUUUGUAGAGAGAGAAAAGAAUUGGGCGGCUGGGGGAUUAUAAGACAGUGGGAUGCUUUUUAAAAGUUUUUAAUUCAAAUUGUUUUUUUCUAGCAAGGCAUUUGGGUUCGUGCCUAUUUUUUUACUUUGAGUAAAGCUCUCAAAGCCAUUUAUAUAUAUUUUUUUAUUAUUCCUUUCUUGCAUGGAAAUCAUAACAUGGCAGAAGACUUUUUGGUGGGCUUGAAUAUUUAUGUCCAUUUUUCUUUCUUUUGCUUUUUGGCGAACACGUUUUCACAAAUUGAAUUCUCAAAACAACUUUCAAAAUUUCAGUUUUUUUAAUCACUUCAAUCUUCAAAUUAAUUUUUCAAAAAUUCUAAUAUCCAAAUUUAAUUUCUAAAAUGUCAUCUUAAAAUAAAUCUUUCAAACAAAUUCUGAUUUCCAAAUUCAAUUCCCAAUUUCUGAAAUUCUAAUUUUUCGACUUUCAAAUUUAAUUUUCAAUUUCCAAAAUUUUAAUAUUCACAUUCAUUUAUUUAAUCAUUACUAUUUUUUGUUAUGAUUAUUAUUAUUCUAUUUACUUAUUUAUCUUAAAAUUCCAUUCUUAAACAUUUUUUCUCAAAAUUUCAAUUUUUGAACUUAAUUUUUAAUUCCCAAAAUUCCAAUUCUUAAAUUUAAUUCCCAAAAUUCCAAUUUUCAAAUUUAAUUCCCAAAACUCCAAUUUUCAAAUAAAUUCCAAAAAUCCAAUUUUCACGUGAACAAUUUUAAUUCUAUUCCGGUUCUCAAUUUUUCUUGGUUUUACAUAAGCAUGAAUGUCAUUUUCAUAAUUUCAGAACAAUGGAAUUUGUGAGAUUAAUUCGUGCAAGAUCAAUCGGGCUUUGGUGGGGGCCCCACAUACGUGAUUUUAUGAUUGAUUGAUUUGUUUGUCACGCACAAUUUAUUUAUCCUGCUCUCCGACAUGCAUGCUAUUAUUUCUUAAUUAUGCACUAACCUCUCUCUUGAUAGCGCAUGGUGGCUCGUCGCCCAGGUACGCACUUACUUUCACUCUGGUAAUUGUCCAAGCAUAUUUUGAUUCUCACGUGUGCAUGAUUUAUUCUGGGUACUCAUUGAUCUACUCGUCCACUGCCCUGAUUGUUUCAUUUUAUUAGUAGAGACCCGUUUUUAGGGACUUAAAAGGGUGCUACGGUUUUUACCGUACCUUCCUGAUAAGUAACCUGACCCCCGAACCCGAUCCGGUUUUUUGUAGAUCACCUUUUCCAAAUAAGGAGUCACACUUAGGGUUUUUCUUUCUUAUUUUGUUUACCCUUUUAAAAAUAAAACAAAAAUAAGUGGCGACUCCAAGUCAUUUUUCCUAAUCAAUAAAAUCAAUUUUUCAAAUAAAAGUCGAGCUCGCCAUCGAAUGGGAAACGCAUUGAGCCGAAAUGCGGGGUCCACAAUACUUUUGGUUUUAAUAGAAAUAAAAUUAUAACUCUGUUAUAAGUGUACAUUUAUUAUUAAAUUACAUCAAAUAUUAUUCAACAAUAAUAUUAUGAUAUUUGAUUAUAAUAUGUUUAAUUUUAAAUAUUUAAUAUUAAAUUUAUGAUUCAUUUAAUUCAAUUGUAUUAAAUAAUAUAAAAUAAAUGAUGAUAUAUAUAUAUAUAAUUUUUUAAUAUUUAAUUAAUAUAUUAAUGAUAAUUUUUAUAUUUUUGGUAAUCAAUCAAAUGAAAAAUUUUCAUUUAAUUAUAAUUAAUUUGUUCUUUAAAAUAUUCCUUUAAUGUUUUGUUUAUAUGAUAACUUUAUAUAUAUAUAUAUACUUGGUGCACUAUGUUUAAAAAAGGGUGAGCUUGGCCCAAUGGCUGGAUAAGGCAUCUUUAUGCGUAAUAUUCAUACCUUUACUUAAUCUCAUAUGUCAUAAUUGAGUCAAAUUCUCACAUUUUCUACUUCUUUUUUUUUUUGGGUCUUUUUAUUAAAAAAUAGUGCAUUAGUUCUCAAGUAUUUAUAGCACAAUCAUUAGUAUCUUUACAAAUAUAUAUUUAAUACAACUCAAUUAUUAAUGCAAAAGAGUUGAGAUUAAACCUAGUGGACCUUGAUUAAGUCAAAUAAGAGUACAUAAUUGCCAUAUUUGAAUCCUUAAGAGGUCGAAUCAAAAGAUUAUACAUUAUUUAAUUUAAUAAUAAUAAUAACUAUAAAAAAAUAUUUUAAGAAUAAAAAAACCAAUAUUGAUAAUUAUUAAAAAAGUAAAUUUUGGUCAAGUUAUAAGUUCAAUGCAUAUGUGUCGUGCUAGAGUUUUAUGACAAACAUAACUCGAGGCACCGACCAUGCCAUAUUUAUUUCUAUAUUAAUACAUUAUUAUCAAUGAAUUAAAAUUUAGGUGUGUUCUUAUUGUCAAUGAUUCUUACAAUAAAGCCGACAAGUCUCAUAUACAAAAAUAAGAGGCGUCUUCUAUGGUUGGGUUGUAUGGGGUAUGGGAGAAAAAGGCAAACCAAUGAGAAAAUUUGAAUAUCUUAUAGUUCUAGUUUCCCAAUGAAAAUUGGCGACCUAACCUUCCUCCCUUCCUCCGUCGAGUCCAGCGACCUCUUCUCUUCCUCCGCCACAAAGUCCUGCCUGAUUUGGCAGAUGGGCAUCGAUAAUCGGUUGUGCGCUGGAAAUCAGCACCAUGGAUCAGCAAAGCUUGGCAGACUGUAAACUCAAAAAUCCUUUACAUAUAUAGCUGAGGCAUGUUUGAUCAACUGGCCCAAGGGUGUCUUAUUUCUCAGGUUCCCUUUACCAAUACAGGUCAAAAUCAAGAAGGAUUAGCCCACCUUGACAUUAUAAUGUUGCAUGGAAAAAGUUUCCCGAGAAACCCAAGAAACUUUGAAAGUUCUAGAAUAACGGGUUGAAGAAUCUUAUAAUUCACCAUAUUUUCUUUUUCUUUUUUGGUAUUUUUAAUUAUAUAAAAAAAGAAUAAUAAAUAUCAUAAAAAUAAAUAUUAAUUAUUAAAUUAAGAAAAUCAAAUAUUAUUAAUAUUUUAUUUUUAUUAAGGAAACAAAUAUUAUUUUUUUAUUUAUGAUUUAUGAAAAUAUUGAUUCUACCAUCAUCUACACUAAAGUGCUUAACCCACGACAAUCUCCUCAUUGGCGUGCUCAAAGUUCCUGCAAAUGUUUCUUUACCGAAGAAAUGUGAAGGAAAAUAAAAUAAAAUAAAAUAAAAUCACAUAAAAAAUAUCAUGAAAUCCAUAAUAUACUAUAUUUUAUAAAUAUAAAAAUAAAAUAUGGUUCUUAUAUAUUUCCAAGUCUAUUUCAAUCAAAGUGUUAUUUUAAACAAAAGUUCAAAGGACUAGCAUUGAAAGACAAAAUAUGAAAAACAACCAUCGCUUCUAUUAUGCCUACUUUUAAUAGAAAAAAUGUAAAUGUUUAUGACUUAUUAGGCUCCAAGCCAAUAAUUCAUUAGUCAAGAUCUCAUUUCGAUACAUCAUUUAAGUGUAAUCUCUUACUAAAUAAUUUGUGAGGGUCAUUUAAUUCAACUUUUGUUGAAGCAAGAUAGAAGCCGAUAUUGAAUAUGCUAUGAGACAUAAGGGAUAAGAACAACGAAUGCAAGGAGGACUUGUAAGAAUAAGUGGGAGAUGUUGUUGUGCCCUAAUAUUUAUAAGAUUUUGGAGAAUGAUAAGAUUAAGGCAAAUAGUUGAAUACCUAUUUGGGUUUGUGAUUUAAAGUUUGAAAUCAAUUGCAUAUGUAGUGAUAGAUAUGUUAUUGAUAUUGUCAAUCAAACAUGCAAAUGCAUAAAUGAGACUUAACCGGUAUCCCUUGUUCAUAUGCAAUUUUAACUAUAUUUGUAGAAGAGAAAUAAUAAGUUUUAAGUUAUCUUUAAAAAUUACUAGACUCGUUAAUGAAUCAAACACAUUAACUCUUACUUAAUGUUUAUUUGUUUACUUAAAAAAAUUGUAAAAGUAUGAUAUAUAUAUAUAUAAAAUAAAUUAACCUAGCCAUUUAAAAUAAAUUUUGAUUUAAGACUUUUUCGUGUUUUUGAGUUUUAUGACUUUUUAGUUUAAUUAAAUCAAUUUUUGAGUUUAAAUAUUUUUUAAAAAAUAAUAAAUUUAUUUGUUUAAUAAAAAAUAUUAAAGAAGUUAAAGGAAAUUCAGAAAAGCAAAUCAUAUUUGAAAAUUUUCAAUACUUGUACAGUGCGGAGAGAAAGUGAGAGAACAGUAUAUUCUGUUCAAUUUUAUGAAAAAUAAAACACCAGUCCAACACCUAAACCUCCAUUAGAAACUCCUUAUCCUUCUCCAACCUUUCCAUUGUACCAGCCUCCAACGUUAUCUCAACGUCAAUGCUUCCUCCCCCGGUCUUCCCCUGAUACAAAUACACCAUUCCGUCAAAUUUGUUGUUCGAUCCACUUCUCACCCUCUCCGGCUUCCCAAACCCAAAGUCCACGUCGUACACCUUGAACCUCGGCGAGCUUCCCACCGUAACGCAGUUCACUCCGGCGUCUUUGAACUGGAAUAUUAUUGGGUUGCUCUCCCACUUAUCGUUGCGUUCGUUGAUGGCUUUCGCGUCGUUCGUUACGAUCGCUUUUUGAAUCAUUGCCGCCGCGAACUCCGGCGGGUUUGCGUAGAGGAGUCCGGCUGCGGUGACGGUGAAGAUGGCUUGAAUCAGGUUGCCGAAGUAGGACUCCGGCAUGGGAGGGUCGACCCUCUUGCGGCAGUUGGCGAAGACGGUGUAGACGGUGACGUCCUCGGGUUUGAGUUGGCGAGCGCGUGUCACCGCGAGCCACACGUGCGUGGAGAGCGAUUGGAAGGAGGAGAAGGGUCUGGAGCCGUCAGAUGGGGUUUUGUUGAGCGUUGACUUGACCCGGUUGAUUUGAGAUUCCGAGAAUCGGAAGAUGCGCUCGCGGAGAAGCGGCGGCGGCUCCGACGUGCCGCUUGGAUUGGCGGCUGUGGGGUCGAGGGGGAGGUCGAACUUCACGCGCGUUUUGCGCGCUUUGGUGCGGUCGAGGAACGGUGGGACGGAGAUGGAGUCGGCUCCACUGCAGAUUUCGGCCCACGAGCUCAUGAAGUGCCACGUGGAGGUACCGUCGAGGACAGCGUGGUUGAACGCGCAUCCCAUUGCGAGGCCAUCUCUUAGCUUGGUGAACUGCGGAUCAUGACAGAAAAACAGUUGAAGCAGUUGAAUAACCUGGGACAACAAACUUUGUUCUAGUCCAUCUUUUCAACUAUUGGGAAAUCAUUCCUUUUGUACCAAAGUCAUAUGACCACUUUUAAUAGAAAAUAAAUAAAUAAAUAAAUUGUUACCUGUAGGACGAGGAGGGGUUUAUGAAGACCCUCAAAGUUCAAGACUUGGGUGUGUGGCAGCAUAUCUUUCAUCAUGCUUGUGCUCUCCACAUCCAUUAGAUCAGAGACACUGACAUGAUCAGCACUUGCUUCCAACACUUCUACACCCUCCAUUUCAUCAUCAUACACGACCUUAAAGACCCCAUCUUCAUCCUUCUCUAGCUUCCCAGCCAACUGAUAAAACUCUUCCAAAACUACCCCUAACCCAUCCUUCAAUUUACCCACCAUGUCCUCAAAGUCACACCCCUUGUAGAAUAACAGUUUUUGGUUAUAGUAAAAGGCCAAAUAUGGGAGAUCAAAUGUGACCAAUUGACACUCUCUUCUUCCUAGCUUCUUAGUGGGCAUGAUGUGGGAUUUUCCAUGGACAGCCACCUUCACAACCUCAGCUUCCUCCUUCUUCACAACUUGAUCUACGCAUGGAGUGGCGUAGGCGGACUCAGGCGCACGGUAGCGCGGAUCUCUCACGGAGACCUUAACUUCCACCUUUCCCUGAGGGUGGCCGGAGGGGCGGUGGAGCUCGAGAGUGCGGAUGGCCUGGGCUCCGAAGCCGACUUCGUCGACCACGUGGGGGAGGAAGAGGCGAGCGGAGCCGACGACCGGCUUGGUGUCGUCUUCGUCAUCGGCUUUGAAAUGGACGACGUCGAGGUAGAGUGUGGAGUCUUCGAUCCGGGAGGGGACCGGAAUGAGUAGAGUCUCGUUCCAGCCAGGAGAGGUGUCGCCUUCGUUGUCGACUUUGGUGGAGAGCUUGGCCGCAGGAUCCACCCAAACUACGACGUAUGGCUUCAGAGAGCCGUGACGCCUGUUCACAUUCUUCAGGUCUUUGGCGGAGGAGAUAAUCAGCUCUAGCUCGUAGCGACUAGCCAUGGAAGGGACAACAAGGGAAAAAUAGAGGAGAAAAUGGUCGGACUGUCGAAUGGUUGCUUGUCGUGGGUCAAGUAUUUAUAGCCUUUUUGUUCUUCGAAAAACUUGCCCCUUUUACCGUUAUACCCUCCUACGCAUGAAAAAAAAAAAACAAAUUGGAAACAACUUCUUAUGUAAGUCGAAAACAACAUUUUUAUUAUUUUAACAUUAAACUCUUUUUGAAAGUCUAGUGAGACGGUAUUUUGGUAAAAAGAUAUGGCGAGGAGCCCAACUGGGGAAAGGCACGCAAUCGAGCGGAGUUCUAUCGAAUGGCCUUUGACCCAAACAAAAAGUCAACUUUAGGCCUGCGUUGAAACUAUCGUGCAAACUAGCCUUCUGCCUUUUUCUGAAAAAAAAAAACACACACAAAAUUAUUAAAACUUCCUUCUCUUCCACCCGCACGUCUAUGACCAUUGACCCAUUGCCGGCGACACCCCUUUCUCCCUUCCCUUCUUUCCUUCUUCCCUAUUUCUCUCUUUCUCUCUCCAUCCUAUCCACCAUAUCCAUUUUUCCCUUCCUCCAACUCCUGCUGAUACUCACUGCCGGCCAGCGACGUCAUGCCGUCGGUGCCGCUCAUGGCUCGACCUUGCUGUCGAUGUCCAAGAAAUGAAGCUUAGCGCAUAUUUGGGACAUGGUUUUUUAGAACAAUUUUCUAUUAUUCAAAAUAAAUAAAAAAACAGAGAAAAUAUGUUUCUAGAUGUUUCUUAGUUGUGGAAAGUGACAAGUAGUUGAAAAUAUUUUAUAUCUCCAUAGACAAGUAGAUCAUCCAUUUGGGCUGUUGGAGGUUUUGAUGGGCGGCUUUUGUCGAGCCAUGGUGCAGUGACUGUGAUAUGGUGGCUGGUUGGUGGUGUCAAAAUGAGUCAUGCUGCUGCAGGGGUUCACAGGGGCUUCGGGUUGAUGCGUAAGUGUCGUGGAGAAGGGUGGGUGGUGGGAGGAGGAGGUUGUAUUGAUAGCAAGGGUGUGUCGGGGACCUUAAGCAUGUUUGCCAAGAUAAAAAUUAUUGUCUUAUUUCUCAUUGUCCUGGGCCCUGAUUAGUGGGUUUGAAACUUUGAAUGGAAAGCCAUUGGCGGUAAAUAAUCACCACAAUGCGACAUUUAUCCGAAUACUGAAAAAAGAAAAUAUUAAAAUAUUUCAAUUUUAUACAUAGAACAAUUAACAAGCACGUCACAUUAAUUUCAUAAUAAUUGUAAAAUUAGUGUUCUAGUUAUUUGAAAUUGUUUUACAAAACAAGAAAUAAAGAAUAUUGAUUUAGAGUGUUUUUUGCGGUAAUUUUAAAAAACGUUUUUAAUCUUUUUAAUAUUUAAAUAAUAAUUUUUUUUAAGUAUUAAAAAGUUUUAAAAUACUUUAUAGAAUUACUAUUUAACAAACUCUAAACUUGUUUGACAAUGAUUUUAGGAAGUGUUUUUAAAAUUUUUUAAUACUUAAUUUUUUUAUCAUUCAAAUGUUAAAAAAGUUAAAAACAUUUUUUAAAAUAACUAUCAAACACAUUUAAAGUGCGUUUGAUAAUGAUUUUAGGAAGCGUUUCUAAUAUUUUUAACAUUUAAAAUUUGUUUAUCUCAUAAGUAUGAGAAAUGUUAGCAACACUUCUUAGUAUGAGAAAUGUUAGAAACGUACUCUUAGAGCCCAUUUAGUAGUAAUUAUAGGAAGCGUUUUUAAUAUUUCUAAUACUUGAAAAUUUGUAUUAUUCAAAUAUUAAAAAUGCUAAAUAUACUUUUUAGAAUCAUUCAUAAAUUCACUUUUAGAGUUGGUUUGGUAAUAACUUAAGGAAACGUUUUUAACAUUUUUAAUACUUGAAAUUUUUUAUUAUUCAAGUAUUAGAAAUAUUAUAUAUAUAUAUAUAUAUAUAUAUAUAUUAGAAUCACUACCAAAUGUACUUUUAGAGUGUGUUUGAUAGUGAUUCUUAUAAGCAUUUUUAGUCUUUUCUAAUACUUGAAAAAUAAAAAUCAACGUUUUAAAAACUGGAUUGGACCGACUGGUUCGACCAGUUUGACUGUCGAUCGGUUACCAGUUUGGUUUAGUUCACCCCUUUGAACCGGCCAGCCUUUGAACUAUUAUCGAAUCGUCGGAACCGACAAAUAGACCGAUCCAACCAGUUUUUAAUGAACCAAACGGUUCAAAUUAACUUUUUUCUUUUUGUUUAUUAGCUUCCAAAACGAUGUCUUCCCUUUCUUAUUUGUUCCUCCAAAACGUUCUCCCCACCCACUGUUGGACUCAGUUAGGUUAUAGAAAAAUUUUCAAACCUUCUCAUUUUCUUCCCAAUCACAAUAACAUAUCAGAACAUUUUCAAAAUAAAAAAUAAAAAUUAGAGAUUUCCCUUUCAAAAGCAAAUACCUAAAAUUCUGAAAAUUGGAACUUUUAGCCCAGAAGAUCAAAGAAAAUGAAGAAGAAAAAACCCAAUGCAUGACCUGUUUGAAAUAAGAGGAGAAACCACCAAACGAUGAGGACAUAAUUUAGGAUUUACUUAUCUGAUUUUCCUAAAAAUCAAGUAUUACGGGAGGGAGAAGCUUUGGUGUUAACGGUGGUGACUCAUCAAGUGGACUGAAUCUUACAAUGACGACGUCGGCAAUGCAACCCCCUCACAGUCAGAUUGCUCUCCCUCAAGUGUUGAGUCUUGUAUAAUUGCAAUUUGCAAUUGCAAGUGGUGUUGUCGUAGGUCUUCACAACAACGAGGGUGGGAGAUUGGGAGUAGUAAAAAAUGCAUUUUACUAAAAAUAUUAAAUAAAAUUUUUAUUUAUAAAUAAUUUUUUAUUUUAAAAUAAAUGUUAAAAUUUUAAAAUUAAAAUUAAAAUUAUGAAUUUAAUUUAAAUUUAUAAUAUGAAACUAAUUUUCUAAUUUUCAAAUAAAAUUUUAAUUUUUAAAUAAUAUAUAAAUUAUUAUUUUAAUUUUUAUAAUUAUUUAAAUUUUAAUAAUUUAUAAUUUAUAUAUUUAUAAUGUCACUGGUUCGAGACCGCCGAUCUAACCAAUGAACUGUGAAUCGAUAACUUUUUUGAUUCAAUGAUUGGUCAAGUUCUAAAAACAUUGAUAAAAAUUUUAAAGUAUUAAAAAAUAUUAUAAGCACUUUCUAAAAUCAUUACUAAACAGAUUCUUAAAGUGUGUUUAAAAGUAAUUUUAAAAAACGUUUUUAGUAUUUCUAAUAAUUGAAUAAUAAAAAUUUUCAAGUAUUAGAAAUAUUAAAAAUGCUUUUUAAAAUCAUUACCAAAUGAACUCUUGUUAUCCUCUCAAAGCAUCACAUAAACACAUGUAAGAACAACAUAUAUUAUCAUAAAUAUAAAUUUUCAAUGCAUAAUAUAAAUAUUUUAACAAAUAAAAAAAGAUUUAAAAACAAAUAUAAGUAUUAAAUGGUGAUUUUUGUUUAUGUAAAUAAAAUUAUUCCUUCAUAAUUAUUUGUAAAAAAAUUUAAAUCAUAUGAACAAAUCUUGGGAUUUAUCUCUCCAACAUUAAUUUUAUAUAAAAUUAAUUAUUUUUUAGUUAUCCCUAUAUUCUCUAAAUCUCAAAAUUAAGUACCCAAUUACAAGAAGACACGUAUUGAAAAAAUAUGGGCCGUGUUAAAAAUUUGCACCAGUGCUGUAACUCUAGUGGCGCACUUAAAAGGAAAAAGAACAUGCGUAUAAAACCAUAAACCCUAAAUCGUUCUAUAAAAGCUUCUAAGACCCCCAAGCUCACCACGCCUCCAUUUUGAUAAAACCCUAAACCCUAACUCCCCCACUUAGCAGAGAUGAGACCUCCAGCAGGAAGAGGUGAAAUUUCUUCUUUUUCUUUCCCUUUGCUUGUAUUCUCGAGUUUCAUUUUGUUCGUUGUGGAUGCUGUAGUUUUGGUAUGCUCAUUUGAGUUAGGGUUUGUCAUUUAGAGUCCCAACUCUUGAAAGGGUUGCAUUAGGGGUUUUUGUUUGUCUGUUGGGUUCGAUGCAGUUGGGUUUUUGAUUUUUGGCUCUUGGUUUUCAUUUGCCUUAUUUUGGCUUUCAAAUGUGAGAAAAUCUGAGGUUUGAGAUGCUGAUUAAUUUUGUUUUCUAUGUUUGAAGUUAAUGUUUUGAACUUACUUUAAUGUAUUGAUAUGCAGGCCGUGGAGGUGGCGGUUUCGGAGGUGGCGGUUUCAGAGGCAGAGGCGAUGGAGGAAGGGGCAGAGGCAGAGGAGGGUUUGGUGGAAGAGGUGGCAGUGACAUGAACAGCCGGGGUGGUGGUCGUGGCGACCGUGGUGGUCGUGGUGGUCGUGGCGGCGGGAGAGGCCGUGGUGGACGCGGAGGUGGCGGAAUGAAAGGUGGAAGCAGGGUUGUAGUUGAGCCCCAUAGGCAUGAGGGGGUGUUCAUUGCUAAGGGCAAAGAAGAUGCACUUGUUACUAAGAAUAUGGUCCCCGGAGAAGCCGUCUACAAUGAGAAAAGAAUCUCUGUUCAGGUAUUUAUUUUUAGUAUUUUGAGUUUUUUUUUUCAGUUUGUGUGUACUGAUGAAGACAUGUUUCGUUUUUAGCCAAAAAGCUUACAAAUUUCUAUGUAUAUUUUUUUUGGGUCUAAAACCCUUUAAAUGGUAUGCUUACCCUCUUGUUGUUUCAGUAGAAGCCAAGGGAAACAUGGGAUUCGGUUGUUUAAAUCUUGUUGCUUCCUAAUAAUCAAGUUAACUGAAGAAAUUAGAAUAAAAUUUUAGAUUUAUUGGGAAAUUUCAUUCUCAGUUCUCUCUGUAUCCAAAUGGGGGCUCCAAGAUUUUCUUCCUGUUUUUUUCUGCUAUUAAUAAUGAUGUACUAACAUUCAGACGUAGGGAUUUGCCAAUUAGUCUAUCCUUCACCUCCGAAGUAAGUAGUUGAAUGUUAACUUCUUUGGUCCAUCCCAAUAAUGGAGGAUGUGAUUUUGGCAUGUUCUUCAACUCUUGUAAAUGGGUAACUCAUUAUGUGUUUUAGGAUUUUCUAAUCAUAAGGUUUAAGCACUCUGUGAAAUGUGAUGGUUAUUGAUCUACUUGUUAUUUUAAUUUUUCAGAAUGAAGAUGGAAGCAAAAUUGAAUACAGGGUUUGGAACCCCUUCCGUUCAAAGUUGGCUGCUGCCAUUCUUGGUGGUGUUGAUGAGAUCUGGAUUGUGAGCUUUCUUCUGGAAGCCUCCUGGUUUUUAGAUGCAAUUUUUUACUUCUGAUUUUACUUUAGGUUUCAGUACAUGUUUUCUGAUUUGUCUUUAUUUAUGUGUAAUAAAGAAACCUGGUGCUCGAGUUCUCUACCUUGGUGCUGCCUCAGGGACCACUGUUUCCCAUGUCUCGGAUGUUGUUGGCCCUGUAAGUACUCAUGAUGUAUUAAGGAAUAUAGUUCCUGUUGCAAUAUUAAAAAUGGAACUGUUGCUGAUAAAUAGCCAACCUUUCUGCAGACUGGAGUGGUUUAUGCAGUGGAAUUUUCUCACAGAAGUGGUAGGGACUUGGUUAACAUGGCAAAGAAGCGGACAAAUGUUAUUCCCAUCAUUGAAGAUGCUAGACAUCCAGCAAAGUACAGAAUGCUGGUUGGCAUGGUUGAUGUGAUAUUUUCCGAUGUUGCACAGCCUGAUCAGGUUAACCUCUUUUAUUUUUCUUUUGUUAAUUGGUCCCUGGAUAAGGGGUUUUUUCUUUGUGUGCAUGCUUUGUUUCAUAUUCAUCAAAAUUUUCUUGUUGGCUUUGGUCUUUUCGUUUAAGCUACUGAUGCUGCUACUCCCGCUCAUUUAGCAAUCAUGUUCUUUUCUAUCUUUGUGUUUCUUUUCCAUUUCAUUCUGAAGUUUCUAAUCUACUGUGAUUAGUUUAGUUGCACAUUUUUAUGAUCGGAUUGUAUGUGAAAAUGUGAGGUAGCUUUUAUAUAUAGUUUGCGUUAGCACUAUUUCAUAUUUCAGGCUGUGUUUUUAUAUAUAGUUUUUGUUGUUCUGCUCAGAUCUUGACAGCAAUUCCUCAGAUGAAGUCUAUAAAGUUUUGACACAUCCAAUCAUAAUGUUUUUUUAUAUGUUUUCCUUCUGCAACAUUAAAUGUUUUUCAUAUGUUUUUCACAUUCAUAUUUUCUUGAUUUGACUUCUAUGAUCAUGCAAAUGACGAGUUACUCGGAUUCCCCUUCAAGACAUUAUGGGUGAUGCAAACUCGAGUUUCUGAUGCAUGCCAAGUUCUUUUUCCUUUUUACUUAACUUUGAAGUUUAAUUUGACAUUUUUUUGGCUCUUUUUUCUCCCUUAAUUUCUUGUCUCCUUUUUUUGCUAGUUUCAUGGAUUGAAUCACUUUUAUUUCCUUCCAUGUCAAACAUGUUGGUAGGGUUUUAUGUCUUAUUAUUUAAUAUAAUUUGCAACUCUUUCUGAACAUGUUUUUUACUUCCCUUUCACUUUUUAUAGUAAGGUUGGGGCUCAAUCUAUUCAGUAACAUUCUAGUUGCUUUUUUUUCCCCCUAUUCUUUUCUCUUUCUUUUUUUUUUUUGUUUAGCAGUGUGUUUGUUGUUUUCCAGAUUCUUGAUAAUACUUCCUCCAUGCUUGGAGUUAACUAUUGAAGCUACAAGAGAUCCAAUAUUUUGCUUUAUUUUAUUUCCUUUCUUGCAUCUGUAUUCUUAAAACUUGAUUUCUGUUCUAUGCAUCAGCAUCUGAUGAAUUACUCGGAUUCCCCUUCAAGACAUUAUGAAUGAUGCAAUUUCGAGUUUCUGAUGCAAAUGUCAAGUCAUUUUAAGUAUUUUACUGGUUGCUUAUUGUUUGUUGUGAUUCACUCACUUUGUCCCGUGUUUCAUAUUUUAGAGGAAAUUUUUAUUGACUCUGAAUGUGAGACUGGAGAAUGCAAGCCUUGUGUUUCUUGGUAGGAGGUUGAUUUUUUCAUAAAAGAAGCCAAGAAAAGGAAGGUUUCAAUUUGUUUUAUCCCCGUUUGAAAAGGGUCGAAUUGAAAAAUUAUGAAGAACGCAAGCGACCCAUCAGUUGCUUAUGGUUGUUUUGAUUACAGUGGAAUCUUAAUCCCUUGUCCAAGUUUAGAUUAUACCUGAAAAGCUAAGUAAUGAGUGAAAGAGUUGACUUAUUUUGCUGAUAUUGAAUGAUUUUCACACAAUUCAAUCAACUUCAAGAAAUAGUUUUCUGUUUGAAUGUUGUGUACUGAGCUUCCAUUUUAAUUCUAUCUUGUUGAAGAAUUACAGUGGAAUCUUAAUCCCUUGUCCAAGUUUAGAUUAUACCUGAAAAGCUAAGUAAUGAGUGAAAGAGUUGACUUAUUUUGCUGAUAUUGAAUGAUUUUCACACAAUUCAAUCAACUUCAAGAAAUAGUUUUCUGUUUGAAUGUUGUGUACUGAGCUUCCAUUUUAAUUCUAUCUUGUUGAAGAAGUGCAUGAUUUAUUACUUCAUAUUACAGUGGCCUUUAAUGCAUGUUUAGUAAGAUCAAGUUCAACACCUACACUGUACUGUUGGAUAAAUAUGUUAUAUUUUGUUUUCUGGAUGCUUGAUGGUCUUUCUAAUAUCUCAUCUAAUCAGAGGAGCUAGAAAUGUAAAUGAAGUUUACCACUUGGGUAAUAAUAAAAACUUGGACUAGUCUGUACUUCAUAGAAUCCAGUGUUUCCAUUUUUACAUAACAUGCACUUGCCAGUUUAUAGGAUUCAUCUUGAUAAUUCUAAGAAGGAUGAUUUUCAGGUAUCAACUACCCUUUCGCCCCCCUGAAAGUUGUGUCUGCAUGGGUAUAGGUAGAUCUGUCUGUUAGUGUGUGUUUUAAUUGGAUUGAUUGUUCUUGAGACUGCAUGAAGUGAAAACAUCUUCAUUUUUCAUUAUAUUCUGAUUUCCUGAAACUUAUCCCUUGUUUAUCAUAACCUCGAUUGCCAAACAAGCAAAACAACCCCUUGGGUGUGUCUGGCUGCUUGAUGGACCAACUUCAGCAGUGAUGGUUGGAUCAGCAUCUCCUCUCUCCGGGGACAUAGUGAUCAUAUGCAUCCUUCGUGGGGUUUAAAAGUAUUCUGAGAUUCUUCAUUGUUUAUUCUCUUGGCAGGCCAGGAUUUUGGCACUAAAUGCAUCGUACUUCCUGAAAGCUGGAGGUCAUUUUGUUAUAUCAAUCAAGGUUUGUUUUCGAAUGGCUUUCUCCAAUUGAAAGAACUAGAAAUUUAAAUGAACUCUGGCCCAAUCUGUAUGUUGCACCGAAGAAAUUUCUGUAUAUCCAAGAGUAGUGAACAAUGAAUGGAACUUCACUACAUUGAUAAAAUUCAUUUAAACUUUUCAGGCAAACUGUAUAGAUUCGACAGUCCCAGCAGAAGCAGUAUUUGCCCAGGAAGUGAAGAAGCUGCAAGCGGAUAUGUUCAAGCCUUCUGAGCAGGUCACCCUUGAACCCUUUGAGCGAGACCAUGCUUGUGUGGUUGGUGGGUACAGAAUGCCAAAGAAACAAAAGCCCACAGCUUAGAAAAUGUGGGGAAAUCAACCCAUUGCUGAGGAAAAAUUGAUGUUGGAGGGAGGGUUACCUUUUUCCAUUUGAUUAGGUAGUGAGACUGUGCUAUUUGCUUUGUCAAACUUAAUUUUAUUUUAGCUGAGUUUUGGACCUUCAUGGAACAAUCAGAAUACCUGAACCUUGUGUAUUUGGUAUGAUGUUGAACAUUUACGGAAAUGUUCACAUGGAUAUGUAAUUUUUCUUCGGGAAACUUGAGUGCUCUUAUGAGUCAGAUUUGGUUUUGCUAUAAAAAAAAUAUGAAAGAAAAUUAGAUAUGAUAAAGUAGAAAUUUGUAUAUUUUAAAAUUAUUAAAAGGAAGUGAAAUGAGUUUGAUAGCAUAUAAAUUUAUUUGUUGAUUUUAAAGGUUUUUUUUAAUGUUUAUUAUUAUUAUAAUUUUUUUUUCCUUUUCUUUCUUUUCUGGGAAAUUUCUUUUAAAUUUUAAUUCAUCCAAGCAUAAACCUUAACUAUUAUUUUAAUUCAUCUCAAGUUUGAUAAGCCUAAUAAUUUAAAAGUGAUUUAAUAAUUUAAUUUAAAUUAUUAAAUAAAUUAAAUGUUUGAUAAAAUAAAUUAAUGGUAUGAAUUAAAGUUAAAAAUAAUUAAAGUUUUUAUUUUAUUUUAUUUAUCUUCAUUUGUUCUAACUAUUUUCAUGGUCCUUUUUACCGUAUUUCAUUUUUUUUACCUUAUUUAUAAUUUAUAAGGAUAAAUAUUUUAAUUUGAUAAUUUUAAAUUAAUUUUAUUAAACAACCUUGAUAUUUAAAAUUAGAAUUAAAUAAUAAGUUUUAAAUUAAUAAUUUAAAUAUAAUUUAAUUUAUUAAGUAAUAAGUAUUAAGUUUUCCUUAUAUCAUUUUUAAUUUUCUAAAAAUAUAAGAAAAAUAAAAUAAAAGAAAAGAAAAAAGUUAUUUAUGUAUAUUAUUUUAAAUUUAUUUUUAGUCUUAUAUAUAGAAUUUUAAUAAUUUGAAAAUGUAAGGGUUUAAUGAUAAGCUACUAGCUUUCAUCCCUAAUGACCUUUUAAAAUUUAAUUUGUGAAAUUUGAGGGUCACGCUUAUAUUCAAAUAUUUAAGACUAUUAAAAAAUGUCAGAAGUGGGAUUUGAACCCACGCCCUCUCUCGAGGACCAGAACUUGAGUCUGGCGCCUUAGACCACUCGGCCAUCCUGACAUUCACAGUCAAAGAUUUAAAACACUAAUUAAUAGCAUUUUUUAGUACUCUGCCUUCAUUCAAUUGAAAAAUAGGGGAUUGGGAUCAGCGUCUGCAAAGCAGUUCCACAUAUGACAACCACAUGGCAUUCACACGAUGUUUGGUUCUAACAUUAUAGAGAUUGUAACUAUCCGCUCUUAAUCACUUUCAUAGUUAAAUCAAUAUAUCAAUCUUCUAAAGAAGUCUUCGUAACUUUAAAAUACAUCUAUACAAUUACAAGAGAUUAUUAUAAAAUAAUUACUAAGUUAAUCUCGACCCAUAUGCAUGUCGAUACUGGAUACAUGGUGGAUCUCUCUCCUGGAUUUUACAACUCGCAAAUUAGAGAAGGCCGCCUUCCAAUUGUAUAAGAUAAAAGUUUUAGUCCCAAAAAUUUGAUCCACGUACUGAUUGGUGAGUCCAUAUAUGGACAUAAGCUAAAGACAAAGAGAAAAGGUUUGGGCUCAAAAUAAUGUCCCUAAUAUUAAUAUACGUUUUAUGCAAAUUGUUUUUAUAUGCAUUAUCAAAUGAUAUUACCUAAUAAUUUAAUAUGAUACUAGCGUCUUGUUUUUUCAAAAAAAAUUAAAGUUAAAUGAGUGAGAUCCAUAUUUCUUGAGAAAAAAGUUUUUAAGACUUACGAGACUUAAGAGUAUAUUUGGUAGUAAUUCUUGAAAGCAUUUAUAAUAUUUUUAAUACUUAAAAGAUAAAAUUUUUAAGUAUUAGAAAAAUUAAAAAUAUUUUCUAAAAUUACUACAAAACAGACUCUUAAAAUGCAUUUGAGAGUGAUUUUAGAAAGUAUUUUUAGUAUUUCUUAACACUUGAAUGAUAAAAAAUUUUAAGUAUUAGAAAUAUUAAAAGUGUUUCCUAAAAUCACUAUCAAAUCAACUCAAAAAUGUAUUUGACAAUAAUUUUAAGAAAUUUGUUUUUGGGCAUCAAUUUAUAGCUACUAUGAGUACCCUUCACUCAAUUCUCUCACCACAUUUUGGGGAGAUUGGUAGUUGGGAAGGCUUUCUUAUCUCAUUCAUUGCUUUGUUCGAAAGGGUUUGUUUUGGUUGAAAAAGUUCAGUUCUUCUAGGAGGCUCUUCAUCCUUCGUAGUUUGUUAAAGAUGACACAUGUCAUAUCUUAGUGAACAUGUUUAUUAAUAGAAAAGAUUCCUUAUUGUUACAAAAUGAUGCCCAUGCUAUUAGAUCAUAAGGAUGUUCGAAACCUUGAAAUAGAAAAUAAGCCUCAAGUUGUAGACCUCGACAAUGAUCUUACUAGACCUCAAAAUCACAUGAGUAGACACGGGUUUUUUUCUUUCAUCCAUACAAGGAAACCAAAAGAGAGGUAACAUCAUACAUCAUCGGCUUCAAUCCGUUGUCCUCCCCACUUCUGCAUCCUCUCUGUUGUUUGUUCUACCUGCAAUCAAUUCAGUUUCAAUAUCCAUCAGCAAGACUCUUACUUAAUCUAGUUCUGAGCCCUUUUUUUCAAUCUUUCUGUUUACAGAACUGGAUUGUGAACCAUGGGAUGCAAAUUGCAAAAGCCAUAAUGCAGACUCAAAGGUCAAGCUGCUCACCUCCCUGUUCCAGUUGGUUCUGUAUACUAUGAACAAUAGUACCAAUGUCUGCAAAGCAGUUCCGCAUAUCAUGCCCCCCCAAAGUCCCUGCACUCACAAAACCCAUUACAAUGAUUUAAUUCCGAAACCAGAUUUGUUAACGAUUCUUGGUAGGAGAAGUUCCAUGGAGAGAAAAAUUCACCUGCACCCCCAGUUUUGCUUUGUAACCUAGAAGGUAGCCUAGAGGGAUUCCAAGAAUGUAGUAGCAACCCAAGUUGAUGUAAGCCACCAUGGCUUGCCAUCCGCCUCCGACAGCAACGCCUAUAACAAUGAAGGAAUUAUGAAGGUGAGGAGGCGAACAAGACACACCAUGAGAGCUAUGCUAUGACACAAGUGGUAUAUAUGGAGAAGCGAAAAGCCGAUACCUGAAAAGACAGGCUGCAGACUGUUAAGAAGCAUGGUGACGCCCAGAAGAUAAGCUAGGUGAGAAACAGCCUCUUGCAUUUCCUUGUUGGUAGUGAAAAUGAUGGCAAUGUAGUCUCUAGCUAACAACACCACCACCAUGCAGAAAAUCCCAAUAAGGAGAGACUGAGAGACUGCGACAAAGACAGAGUACUUGGCUGCUCGUGGGUGUCCAUAUCCGAGCUCAUUGGAGACCCGAAUGCUGAAAAUUAAGCAAUAAAAGACAUCCAAAAUAUCCUCAAGAUGUACAGAUGAACAAACAACAUCCCUUAAAGCACAAAAAUUAUUGAAGAGAGCAGCGUAUUUGUUUUACCUCACAGCAGCAUUCAUCCCCAUGAACAUCACGACCUCCAACCCACCAAAAGUCAUGCUAAAACAUAUCAUAUGAACAAAUAAAUCAAAAGCUGAAAAUAAAUUACAAGGACCAAAAAGCAUAUGCUCAUUAGUCAUUAUUUCAGAAAAGGAAUGGUGAUCUCACCAAAUAGAAAGGGACCCAACUGCGAUAACUGCAUUUUGAAGGUGGCCGGUGAGAAGGAUUAUGAUCAUAAAAUACCAGAUCUCUAGGCAAAGCAUCACAGCGGAGGCAAGUGAAAGCCGAACAAAAGCCCAAAUCUCCCUGAAAGCUGACCAUGUUAAUCCUGUCCAUCCUUCUUUGCACCAACUGAUAGCAUAGACUACUUGAGCCACGGCGGUCACCCAACUCGAGAUGUCAUAAGCUAUGGCUGCACCAGUCGUGCCCCAACCGAACACAAAAAUGAAGACCGCAAGCAUUCCAAUGUCCAGGAUUAGAGCCACAAAACAGAUAGUUGCUUGCACAUUCACCUUACUUUGGGCUUGAAGGAACUUCUGGGUGGGGAAGAUGAUGGCAAGCGAGAACAAUUGAGGAAUGGUUUCGAGAGUGAAUUGUCCAGCAAGAUCAGCUAUCUCGUCUUCUUGCCCAAGGGCCUUUAGGAUUGGGGUGGCAAAGAUGUAUAUUGGCAAGAGGAUGAUACAGCUUACUAAUAGAAUUAUCCAUGAUCUCUGCAAGUAAACCCCAAGCAACUGGACUUGUCCAGCACCAUAAGCUUGUCCACAUAAGGUCUCCAGCGCACUCCCCAUACCAAGCUACAAAUUUGAAAGUAGAUUCAGAAUCAAAAUCUGUUUGUUUCAUCAGAAAAUGAAAUCAAGGAAAAUGACACUGUUGAUUCAAAACAAUGCAAGAUUUUUCAUUCCCAACUUGUUAUUCCAAGUUCCCGUUUCUUCUUUAACUGCUCCAGAAGCUUUCCGGAAUUUCUCAUCAACAAAGCACAAAUUUUUCUUAUAAUGCAAACAUGAUAUUAAUGAGUUUCUAGAAUCUUUCCCCCUUUAAGUUUAAAAUAAAAAAUUGAACUCAGGUAUUCUUAAAUGGCUCUGUUUGCUUGUUGGGAAAAUGAAGGAAAAGAAAAAUAAGAACAUUUUGAAAUUUAAUUAUUUAAGAGCCUAAUCCCCUCUCCUCUCCAAAGAAAAACAGAACUCCAAUAUCAACCUAUAAACCCGUUAAUAUCAACCGUCCUGAAUUCCAAAAUUUUCAGGUUCAGCACUUAAUUGUGAUCGAAAAAUUGGGUUUGAUCUUUUCACGAUCAAGAAACAGAAACAAUAUAAUAAUAAUAAUAAUGAUGAUGACAAAAACAUAAGAAUCGAGUCAUCAACCAAAAUAAUUUACUCUUAUGCAUGUUUCACUUUCUCCACAUUCUUAGAUGGUAUACAAAGUAAAAAAUUUUUAAAAUCAAAUGCAUUUGAAGAAGUAACCCAAGAGCCUGGCUGGCUCAAAUGUCAAAGCUAGAAAAUCAAAGUCUUUUUUUUUUUUCUUUUCCAUCGUUUCUCGGCAACCAAACAAAGGCACAGAUACGAAAAGCUACCACAAACUUCAUAAAUAACGGUGACAACCCAGAAAGGAAACACCCGUGACAGUAUGGAAGUGUAAAGAGAGAAAAGGAAUCCGACCAUGAAGCCAAAAGAGAAGGUUCCAAUGACAGAGACGGAAAUGGAGACAGCAGAGAGCUCAAGGUUUCCGAUAUGACCAACAAACACAGUGGUCACCAAGUUGGUUCCGAACUGACACAGUAUUUGGAAAGCCAAAGGCCCAGCAACUCUCCACACCUUCACUGUCUCUCUCCACAACAUUGACCUCACUUCCCUCCAGCUCGUCAAAGGCGGGUAGUCCCCGCCUUCGCCGCCGUAUCCCCUUUCGGCGCCGCUCUUGAGCAGCGGCGUCUCCAUUGGCGCCGAAGAAGACUGCCGCAUGCUCUUAGAGUCUCGCUAUAAAUAGAGGGCCACAUGGAUGUCGCGUGAGCCCCCAUUCAUGACCAUCAAAAUUAAAAAAAAUAUUUUAAUAUAAUAUAGUACGCCUUUUUUUCAAGUGGUGACUAAAUAUGGGCAUCAUAUAAAUUUUAUAAAUUAAUAAAAAAAAGAAUUAAUUAAUAUUGAUUUAUGAUUAAAUGGGAAAUCAUAUUUUUAAAAUCUAUUAAAAUUAUAAUUUAAAAUAUGAUUUUAAGUAAUUUUUUAAAAUUAAAAUAAAAUAUGUGAGAAAAAUAUAUUAUUUUUUAGCAUUGAAAAAUGUUGAAAUUUUUAAACGGGUUGGGGCCAAGCGACGGUCAAGUAUGAAAAAUUUCUACACCUGCCCCCGCUGCUGCCCCCACCCAUUUAAUUUAAUUUAUUUUUUUUACGAAGACUAGAAUAAAUAUAAACAACAGGAUGUAGGUGGAAUGGGCAACCCACCUAAUCGUCAUCCUUAACCAUAAUUGAUCGGACUAAUCAAAAAUCAUUUUAAUGUAUAUUUUAUAUAUUAUAUAAAUAUUUUUAAGUAAAUAAACAUAAAAAUAAGAAGAGCCGUUUGGAAUUAUUUUUUAAAAAUGUUUCUAACCCAAAAAAAUAUUUAAAAACUUUUUUUAAGUUGGAAAAUAGGUGUUUAAUAAUAUUUAGAAAAACACUUUUGAUAAUUUAGAUUCUGUUUGAAUGAAAAUGUUUUUAUUGAAAGUGUUUUUUUUACUGUACUUCUCUAAAAAAUGUUUUUAUGAAAAUAUGAAAAAAUGGUUCUAAUAGUAUUUUUGAUAAUAUAUUGUAUAAAUAAAAAAAAUAUUUUUAAUGAUAAUAAAUUACUAAAAAGGAACUUUACAAAAAUAAAAUAUUUUAAUAAAUCAAAUACUUUUAUUACAAAAUAUAUAUAAACAUUUAUAUUAUUAAAAAAACUAAAAAAAAAUAUAUUUUUAUGAAAAGGAAGUGAAAGAGGAAGAGGAGAGUGAGAAGGAAACAGAAAGUGAAAGAGAAAUUGGUGAUAACGGGAAAGGGUAUUUUAAGAAUAUAUGAAAAAAUUCGAAGUGUUUUUUUAAAGAAACACCUCCUAAGUGCUUAUCUAAAAAAAUACUUUCAAGUGUUUUCCUAAAUUUUAAAAGUAUUUUUAAGAAUAUUGUCAAACACCUAUUUUAUACCUUAAAAACGUUUGUAAGUGUUUUUAAGGUUAGAAAACACUUUCAAAAAACAACAGGCUUCUAGUGUUUCUUUAAAAAAACACUUCAAAAAUUUUCAUAUAUUCCUAAAAUACUCUUUCAUGCUACCUUCUAUUUCUCUUUCACUCUUCAUUACCUUGUUACUCUUCUCUCUUCCUCUUUCACUUUCCUUUAGUAAAAAUAAUUUUUUUAGUUUUUUAAUAAUAUAAAUGUUUAUAUAUUUUUUGAUAAUAAACUUUUUUAUUUAUUAUAAUAUUUUCUUUUUGUAAUAAGUGUUGUUUUCAAUCAUAAAAAGCAAUAUUUAUCAAAAACACUAUUAGAAUCAUUUUUCUAGAUUAUCAUAAAAGCGUUUUCAUAAAGAUAUUUUAGAAGAAAACACUUCAGUAAAAAUACUUUCACUAUAAGUAGUGGUAAACGAGCUCAAACUUUAUUAAAAUUUUGAUGACACUGCUUUUAGUGGAAGUGUUGUUAUUAAAAGUGUUUUUUUUUACAACACUUCUAUGAAAAACGUUUUUAUGAGAAUAUGGAAAAGUGAUUCUAAUAAUGUUUUUUUAUGAUAUAUCAUGUAAGUAUAAAAAUACUUUUAAUAAUAAUAAUAAAUUACUAAAAGAGACAUUUAUUACAAAAAAAAAUUAUAAUAAACCAAAAACUUUUAUUACAAAAAAAAUAUAAAUAUUUAUUAUAUUGUUAAAAAAAUAAAUAAAUAAUAUUUUUAUAAAAGGGGAGUGAAAAAUGAAGAGGAAAGUGAGAAGGAAGCCGAGAGUGAAAAAGAAACCAAAGAUAACGAGGAAGAGUAUUUUAAGAAUACAUAAAAAAUUUUGAAUUGUUUUUUCUUAAAGAAACACCUUCUAAGUGCUUUUCAAAAAAACACUUCAAGUAUUUUUUAAAAAAUUUAAAAAUUUUUAAAAGUGUUUUUUAAAAUAUUGUCAAACACCUCCUUUUUACCUUAAAAACAUUUUAAAGUAUUUUUAGGGUUAGAAACACUUUUAAAAAGUACUGUCAAAUAAGUUAAUAUGAUACUAAUAUUUUGCUUUUUCAAAAAAUUUAAAGUUAUACGAGUGAGAACCAUAUUUUUUGAGGGAAAAGUUUUUCGCACUCACAAGACAUAGCGUAGUUACAAUAAUAUUUCCACUUUAAAGUGUUUAUAGUGAAAAUGUUUUCUUUGAAAGUGUUUACAGGAUAAUCAUGUAUAGUUGUUGAAAACCUUCUAAAUGACUUUUCGCGUCAAUUCUUUGAAAAAUAUAGAGUUAUAAAAUCCGCAUCGAAUCGAGAAAUCAACAUAAAAGACAGCCCCACCGACCGCAGAGAAAGAAGACAAGGACAACCCUCAUGCUUCUAUGGCUAAAUAUCAGGACCCUUUCCUCAAUUCUCUCACCACAUUUUGGGGUAGAUUGGUAGCUAGGAAGGCCAACAAGAAUUCAAUAUAUACGUUGGUAGCUGGGAAGGCUUAUUUAUCUCAUUCAUUGAAUGGCUGAGGAGGGAUUACGAUUUUAUUUAUUUUUUAAUCAUUCUCAUAAAAAAAAAAUAUAUUUCAUUACUGUUAGAAAUUGAUGCCCAUGCUAUCAGAUCAUAAGGAUGUUUGAAACCUUGGAAUAAAAAAUAAGACUCAAAUAGUAGCGUGUAGACACGGUCCUUUUCUUUCAUCCAUACAAGGAAACCAAAAGAGAAGUAACAUCAUACAUCAUCGUCUUCAAUCCGCUGUCCUCCCCACUUCUGCAUCCUCUCUGUUGUUUGCUCUACCUGCAAUCAAUUCAGUUUCAAUAUCCAUCAGCAACACUCUUACUUAAUCUAGUUCUGAGCCCUUUUUUUUCAGUCUUUCUGUUUACAGAACUGGAUUGUGAACCAUGGGAUGCAAAUUGCAAAAGCCAUAAUGCAGGCUCAAAGGUCAAGCUGUUCACCUCCCUGUUCCAGUUGGUUCGGUAUACUAUGAACAAUAGUAUCAAUGUCUGCGAAGCAGUUCCACAUAUCAUGCCCCCCCAAAGUCCCUGCACUCACAAAACCCGCUACAAUGAUUUAAUUCCGAAACCGAUUUGUCAACAAUUCUUGGGAGGAGAAGUUCCAUGGAGAGAAAAAUUCACCUGCACCCCAAAGCAUCACAGCCGAUGCAAGUGAAAGCCGAACAAAAGCCCAAAUCUCCCUGAAAUCCGACCACGUUAAUCCUGUCCAUCCUUCUUUGCACCAACCGAUUGCAUAGACCACUUGAGCCACGGCGAUCACCCAAUUGGAGAUGUCAUAAGCUAUGGCUGCACCAGUCGUGCCCCAACCGAACACAAAAAUGAAGACCGCAAGCAAGCCAAUGUCCAGGAUUAGAGCCACAAAACAGAUAGUUGCUUGCACAUUCACCUUACUUUGGGCUUGAAGGAACUUCUGGGUGGGGAAGAUGAUGGCAAGCGAGAACAAUUGAGGAAUGGUUUCGAUAGUGAAUUGUCCAGCAAGAUCAGCUAUCUCGUCUUCUUGCCCAAGGACCUUUAGGGUUGGGGUGGCAAAGAUGUAUAUUGGCAAGAGGAUGAUACAGGUUACUAAUAGAAUUAUCCAUGAUCUCUGCAAGUAAACCCCAAGCAACUGGACUUGUCCAGCACCAUAAGCUUGUCCACAUAAGGUCUCCAGCGCACUCCCCAUACCAAGCUACAAAUUUGAAAGUAGAUUCAGAAUCAAAAUCUGUUUGUUUCAUCAGAAAAUGAAAUCAAGGAAAAUGACAGUAUUGAUUCAAAACAAUGCAAGAUUUUUCAUUCCCAACUCGUUAUUCCAAGUUCCCGUUUCUUCUUUAACUGCUCCAGAAGCUUUCUGGAAUUUCUCAUCAACAAAGCACAAAUUUUUCUUAUAAUGCAAACAUGAUAUUAAUGAGUUUCUAGAAUCUUUCCCCUUUUAAGUUUAAAAUAAAAAAUUGAACUCAGGUAUUCUUAAUGGCUCUGUUUGCUUGUUCGGAAAAUGAAGGAAAAGAAAAAUAAGAACAUUUUGAAAUUUAAUUAACUAAGAAACCCAUUAAUAUCAACCGUCCUGAAUUCCAAAAUUUUCAGGUUCAGCACUUAAUUGUGAUCGAAAAAUUGGGUUUGAUCUUUUCACGAUCAAGAAACAGAAACGAUGAUGAUGAUGAUGAUGAUGAUGAUGAUGAUGAUGAUGAUGAUGAUGAUGAUAAGAAUCAAGUCAUUAACCAAAAUAAUUUAUUUUUAUGCAUGUUUUACUUUCUCCGCAUUCUUAGAUGAGGUAACCAAGAGUCUGACUAACUCACAAGUCUAAAGAACGAAAAAAGUUAUGUUUUUAGAACUCGAUCGAUUAUUAAAUUAAAAAAUUAUCGAUUCACAGUUUAUUAAUUAAACCACGAUGAUGACGCUAUAUAUAUAUAAUUUUAAUAUUAUUAAAAUUUAAAACAUUUAUAAAAAAUUUAAAUAUAUAUAAUUUAAAAUUUUAAUAAAAUAAAAUAUUUAUAAGUAAUUAAAUAUAUAUAAAAAUAAAAUUAAAAAUUUAACAGUAUGUCAUUUUUAUAUUUAAUAUAUCAAAUUAAAUGACAGAAAAAAAUAUAAAUAUAUUUUUAAAAAUCCCCAAAAAAUUUUAGAUAAUCCAAUUUUAGGCGCAUUUACGCUCAUUUUUCAGAAAAGCCAUCUGCACCCUCCAUUUUCAUACUUGACCUCCACCCAUAGUUUAUAAAACAAAACCCAAAAAACCGUCAAUUUCUUCACCACCCGCCGCCUCUUUCCCCUAUUUCUCUUCUUCUUUUCCAGUUCUUCUUCUAGUUGCUCCCUUUCUCUUCUUCUUCUCCGUUUCCUCUUCCAGCCGCUUGCUCCCCUUUUUGGCUUUUUCCCCCUUUCUAUUCUUCUUCUCCAUUUCUUCUCUUUUCUUUUCUUUCUUUCCCUCUCUCUCUCUCUCUCUCUCAUCAUACCCACGCCUACCCUGACCAGCGGCCACCUCACCGUCGGCAGCAACUCAAGCGUGACUACCGAUGCCCGACCAGCAAUGUCCCAUUCCCACCAUAUCGCUAUCUCUCAUAAAAAAAUAAAAAAUAAAAAGGACAUGCAGUGAACCGUUCGGUUCACAACAAAUCGUGUAUUUUCAUCCAAAUCAGAAAAACCCGUUUAGUAAUGAUUGCAUCAUUUAAGUGUUAAAAAUGGUAAAAUAACUUUCAAAUGCAUUUUAUUUUACCUCAAAACCCUCAUUUUAUAUAAAAAAUAUUUUCUAAAAUUAAUUUUCUGCCCGCAUUUUUGGGGGUAGAAUGGUAGCUAGGAAGGCUUUCUUAUCUCAUUCAUUGUUUUGUUGCGAGGGAUUGAAACCUUGGAAUAGAAAAUAAGCCUCAAAUGGUAGACCUCAACAAUGAUCUUACAAGACCUCAAAAUCACAUAAGCAGACACGGGUUUUUUCUUUCAUCCAUACAGGGAAACCAAAAGAGAAGUGACAUCAUACAUCAUCGGCUUCAAUCCGUUGUCCUCCCCACUUCUGCAUCCUCUCUGUUGUUUGCUCUACCUGCAAUCAAUUCAGUUUCAAUAUCCAUCAGCAAGUCUCUUAAUCAAUUCAGUUUACAAAACUGGAUUGUGAAGUAUGGGAUGCAGACUCAGAGGUCAAGCUGCUCACCUCCUUGUUCCAGUUGGUUCUGUAUACUAUGAACAAUAGUAUCAGUGUCUGCAAAGCAGCACCACAUAUCAUGCCCCCCCAAAGUCCCUGCACUCACAAAACCCAUUAUAAUGAUUUAAUUCCGAAACCCGAAUUAUUAACAAUUCUUAGUGGGUGAAGUUCCAUGGAGAGAAAAAUUCACCUGCACCCCCAAAUUUGCUUUGUAACCUAGAAGGUAGCCUAGAGGGAUUCCAAGAAUGUAGUAGCAGCCCAAGUUGAUGUAAGCCACCAAGGCUUGCCAUCCGCCUCCGACGGCAACGCCUAUAACAAAAAAGGAAUUAUGAAGGUGAGGCGGCCAAGAAGACACCCCAUGAGGGCUAUGCUAUGACACAAGUAGUACAUAUGGAGAAGUGAAAAGCCGAUACCUGAAAUCACUGGCUGCAUACUGUUAAGAAGCAUGGUGAUACCAAGAAGAUAUGCUAGGUGAGAAACAGCCUCUUGCAUUUCCUUGUUGCUAGUGAAAAUGAAGGCAAUGUAGUCUCUAGCUAACAAGACCACCACCAUGCACAAAAUCCCAAUAAGGAGAGACUGAGAGACUGCGACAUAGACAGAGUACUUGGCUGCUCUUGGAUGUCCAUAUCCGAGCUCAUUGGAGACCCGAAUGCUGAAAAUUAAGCAAAAAAAGAAAUCCAACAUAUCCACAAGAUGCACUGAUGUACAACAUGCCUCAUAGCACAAAAAUUAUUGAAGGAGAACAGCUUAGGUGUUGUACCUUAGAGCAGCAUUCAUCCCAAUGAACAACAUGGCCUCCCACCCAUUAAAAUUCAUGCUAAAACAUAUCAGAUAAAUGGUUAAAUCAAAAGCAGAAAACCAAAAGCAUAUGUUCAUUAGUCAUUAUUUCAGAGAAGGAAUGGAGGAAUGGUGAUCUCACCAAAUAGAAAGGGACCCAACCGCAAUGACUGCAUUUUGAAGGUGUCCAGUGAGAAGGAUUAUGAUCAUAAAAUACCAUAUCUCUAGGCAGAGCAUCACAGCUGAGGCAAGUGAAAGCCGAACAAAAGCCCAAAUCUCCCUGAAAGCCGACCAUGUUAAUCCUGUCCAUCCUUCUUUGCACCAACCGAUAGCAUAGACAACUUGAGACACGGCAAUCAUCCAAUUCGAUAUGUCAUAAGCUAUGGCUGCACCAGUCGUGCCCCAACCGAACACAAAAAUGAAGACCACAAGCAUUCCAAUGUGCAGGAUUAGAGCCACAAAAGCAAUAGUUGCUUGCACAUUCACCUUGCUUUGGGCUUGAAGGAACUUCUGGGUGGGGAAACUGAUGGCGAGCGAGAACAAUUGAGGAAUGGUUUCGAUAGUGAAUUGUCCUGCAAGAUCAGCUAUCUCGUCUUCUUGCCCGAGGGCCUUCAAGAUUGGGCUGGCAAAGAUGUAUAUUGGCAAGAGGAUGAUACAGGUUACCAAUAGAAUUAUCCAUGAUCUCUGCAAGUAUACCCCAAGCAACUGGACUUGUCCAGCUCCAAAAGCUUGACCACAUAAUGUCUCCAGUGCACUCCCCAUACCAAGCUACAAAUGUGUAAGUUGAUUAAAAAUCUGUUUGUUUCAUCAGAAAAUGAAAUCAAGGAAAAUGACAGUUUUGAUUCAGAACAAUGCAAAAUUUCCAUUCCCAACUUUUCUUCUUUAACUUCUCCUCAGCAAUCAAAGGAAGCCUUGGAGAAUUUUUCUUCAACAGAGUACAAAUUUUCUUGUCAUGAAAAUUUCUAGAUUAUUUCCCCUGAUAUACUUCAAAAUGAUUAUUGCUAAGUAUAAGCCAAGUUUUGUUUUGGACCCAAGUAAAUUCAUUUGAAACCAGAAAAAAUAAAAUUUUUGAAAGCAAAAGUUGAACUCAGUUACUCUUAAAUGGCUCGAGAAAAUGAAGGAAAAGAAAACAAGGAAAAUUUUGAAAUUUUCAUUAUUUAAGAGCCUGAACCCUUCUUCUCUCCAAAGGAAAACAGAAUCUGAAAAUUUUGGAAAUUUUCAGGUUCAGCAAUUAAUUGUGACAUACACUUGGGGGUUGAUUUUUCAUGAUUAAGAGCAGUGUUUUAAAAAACACUUUUAAUAUUUUUAACACUUCAAAAAUUUUGUUAUUUAAGUAUUAGAAAUAUUAUAAAUGUUUUCUAAAAUCACAAUCUAGAAAACAAAAAUAAAAUAAUCAUAAUAAUAAUAACAAAAGCAUAUGAAUCAAACAAUAUAAUUCAUCCUCGCACAGUAAAAAAAAUUUUAAAAAUCAAAGGCAUUUGAAGAAAUAACCCAAGAGCCCGGCUGGCUCAAAACUCACAAAUUUUUUUCUUUUCCUUUCCUUUCCUUUCUUGGAAACCAAACAAAGGGACAGAUACCGAAGUCAAAAGCUACGACAAACUUCAUAAAUAAUGGUGAAAAUCCCAGAAAGGAAACACCCGUGACAGAACAAAUACACAUACAUAUCGAUACAUACAUUGAUUGAAGUGAAGAGAGAGAGAAAAGGAAGCUGACCAUGAAGCCAAAAGAGAAGGUCCCAAUGACAGAGAGGGAAAUGGAGACAGCAGAGAGCUCAAGGUUUCCGAUAUGACCCACAAUCACAGUGGUCAUCGAGUUGGUUCCGAACUGACAAAGUAUUUGGAAAGCCAAAGGCCCAGCAACUCUCCACAGCUUCACUGUCUCCGUCCACACCAUUGACCUCACUUCCCUCCAGCUCCUCAAAGGCGGGUAGUCUCCGUCUCCGCCACCGUGUCCCUUUUCUGCGGCGCCGUUGAGCAGCGGCGUCUCCAUUUUUCCCAGCUCUGAUCCGACCGUCGGUUGAGGCAGUGGGGGUUGAGGCGUUGGCGCUCAAGGGUCUGCUGCUUGCUUAUAAGUAAUAACUGCAAGGCCACAUGGAUGUCACAUGGGCCCACAGUCAUGCAUGAUUUCAACCACCCAAAAGCCCAACCCCCAAAAAAUCCAACCCCCGAAUUAGCCAAAAUCAUUGCUAGACUCUUAACAUUUAAAACCAACGUCAAAUCCUUAUCUUGGUUGAUAGCACAUAAUUAAAUAGAAUAUGUAAAUUCUAAUAUAUUAUAUCCAAUUUCAUAAAAAAUUCAUAUCAUAGAAUAUAAUUUUUAAUGGAAUAUAAUCCUUGAAUAUAAAUAUUUUAUAGACACGGUAUUUUAAGAUAACAUAUUCAAUCAAUUAUAUUAUAUUAUAUUAUAUUAUGUUUAUAUUUAAUUUAUAAAAUAAAUAAAUAAAGAAUGAAAUAUGUAUUAUUUUCAAUAUUAAAAAUAAAAAUUAUAUCUUAUUUCAAUAUUUUCUAUGUUAAAAAAUAAAUUUUUUCAUAUGUUUAAUAAUAUUUAUGAUUAAAAUAUCUAAACUUGCAAGCAUAUCAAAAAAUUAAAAUAGUAGUAAUAAUAAUAAUAAUAUGAUCAUAAAAGGUCACAUGUUUUGAAUAAUUGAUGUUAAGAAUAUAAAAUGUGAGAAAUAAAAAUACCUUUAGUCAUCAAACAUUUGAAUAAUACUUGCAAGCAAAAAUCCUCUUUGAAAGCAAUCAAUCUAUGAGUUCCUCUCACCAAACCAUUAAAUAGGAAGGAAUUGAAGUAUUUCUUGUCAACUUCACUACUUUCCCUCAUUGACGGGUUGCUCAUUACUAGGAAUUGAAGUAUCUCUUGUCAACUUCGCUACUUUCCCUCGUUGAAAGGUUGCUCACUACCAAGAAAAAUGCAUCACACACUCAUCUCAUACACAUUUCUGCAUGCACGCAUUAGAAUUUCGAAUCCAUACCCCCACUAAACGUGCAAGGUUUCCUUUUCAAAAUCAACCAAUUUAUAGAUUUCUUUUACCAUACCACUUAAACAUGAUUAACAUAUUUAUACACAUAUCCAAUUACACAAACAUGGAUUUUGAACAAUUGUACUAGGCAAUUGCACUAGCUAGCAACCGUAGAAAGUAAUUGCACCGAUUAUAUAUUACUAAUAAACUAAUUGUAUAAAGAGUGUAUAAGAUAAUCUAUUGUGAAGGAAUUUGAGUGUUUUGGUAAUUCUCACUUGCUUCAUUUCCUCACCAAAGGAUUUGGAAAGUUUUAAUAAAUGACAAUAAAAUAAGCAAGUGUUAAAAUUUUCUUUUCAAAUUCUAAAAAAUCCAAUAAAUAUAAAAAUAGAUUGAUAUUUCUCAAAUAAAAUUAAAAUGGAAGAAAAAAAAUCCUUUGAAUUAAAAUUUAAUUUUUUUAUCUUUUAAGUUGAUUUAUAAAUAUUUUAAAAAUAAAUAGAAAAUUAAAAUAUUUUAAUUGAAUUUUAAGAUAAAAUUUGAAAAUAAUAAUAAUACUAAUAACCUUCAUAUAAGAUACAAAAACUUUGAGUCAUUGAAUCAACAGGCUGGGCUAGUUGGACUCUUAGACGGACAAACCAAUCUAAUCAAGUCCUCAAGAUUUCUGGUAUACGUGAUCAAUUACACCUGAUGUCUGAGCGCCGACCUAAACACCUCACAUCUGAGUGGCGAAUUAGAUGUUUGACGUCUAAGGAGUGAACGGAACUCCAUUGACGCCCAAAAAUCAAUGUCAAUUAAUUGUUAUACACAAUCCCAAACAUUGGCAAGCUAAAUAAACAGUCAGCCGCAUGAUCCGAGAUUUUGACACGUCAGCAAAUAAUACUAGUCAACCACCCUUAUCCGAUAUGAUUGCCUAGUCGCCCUAAGGGCAAUCAUCAUUACAAGAAAGGUUAGAGUGCAUAGUCAGCACUAUAGUGACAAUGUCAUUAACUUUAUAUAAACCCUUCAAAAAGUACAAACAAGGUACGCAUGCACAUACGCUCAUUUUCUUCCACAUAAAUAGUUAAAACUACCCUUGUUUGACUUAAGCUUUGGAGGGGUAUACACGGAUCACCUGUCCAAACAUCCUUUUGUGCAACGAAGAAGUCCGUCUAACUCCAAGAUAGUUGGACGGACUCUUCAAGAAGCACAAACAAGGGAGGUAGUCCACCUGAUUCCAGUUGGGAACGAGACCAACAUUGAUGCAGUGCUCAUCCACAAAAAAUGUGAGCUCAAAAUCGAGCUACCUACAAAACCUCUAACAAAAUCACAAAAGCAUUAGAGGUUUUUUAUUUCAUCCAUACAAGGAAACCCAAAGAGAAGUAACAUCAUACAUCAUCACUGGUCUUCUCGGUUUCAAUGUGUUGUCCUUCCCACUUCAGCAUCCUCUCUGUUGUUUGCUCCACCUGCAAUUUUUUAUCCAAUUUAACUCAUUGAUUCAUUUACUUUGGCCCUGAUUAGAUCAAAGGGAAGGAAGAUCAGUGAUAACCAAAGGCCAAGCUGAGCUGCUUACCUCCUUGUUCCAAUUGGUUCUGUAAACUAUGAACAACAGAAUCAAUGUCUGCAAAGCUGUUCCACAUACCAUGCCCCCCCAUAGUCCCUUCACUCCCAAUUUUGCUUUGUAACCGAGAAGGCAGCCGAGAGGUGAGCAUGGUUGAACCAACCUGGUAAUUGGUUUGUACCAAAAGUUGGAAAAAAAACAUAAUAAAAUCAUCUCAAAUAUCUAAUAUUUUUUUUUAAAAAACUUCUAUUUUCCAUAUGUAAUUUUUUAUAUGUUUUAUUUAAUAAACUUUAAAAUAUUAAUAUAUUUAUAUAAAAUAUGAAAAAAUAAAUAUUAAUGAUUUUUAAUUUUAUUUAUAUUUAAUUUUUUUAUUUAUUUUUAAUUUUAAUAAAAUAUAAAUUGUAUAUUUAUGACUUCACCGAUUCUACCGCGAUUCAACCACCGAUCCAACCACUAAACUACGAUAACUUUUUCGAUUCGCUGACUGGUUCAAUUCUGAAAACAUUGAAAAUUAUUGAAUAGCAGCAUAUUUGUUUUACCUCAACGCAGCAUUCAUCCCAAUGAACAAAAUGGCCUCCCACCCAUUAAAAUUAAUGCUAAAGCGUAUCAAAUGAACAAAUAAAUCAAAAGCUGAAAAUAAAUAAAAACGUGAGAAGGACACCAGAUCUCUAGGCAAAGCAUCACAGCCGAGGGUCUGCUGCUUGCUCCUACUAAAAAUAUAAGGCCACAUGGAUGUCACGUUUCAACCACCAAAAAACCUAACCCCAAAAUCAUCGGUACACUCGACAUGUAUUUUAAAUGCUAGGUGGGUGCCACAUGCAAGGCAGGUGGGUGUUAGGCAAUAAACCUAAUCUAAAUGCAAACUUCUCAACCGGCUCAAAAAACAGCAUCAUGUGCCAGUUCAUAAAAAAUUUAGGGUUAUUUGAUUAAAAGGGUGAUUAGAAGCUCAAUUUUGAAAAUUUAACCCUUUAUUAUUUUUUAACCUUAUUUUGAUCUAAAUAACCUUAUUAUUAUUUUUUUAUAAAAAUAACCAUUUCUUUUAAAACAUAUUGUAAAUAUUUAAAAUAAUCAAUGACAUUUACGUCAAAAAUAAGUUUUUCUUCAAAUAAAAACAUGAGAAUUGAUAAAUUUAUGAAUAUAAAAAAUAUUUCAUCUCUUUUAACCAAUUAUAUCAUAAAUUUAUAGAUGUGUUAAUUGACGAUUUGAAAUCAAUGAUGAUUAGAUAUAUUUACAUCAAAUCCCAAGGCUCUAAAUGAAAUGAACCCAUAAAAUUAAGCCUACAAAUAUAUAAUUUAUGUUUUAUUAAAAUUAUUUAUAAUUAUAAAAAUAAUAUUAAUAAUUAAAUAGACAUAUAAAUAAUAAAUUUUAUUGAAAUUUUAAUAACAUAUCUGAUAUUUGAUUUGAUUUUAUUUGUUGGUGGGAUCACCAACAACUCUUAUUUGACAUCAAGUCAAUUUUUAGAUAAGCAAGAGUCCUUAUCCAUAGAAUUAGCUCAAAAAAUAAAAAAUAAAAAAUAAAAAUAAAAGAGAGAGAGAGAGAGAGAUAAUUCAGGCAUGAUACAUCUAAAUCAAAUCCAGCAUUGUCCCAACCAGUGGGAAAAAAUAAAAACAAAAAGCCAUGUUAAAAGAUAAAAUUCAUUAAUUAAUGCACUCUAUUAAAUUCCAUAUUCUAGUCGGUAUAUGUUACCAUUGCUACCAAGUCAUGAAGAUUCACCCAAAUUUGAAAUGGUGGCCUUUUGCUCAACUUCCAAUCAUAUAUGAAAAUACAAAGGUCCAAGCAAAUUCUACAGAUCAAUUAUUUCUUAAACUAUGGAAAUUAUGCCUAACUUAAACUAAAAGUAAAAAAAAAAAUGAAAAUAUUAGGUUUUCCAGCCUUUAAAAACUUUGGAUCCGACUAGGAUUUACUUUAAAAAAAAUGUUAAAUCAAAUAAAUGUUUUUGUACUUGUUUAACUAAUUUUAUUAAAAUGUUUUAUGCAAGUGUAUUUAAAUAAUAAUAAUAAUAAUAAUAUAUAGUUUGUGAUAUCCCAUAUCAUAUAGGAGAGAAAAAUUAUGAUACUAUAUAAGUAUAAGUCCUUCUUAACCCUAUAAAUGUGUUAUAAAGCCGUGAAGGCCUCUUUGAACUCAAAAUAGACAAUAUUUACACUAUUAGGUGUGUACUAUUACAAAUGGUAUCAGAAUAGAUUUCAAUAGACACAUUUUAAAGCUGUGAGGACUCAUUUGGACCCAAAAUAAAUAAGUCCUCAUUUGGACCCAAAAUGAAUAAUAUAUACACGAUUAGGUAUAAGUCAUUACAAAUAAUAUCAAAGUCAAUCCCCGACUCUAGUGUAGGGGUUUGUUUGACCCCAUUUGGAGUGUUUAUCUAUUUAACCCUACAAUCCCAUGAGAUACAACGAAGACAUUGUAUUUGUAUGGGAGGGUGUUUAUGAUAUCCCACAUCAAAUAAGGGAGAAAGUAUUUGACGUUAUAUAAGUAUGGACCCUUUUUAACCUUGUAAACAUGUUUUAAAGUUGUGAAUGUCCAUUUAGGCCUAAAACGGACAAUAUUUACAUAGUUGGAUGAUCUAUGAGUUCUUCUCACCAAACCAUUAAAUCAUGUUUCCUUGAACAAGGCUAAUGCACUAACUAUAUAAGGGAUGUAUAAGACAACCUACUAUAAAGAAAUUGAAGUAUUUCUCGUCAACUUCCCUACUUUCUCUUAUUGAAAGGUUGCUCACUACCAAGAAAAAUGCAUCACACUCUCAUCCCAUAGAUAUUUGUGUAUGCACACAUUAGAAUUUCGAAAUCCCUACCCCAACUAAGCAAGCAAAGUUUCCUUUUCAAAAUCAAUUGAUUUAUAGAUUCCUUCUACCAUACCUUUGAAACAUGAUUAACAUACUCAUACACAUAUCCAAUAAUACAUACAUGGAUUUUGAACGACUACUAGACAGUUGCUCUAGCUAACAAUUCUACAAAACAAUUGCACUAAUUAUAUAAGACCAAUAAACUAAUUGUAUAAAGAGUGUACAAGAUAGUCUAUUAUCAAGAAUUUGAGUGUUUCUUUAAUUCUUACUUCUUUCCCCUCACCAAAGCAUUUGAAAAGUUUUAAUAAAUGAAAAUAAAAAUAAAAAUAAGUAAGUUUUAAAUUUUGUUUUCAAAUUUAAAAAAAAAAAAUCCAAUAAAUAUAAAAAUAGAUUGAUAUUUUUUUAAAUAAAAUUAAAAUGGAAGAAAAAAAAUUAUCCUUUGAAUCAAAAUUUAAUUUUUUAUCUUUACGUUGAUUUAUAAAUAUUUUAAAUAUAAAUAGAAAAAUUAAAAUAUUUUAAAUGAAUUAAGGUAAAAUUUGAAGAAAAAAUAAUAAUAAUAACUUUAAUAUAAGAUGCAAAAAGUUUGGCUUACAUUAAAAAGGUAAUGGUUUUAAAAAAUAUUUAAAAAUUUUAAGAUAUUAGAAAAAACAAAUACUAUCUCAAAUUUUGAAGUUUUGAGUGUCGAUUGAAAUUUUUUAAUUUUCUCAUUUCAGUUAAGAUGUUAAAAUAUUUAAAAUUUGUACUAUUUCAUUAGUUCAUCAAAAUGGUUCAAAUUUACUUACCAUGCCUACCUCAACAUUUUAAAACUAUAAUAGAGGGUUCCUGUCAAUUUUAAAAAGAAAUAAAGGGUAUUUUAAGAAUUUUCAAAUACCGACAUAUAAAAAUCAACUUCGUAAUAAUUUAACAUCUUCCUCGACCAUUUCAACCCAAAUACGCAAGUUAUAGGAUGUUGACCCACUUAUUAAGUCCAUCUAUCUUUAAAGCACAAUUAGUCCUCUUUUUCUUUAAAAAAAAAUAAUAAUCAUAAUGUAUGUAAAAAGUUCUUUUAUAACACACUUCAACUUUGACUUCACGACUUUGACUUCAACUUCAACUUUUAAGUAAAGUCAAAUAUCAAAAAUGAUCCUCGGAUCUUUGUACCCCUUCCCCGAUUGAGAGUAUUGUAGACUUCAUUUAUAAUCCUAUGAGGCCUACAUCUCUACCAGGACUCACUGUAAUGAAAGCCUCGAUGCAGUGCUCAACCAGAAAAAAUGUGAGCUCAAAAUUGAGCUACCUACAAAACCUCUAACAAAAUCACAAAAGCAUUACAUGUUUUUUAUUUCAUCCAUAAAAGGAAACCCAAAGAGAAGAAGUAACAUCAGACAUCAUCACUCGUCUUCUCGGUUUCAAUCUGUACUCCUCCCCACUUCUGCAUCCUCUCUGUUGUUUGCUCCACCUGCAAUUUUUUAUCCAAUUCAACUCAUUAUUUCAUUUACUUUGGCCCUGAUUAGAUCGAAGGAAAGGAAGAUCAGUGAUAACCAAAGGCCAAGCUGAGCUGCUUACCUCCUUGUUCCAAUUGGUUCUGUAAACUAUGAACAACAGAAUCAAUGUCUGCAAAGCUGUUCCACAUAUCAUGCCCCCCCAAAGUCCUUUCACUCCGAAUUUUGCUAGGUAACCGAGAAGGCAGCCGAGAGGGACCCCAAUAAUGUAAUAGCAACCCAAGUUGAUGUAAGCCACCAAGGCUUGCCAUCCGCUUCCGACGGCAACGCCUAUAAUAAAGAAGGAAUUAUGAAGGUGAGGAGGCCAAGAAGAUGCCCCAUGAAGGCUAUGAUACAAGUAAUAUGGAGAAGGAAAAAGCUGAUACCUGAUAAGACUGGCUGCAUACUGUUCAGAAGCAUGGUGGCACCAAGAAGAUAUGCUAGGUUAGAAACAGCCUCUUGCAUUUCCUUGUUGCUAGUGAAAAUGAAGGCAAUGUAGUCUCUAGCUAACAAGACCACCACCAUGCACAAAAUCCCAAUAAGGAGAGACUGAGAGACUGCAACAUAGACAGAGAACUUGGCUGCUCUUGGAUGUCCAUAUCCGAGCUCAUUGGAGACCCGAAUGCUGAAAAUUAAGCAAUAAAAGAGAUCCAAAAUGUCCACAAGGUGUACAGAUGAACAAACAACAUUCCUUAAAGCACAAAAAUUAUUGAAGAGAGCAGCAUAUUUGUUUUACCUCAGAGCAGCAUUCAUCCCAAUGAACAACAUGCCUUCCCACCCAUUAAAAGCCAUGCUAAAACAUAUCAGAUGAACAAAUAAAUCAAAAGCUGAAAGUAAAUUACAAGGACCAAAAGCAUAUGCUCAUUAGUCAUUAUUUCAGAAAAGGAAUGGAGAUCUCACCAAAUAGAAAGGGACCCAACUGCGAUGACUGCAUUUUGAAGGUGGCCAGUGAGAAGGACUAUGAUCGUAAAAUACCAGAUCUCUAGGCAAAGCAUCACAGCCGAGGCAAUUGAAAGCCGAACAAAAGCCCAAAUAUCCCUGAAAGCUGACCAUGUUAAUCCUGUCCAUCCUUCUUUGCACCAACCAAUAGCAUAGACAACUUGAGACACGGCAAUCACCCAAUUCGAUAUGUCAUAAGCUAUGGCUGCACCAGUCGUGCCCCAACCGAACACAAAAAUGAAGACCGAAAGCAUUCCAAUGUGCAGGAUUAGAGCCACAAAAGCAAUAGUUGCUUGCACAUUCACCUUGCUUUGGGCUUGAAGGAACUUCUGGGUGGGGAAGAUGAUGGCGAGUGAGAACAAUUGAGGAAUGGUUUCAAUAGUGAAUUGUCCAGCAAGAUCAGCUAUGGCAUCUUCUUGCCCAAGGACCUUUAGGAUUGGGGUGGCAAAUACGUAUACUGGCGAGAGGAUGACACAGGUUACCAAUAGAAUUAUCCAUGAUCUCUGCAAGUAAACCCCAAGCAAGUGGACUUGUCCAGCACCAUAAGCUUGUCCACAUAAGGUCUCUAGUGCACUCCCCAUACCAAGCUACAAAUUUGUAAUUAGAUUCAAAAUCAAAAUAUGUUUGUUUCAUCAGAAAAUGAAAUCAAGGAAAAUGACAGUAUUGAUACAAAACAAUGCAAAAUUUUCCAUUCCCAACUUGUUAUUCAAAGUUCCCAUUUCUUCUUUUAACUGCUCCUGAAGCUUUACAGAAUUUCUCAUCAACAAAGCACAAAUUUUUCUUAUAAUGCAAACAUGGUAUUAAUGAGUUUCUAGAAUCUUUCCCAUUUUAAGCUUAAAAUUAAUAAUAAUAAAAAAUUAAAAAAAAUUGAAUUUAGGCAUUCUUAAAUGACUCUGUUUUGCUUGUUGAGAAAAUGAAGGAAAAGAAAACAAGGAAAAUUUUGAAAUUUAAUUACUUAAGAGCCUAACCCCCUCUCCUCUCCAAAGGAAAACAGAACUCCAAUAUCAACCUACAAACCCAUUAAUAUCAACCGUCCUGAAUUCCAAAAUUUUCAGGUUCAGCAAUUGAUUGUGAUCGAAAAUUUGGGGUUGAUCUUUUCAAGAUUAAGAAACAGAAACAAUAUAAAAAUAAUAAUAAUAAUAACAAAAACAUAAGAAUCAAGUCAUCAACCAAAAUAAUUUAUUCUUGGGCAUGUUUCUCCACAGUCUUAGAUGGUAUACAAAGUAAAAAAAAAAAAAUUAAAAAUCAAAUGCAUUUGAAGAAGUAACCCUAGAGCCUGGCUGGCUCAAAAGUCAAAGCAAGAGAACUAAAAACCCAUUUUGUUUUUUCUUUUCCGUCGUUUCUCGGCAACCAAACAAAGGCACAGUUACGAAAAGUUACGACAAACUUCAUAAAUUACGGGGACAACCCAGAAAGGAAACACCCGUGACAGUCUGGAAGUGCAGAGAAAGAAAAAAAAAAGAGAGAGAAAAGGAAGCCAACCAUGAAGCCAAAAGAGAAGGUGCCAAUGACAGAGAGGGAAAUGGAGACAGCAGAUAGCUGAAGGUUUCCGAUAUGACCCACAAACACACUGGUCAUCGAGUUGGUGCCGAACUGACACAGUAUUUGGAAAGCCAAAGGCCCAGCAACUCUCCACAGCUUCACUGUCUCCUUCCACACCAUUGACCUCACUUCCCUCCAGCUCCUCAAAGGCUGGUAGUCUCCGUCCGCGCCACCGUAUCCCUCUUCGGCGCCGCCGUUGAGCAGCGGCGUCUCCAUUUUCCGACCGUUGGUUAAGGCAGCUGGUGUUGAGGCGUUGGCGUUGAAGAAGACUCUGCCGCUUGCUCUUAAGUCCUGCCGUAAAUAUAAGGCCACAUGGAUGUCACGUGGCCACCCUUUGAUACCAACCAAAAUUAAUUCACGAAUGAUGUUUUAUUUUUACACGUCCUUGAAAUUUGGAGUCAAAUUGAUCUUGAAAAUUGUAUCAAAAUCAUAAUUUAAAAUAUGAUUUUUUUUUAAAAAUAUGUGAGAAAAAUAUAUCAUUUUAAAUAUUUAUUUUAAUAUUAAAAAAAUUAAAAAUUUUAAAUAGGAAAAGAUGGGACAAGCAUAAAAGGAUGAGAACGAAUAUAAACAAUCGAAACCACGAGAUAUUGAUGAGAUAACUCCGAACACUUAUUCAACAUGCAAACAUUUCAAGGACGAAACCAUCUAAAUGGUCCAGCUUUGGUAGCAACUUUCCACAACUUAGACUAUUCAAAACAAAAAACAACCAAAAAGGCAAAAAUAAAAUAAGAUACGACAAAAUAAAAGUAAAAGGUGAUGUUGAAAGAAAAAGAGUUUCCGUUUCCGACUACAUUCUAAAAAAUAAUUUUUGAGAAUAAGUUUUUAAGAUUUUUUUUUUUUUGAUAUUUUAUGAAAUAAAAGUAAAUUUGAUCAAAAUUUAAAAAAUAGUUUUUUACAUAAUAUUUUAUUUUUAAAUAUUACUCAUAUUUUUAUAAUUAUUUUUAAAAAUAUCUUUUAGAAAAUAAGUAAAGACAAUUAAAAUAUAUUAUUUAAAAACAUCAUGUUUUUUAUAUUUAAGAAUAAAAAAAUUGUUUUAUGCUUUUUAAUUGGUUUUAAAUUUUAAAAAUAAUUUUUAUAUAUAGUGUUUUAUUUUUAAUCAUUUCUCAUAUUUUUAUAAUUGUUUCUUAAAAUAACAUAAAAAUUGAUAUAUUGAUUCACACAAGAAUGCACGUAAAAUACUAAAUAAAAUUAUUUAUGUUCAAGCAAGUUCUAACAAUACCAUUAUGACCACAAGGUCGGUGGUUUCUUAGCCUUCGAUUGGUGCUUGUGGUUUCAAGGGUACAAUAAGAGGGACGUCAUUUACUGCUCAAAUCACAAUAGAAAAUGUCAUUCAUACAUAAUGGAUCAAGGUAUACAAUAAGUAGAAGUCAUGAUAAAGGGUCUCGUAUCAAAAAGAAAUGCAACAUUAAGAACGAAACAACUAAAAAAUAUUAGUUUCUUAAUAAGUUAAUAAGUUAUAAUGAUAAUAUUUUCAAUAAAAUUAAUAAUAAUACCAAUAGUAACAAGAUAAUAAUAUUGAGUAUAAUUGCUAAUAUCCAUAUCAUGAAUAAUGAUGUAAAUAAUAAUAAUAAUAAUUAUAAUUAUUAUUAUUAUUAUUAUUAUUAAAAAUAAUUAAUGGAUAUGAAGAGAAUUUUAAUGAAUGCAUUAAAAAAAUUUCUCAAAAUUAAAAGCUAAUGGAAUGAAAUAUGCAAUACAAUUGUCCCUUUUCAAAAUAGCAAUACCAUUUUUAGUUUUGACACCCACUUCGAAUCAAACCAAAAGCAAGACAAAAGCGCUUUAAGCAAGGGUCAUGAGUUGUGAUUUUUAAAGUCCCAUUUGUAGGGACCCCUCCCCUUGGGAAACACGUGGCACGCAGCUCAUGGUGACGCGUGGCACGUGCUAUCAGCCGGACCAUCAUCAUCCGGAUUCUCCUAAAGAUAUGCAUGGUGCGGCUAUCCUAUCCGGAACCCCUCAAGGAAAGGCAAACGACGUUUCAGCUUCUCCUAUCCAAGGAAGAGCAAACGACGCUGGCAAAGCGUAGGCACCCGGAUAGUCUCCACAACACAUCCGGAUAAUCAGCAUGAUUCAUCCGGAUAUAAAUCGUCUGGAUGGUCAAUUAAAGUAAAGCGAGUCUUACACGCAAUCACAACAAGCAGCCAUGGCCCACAUCCCAUCACCUGCAGAAUGAGAAGACAAGAGGAAGUGACAGCAAGUCACUUCCCACGAUCAUUCUACAUAAUCACUUCCCACGAUCUCUGACAGCCGCAUCACCUACCAUGGUCUCUGACAGCCAUUCGUAGGAUGAUAGUGCUCCUACUAACACCUAUUGUCAUCAUCACAACAGAAAAUAUCUCCUCACCAUUAAUGAGAGGAACAGUACCCCUGAAGCUGUAUAUAUAUGACUUCACACGAAGAAGAAAGGGAUGAUGAUCUCCUGGUAACCUCNNNNNNNNNNNNNNNNNNNNNNNNNNNNNNNNNNNNNNNNNNNNNNNNNNNNNNNNNNNNNNNNNNNNNNNNNNNNNNNNNNNNNNNNNNNNNNNNNNNNUGAUUUGAUUCUAAUCAAAUGCAAAGUUAUAUUUGGGCAUUAGUAGACUAGAUUUGCUUCUUACUCAUGGAUGGAUGGGGCUUUCUCCCUUGUCAAAUAAGGAAUCUAGAAAUUGUUCUUGAAAAAUAAAAACUAUUAUAGAAUGUUUUUACCCAUUUGCCCAUGCCCACUCAUCACUUCGUUCUCUCUCAAACACCCCAAACUACCACUGAACACCAAGUGUUUGUGUUAAUGCCUGACCAGGGAAAACUGUUUUAUGAUUGGAUGCAAAAUGGUGCUUGUAGGGACCCCUCCCCUUGGGAAACACGUGGCACGCAGCUCAUGGUGACGCGUGGCACGUGCUAUCAGCCGGACCAUCAUCAUCCGGAUUCUCCUAAAGAUAUGCAUGGUGCGGCUAUCCUAUCCGGAACCCCUCAAGGAAAGGCAAACGACGUUUCAGCUUCUCCUAUCCAAGGAAGAGCAAACGACGCUGGCAAAGCGUAGGCACCCGGAUAGUCUCCACAACACAUCCGGAUAAUCAGCAUGAUUCAUCCGGAUAUAAAUCGUCUGGAUGGUCAAUUAAAGUAAAGCGAGUCUUACACGCAAUCACAACAAGCAGCCAUGGCCCACAUCCCAUCACCUGCAGAAUGAGAAGACAAGAGGAAGUGACAGCAAGUCACUUCCCACGAUCAUUCUACAUAAUCACUUCCCACGAUCUCUGACAGCCGCAUCACCUACCAUGGUCUCUGACAGCCAUUCGUAGGAUGAUAGUGCUCCUACUAACACCUAUUGUCAUCAUCACAACAGAAAAUAUCUCCUCACCAUUAAUGAGAGGAACAGUACCCCUGAAGCUGUAUAUAUAUGACUUCACACGAAGAAGAAAGGGAUGAUGAUCUCCUGGUAACCUCUUGAUACCUAGUAAAAGGCCAACUGCCUCAUAUAUCUUAUUCUCUUACCAUGGCUAACAACAUCAUCGGAGGGUGCAUCCGGACACCCUGUCCGGAUGCCUUUUUGCAGGUACAACCACUGAAUCAAGAACCCCUUGUGUGUUGAGAAUCGCGUGUCCAUCCAUCUAGCAGCAACGCGGCCCACAUGAUACGCGAGGUGACAACAUUGGCGCCGUCUGUGGGAAAAUUUUACUUUUUAUUUUGAUUCAGUCACUAGCAAAGAUGGCCACACCUUCCCAAAGUCGAUCAUCUGGUAGAGAGGAAGAAGAUAAUCACGAAUGGCGUCAAGCCAUCGAAAAAAGACAGUUGGCGAGCGAAAAACAGCUAAGAGCUCUCCUCCAGGAGACGGAGAGGUUAAGGGAAGAAAACGCUGUGUUACGCAUUCAAGCCUCAACAUCAGGACCUCCUCGUCGUCAGCGCUCAAAAGGUCAAGUGGCAAACUCAAGGCCAGAGCCAGAAUCAAUAUAUCCUGGGUCAACAGGAGUUGUCCCAGGAACAUACAACGCAAGGCCCCAUGAGCCACGCACACCCAUGCCUCGAGCUCCCCGUGAGGAAAGCUCAGAUUCCACUCAUUUCUCAGCAAAAAGACAACGUGAUAGAAAAUCACAGUUGUCAAGUUCUAUGCGCGCAAGACUAGGCUCACAAGAGCCUGGGAGAUCAAGGCCACCAGUAGCCACAACUCGGGCGCCACACCCCGAUCCUAUGAUUGCUCCCAUGGUGCAGAACGUACCUCCUCAUCGUGACCCCAUGGUCACCCCAGCGAUGCGGAACGUUCACUCACACCUAGCGGAACGACCAGCUGGGAGAAACCUCCCAAACGAGCCACCCAUUGGCUCCAUCAGCAAAAGGCUGGAUGACAUGCUCUCCACGCCCUUUUGCUCUCAUAUCACCCAUUACGAGCCCCCAAGAGGAUUUCUCGUACCAAAGUUUUCCACAUACGAUGGGACCAACGAUCCCUUCGAUCACAUCAUGCACUAUCGACAGCUUAUGACGCUCGAUAUUGGCAACGAUGCAUUAUUAUGCAAAGUAUUCCCUGCCAGCCUUCAAGGGCAGGCCCUCUCAUGGUUUCAUCGCCUACCUCCUAACUCUGUUGACAAUUUCAGGGACCUCUCUGAAGCAUUCGUGGGACAGUACUUAUGCUCUGCUCGACACAAGCAGAAUAUCAGCACCCUCUAGAACAUAAAAAUGAAAGACAACGAAUCCUUGAGGGAAUUUGUGAAACGAUUUGGCCAAGCCGUACUCCAAAUAGAGGUUUGCAGCAUGGACGCUGUCCUACAGAUCUUCAAAAGAAGCAUCUGUCCAGGCACCCCAUUUUUCGAAUCGCUGGCAAAAAAACCUCCUACAACGAUGGACGAUUUGUUCAGACGCGCUAACAAAUAUUCAAUGCUCGAAGAUGACGUACGUGCAGCCACUCAGCAAGUUUUGGUUGCCGGACGGGCCUCUAGAGAUAACGUGGACAGACAUGCCAAACCUCCGGACCGGCCAAAACCAGUUGACCGGAGGCAGGACGGGCCGAGUCGUCCGGAUAGGCCGUCCAUCACACCCCUAUCCAUAUCAUACGAAAAACUUCUCCCAAUGAUCCAAGGGUUGUCCGACUUCAGGUGGCCUAGACCCCUCGAAACGGACCCAUCUAUAAGAGACCGCAGCAAGAAAAUGCGCCUUCCACAAAGACCAUGGUCAUACAACAGAGACAUGUCGGUCCCUCCAGUAUCUAGUUGAAAGGCUCAUCAAAGCAGGACAUUUNNNNNNNNNNNNNNNNNNNNNNNNNNNNNNNNNNNNNNNNNNNNNNNNNNNNNNNNNNNNNNNNNNNNNNNNNNNNNNNNNNNNNNNNNNNNNNNNNNNNCCACGCCCUUUUGCUUUCAUAUCACCCAUUACGAGCCCCCAGAGGAUUUCUCGUACCAAAGUUUUCCACAUACGAUGGGACCAACGAUCCCUUCGAUCACAUCAUGCACUAUCGACAGCUUAUGACGCUCGAUAUUGGCAACGAUGCAUUAUUAUGCAAAGUAUUCCCUGCCAGCCUUCAAGGGCAGGCCCUCUCAUGGUUUCAUCGCCUACCUCCUAACUCUGUUGACAAUUUCAGGGACCUCUCUGAAGCAUUCGUGGGACAGUACUUAUGCUCUGCUCGACACAAGCAGAAUAUCAGCACCCUCUAGAACAUAAAAAUGAAAGACAACGAAUCCUUGAGGGAAUUUGUGAAACGAUUUGGCCAAGCCGUACUCCAAAUAGAGGUUUGCAGCAUGGACGCUGUCCUACAGAUCUUCAAAAGAAGCAUCUGUCCAGGCACCCCAUUUUUCGAAUCGCUGGCAAAAAAACCUCCUACAACGAUGGACGAUUUGUUCAGACGCACUAACAAAUAUUCAAUGCUCGAAGAUGACGUACGUGCAGCCACUCAGCAAGUUUUGGUUGCCGGACGGGCCUCUAGAGAUAACGUGGACAGACAUGCCAAACCUCCGGACCGGCCAAAACCAGUUGACCGGAGGCAGGACGGGCCGAGUCGUCCGGAUAGGCCAUCCAUCACACCCCUAUCCAUAUCAUACGAAAAACUUCUCCCAAUGAUCCAAGGGUUGUCCGACUUCAGGUGGCCUAGACCCCUCGAAACGGACCCAUCUAUAAGAGACCGCAGCAAGAAAUGCGCCUUCCACAAAGACCAUGGUCAUACAACAGAGACAUGUCGGUCCCUCCAGUAUCUAGUUAAAAGGCUCAUCAAAGCAGGACAUUUAAAACAGUACCUCCGCUCAGAUACUGGAGGAAGGGACGCAUCACAGCAUCAUAACUCUGGGGCCCCGAGGGCCCCAGUCGCCCCUAAGGUUGUCAUAAACUAUAUCAACGGGGCCCAUCUGACGAGGAAUACGAUUCCAGGCGGAAAAGACAGAAAUUGCUGUGAGCCGCGUCAAUACGCGAACGCAUUAAUUCCAUCCGGCCGGGUCUUACUGGGGAGGGCCCUCGCCCCAUUGAUGGGACAAUCAUUUUCCCACCAGUAGAUCCCACCCGAACGCUACAGCCACAUCGCGACGCCCUCAUCCUCUCUCUAGAAAUAGGAGAUUUUGAUGUAAGACGUAUCUUGGUUGAUCCAGGCAGUUCAGCCGAUCUAGUACAAGCAUCAGUCAUUGGCCAUAUGGGACAUAGUCUCGCGGGUCUCGAAAACCCCGGACGAAUCUUAUCCGGAUUCAACGGAUCAUCAACAACAUCCUUAGGAGACAUUAUACUGUCGGUUCGAGCUGGACCAGUCACUCUCAACGUGCAAUUCUCGGUGGUACAAGAGUUGUCACCCUUCAAUGUCAUCUUGGGACGCACAUGGGCUUCACUACAUGAAAGUCAUCCNNNNNNNNNNNNNNNNNNNNNNNNNNNNNNNNNNNNNNNNNNNNNNNNNNNNNNNNNNNNNNNNNNNNNNNNNNNNNNNNNNNNNNNNNNNNNNNNNNNNNNNNNNNNNNNNNNNNNNNNNNNNNNNNNNNNNNNNNNNNNNNNNNNNNNNNNNNNNNNNNNNNNNNNNNNNNNNNNNNNNNNNNNNNNNNNNNNNNNNNNNNNNNNNNNNNNNNNNNNNNNNNNNNNNNNNNNNNNNNNNNNNNNNNNNNNNNNNNNNNNNNNNNNNNNNNNNNNNNNNNNNNNNNNNNNNNNNNNNNNNNNNNNNNNNNNNNNNNNNNNNNNNNNNNNNNNNNNNNNNNNNNNNNNNNNNNNNNNNNNNNNNNNNNNNNNNNNNNNNNNNNNNNNNNNNNNNNNNNNNNNNNNNNNNNNNNNNNNNNNNNNNNNNNNNNNNNNNNNNNNNNNNNNNNNNNNNNNNNNNNNNNNNNNNNNNNNNNNNNNNNNNNNNNNNNNNNNNNNNNNNNNNNNNNNNNNNNNNNNNNNNNNNNNNNNNNNNNNNNNNNNNNNNNNNNNNNNNNNNNNNNNNNNNNNNNNNNNNNNNNNNNNNNNNNNNNNNNNNNNNNNNNNNNNNNNNNNNNNNNNNNNNNNNNNNNNNNNNNNNNNNNNNNNNNNNNNNNNNNNNNNNNNNNNNNNNNNNNNNNNNNNNNNNNNNNNNNNNNNNNNNNNNNNNNNNNNNNNNNNNNNNNNNNNNNNNNNNNNNNNNNNNNNNNNNNNNNNNNNNNNNNNNNNNNNNNNNNNNNNNNNNNNNNNNNNNNNNNNNNNNNNNNNNNNNNNNNNNNNNNNNNNNNNNNNNNNNNNNNNNNNNNNNNNNNNNNNNNNNNNNNNNNNNNNNNNNNNNNNNNNNNNNNNNNNNNNNNNNNNNNNNNNNNNNNNNNNNNNNNNNNNNNNNNNNNNNNNNNNNNNNNNNNNNNNNNNNNNNNNNNNNNNNNNNNNNNNNNNNNNNNNNNNNNNNNNNNNNNNNNNNNNNNNNNNNNNNNNNNNNNNNNNNNNAAAAGCUCCGCCCUAUUUUCAAGGCCCACCCAGUGAUUGUACUGACCGAUCAACCCUUCGCAGCAUUCUACACAAACCAGAUUUAACUGGGCGAAUGCUACAGUGGGCCAUCGAAUUGAGCGAAUUUGGAAUCGAAUUCCAACCCAGAUUAUCCAAAAAAGGCCAAGUAAUGGCCGACUUUGUGCUCGAAUAUUCACGAAGACCCAACCAGCACCACGAAUCAAGUGAACAGGAGUGGUGGACACUACGAGUUGACGGCGCCUCGCGCUCAUCAGGCUCUGGAGUUGGGCUCGUAUUACAGUCCCCAACUGGGGAACAUCUGGAGCAAGCCAUCCGGCUGGGAUUCUCUGCGUCUAACAAUGAGGCAGAAUACGAGGCCAUCCUGUCCGGAUUGGACCUCGCCCUUGCUCUAUCCGUCUCCAAACUCCUGAUCUACAGCGACUCACAACUAGUGGUAAGGCACAUCCAGAAAGAAUAUGAGGCUAAGGACUCACGCAUGGCGCGAUACUUGGCCAAAGUAAGAAGCACCUUACAGCAAUUCACCGAGUGGACAAUCGAAAAAAUUAAGCGAGCUGACAAUAGGCACGCUGACGCUUUGGCCGACAUAGCUGCCUCUCUACCUAUCAAAGAAGCCAUUCUAUUGCCCAUAUAUGUGCAAGCCAAUCCCUCUGUCGCAGAAAAUUCCACUUGCAACACCAUUGAGGCAACCCAAACGGAUAAUCAGGAAUGGACGCAGGAUAUUGCAGAAUAUAUCCGGACAGGCACUUUACCCAAAGAUCUUAAACAAGCACACAAAAUCCGGGUGCAGGCUGCCCGCUUCACCCUGAUCGGGGGACACCUGUACAAGCGAUCUUUCACAGGGCCUUAUCUUCGCUGUCUUGGGCAUACAGAGGCCCAGUAUGUGCUAGCUGAAUUACAUGAAGGAAUAUGCGGAAAUCAUACGGGAGGACGAUCCCUAGCACAUAGAGCUCAUUCACAAGGAUACUAUUGGCCAACAAUGAAGAAAGACGCGGCAGCAUAUGUCCAAAAGUGUGAUAAAUGUCAAAGAUACGCCCCCAUUCCACAUGUGCCAUCAGCAGCAUUGAAAUCGGUCUCAAGCCCAUGGCCUUUCGCGCAGUGGGGCAUGGACAUAGUGGGACCCCUCCCAGCAGCACCUGCCCAAAAGAAAUUCCUUCUUGUCGCCACUGAUUACUUCAGUAAAUGGGUAGAAGCUGAAGCAUAUGCAAGCAUCAAAGAUAAAGAUGUCACCAAAUUCGUAUGGAAGAACAUUGUUUGCCGCUUUGGAAUUCCCCAAAUCAUCAUAGCUGACAAUGGUCCACAAUUUGACAGCAUUGCAUUCAGGAAUUUCUGUUCGGAAUUGAAUAUCCGGAAUUCAUACUCCACGCCACGUUAUCCUCAAAGCAAUGGCCAGGCGGAAGCCACAAACAAAACUUUAAUCAAUGCCUUGAAGAAAAGGCUGGAGCAAGCCAAAGGAAAGUGGGUGGAGGAGCUACCCGGCGUCCUAUGGGCCUAUCGAACCACACCCGGACGACCAACAGGAAAUACCCCUUUUGCCCUCACAUAUGGAAUGGAUGCGGUCAUUCCCACUUAAAUAGGUCUCCCUACUAUCCGGACUGAUGCAGCAAAGCAAAAAGACGCCAACACGGAACUAGGAAGAAAUUUGGACUGGGCAGACGAAGUCAGAGAAAGCGCAUCCAUCCGGAUGGCAGAUUAUCAACAAAGAGCAUCAGCGCAUUACAAUCGAAAAGUCAGGCCCAGAAACUUCAAAAAUGGUACGCUAGUACUUAGAAAAGUUUUUGAAAAUACUGCUGAAGUAGGCGCAGGAAAAUUCCAAGCCAAUUGGGAAGGACCCUACAUAGUGACUAAGGCAAAUGAAAAUGGAGCCUAUCAUUUACAAAAGCUAGAUGGCACUCCGUUACUCAGACCAUGGAAUGUGUUCAAUUUAAAGCAGUAUUAUCAGUAGAAAGUGUACACGAGUGCAAAUGAGAAAGAAGUAAGUUUUAUUGAUAUGAGUAAAUGUAAUUACAAAGAGACAUCCGGACCACAAAAAUAUACAGAAGGAAAAAUUACAGCAGAAAAAUUGCAAAAAGAGAUAAACUAUCAGGGAGCAGGUUUCUCAUGGAGCUUCUUUUCUUCACUUGGAGGAAUUGAAGGAGUAUCUCGCUUUAUACCGUUCUUCUUCAUGCAGCAGCGAUACCCAAAGAUAAAUGUAUCAUCCACUUGUUUCUGGUAAUCCGCUGCAAGUUCCUCCCUUUCCACAGCAAACUCCCGUUCAAGUUCCUCUUUUUGCACAUCCAGACGCAGCUGCAAGUCUUCCUUCUGUUUCUUUUCAUUCAAAACCUCUGUCCGGAGUCGACUCAAUUCAUCCCUUAGCCGGGCUGCCUCACCCUCCGCCUCAUGAAGGCGGCCCGCAGUUGAUUCUUCUCGACCCUUUGCCUCAGCCAACUCCACCCGGAGGGCUUCAUUUUCCUCUCGCAGGGUGGAUAGACUGGCCUCAGCCUCCUCCGUUCUCAGACGCAGUUGAUUUUCAAUCUCUUGGUGCCGAGAGGAGAAGGUCCUCAUAUAGUCUGCAGUCUGCAGCAGCUGAGUAAAAAGAUCGUGUUGUUGAGACAUGCUGCGGAGGCCCCUCACCAGCUGACACACAAACAAGAAAAGCAAAGACAUAAAUCAUACUACAACAAACACAUCAGUACAACGAAAAAUCAAAAAGCAAAAACACAAGACAACGAUAUACCGUUUCUAUCAUAUCAAACAUCUGAGCAGAGGGCUUGAUGGCUUUCCAGUCGGGAGUAAUCUGCUUUAACUUAACUUCCAACUCCGCGUAGCUGAAAGGGCUAGCGGGAGCGGCAUCGUCAGUAGGUUCCUCCUCAGGUGAGGAAGCAGAGGGUAACUCUUGUCCCGGAAUCGGAGCCCCCAUAUCUUCGUCCGGACACAUAGGUCCGGAUGCAUCCUCAGCCGGAAUUAUUUCCGGGGCGGCUGAGGUCUCAGUAGCCAUCUCCACCUCGCCUCCAUCCGGAUGAGCGUCAUGGGCAGAAACGCAGCUAAUUUCAAUCUCUUGCUGCCGCUCUUGAAGCCGCUCAAAGAGUCCGGACUGUAGAUCGCGUGUCAAACGCGGCUUCUUGAGGGGAGACCCUUUCACCAGGACUAUAGCCAGGCGAUCCGGGUCGUCGGAAGGCUGACUUUGGCUUUCUGCUCCCGCUUCCUCCAACGGGGCCGUUUCAGCUGCAUCAGCAUCCGGAUUAAGGUUGCCCGGACGGUUGAUAGAUGCAGCUUCCUCAGCCACGUUAGCCAGACGCGCAGCCGCGACCAAGGAAGGACCUGAGUGAUUCAACCCCGACAUGCGUCCGGGGCCGCUUGAGAUAGAGUGCGGAGCAGCAUUUACUGGCUCCUCUAUCAUUACUUCCCCCUCAUAGGUAGUUUGGGGGGGAGGAAACUCCUUGGGAGGAGUGGGUUCCUUCAUGUCCUUCUCAUGCUUCUUUACCAGCUUUCCCCUUUUUCCUGAAGUUUUCUUUGGAGGAGAGUCCGGACCCCGCUUCUGUCCGGGAGCCUUCCGGAUAGUGCCUUCAGUUUUUUUCUGAUCUCUAUCCUCCAGGAGCUUUCGCCGCCUUUCAGCGUCAGCCUCUUUGGCUUCCUGAUAGAGGGGGAGCUCCUUCACAGUAUAAUGCUCCCCAGGCACUAUCUCAUCCUUUGCCAGUUUCCUGGGAAGAAUAUUGAUAACAUAUUCCUGGGGCUCCCGGACGACCUCCGUCAAAUUCCGCGCGGAAAGCAAUGUUUUGUAGGCCCUCUCCUUGGGGUCUAUUUCAAAUAAUUUGCAGACGCAGGCAAAGGACGCCUUUUCCACCCAAUCCACAAGGUGGCCCCUCAAUUCCAAACCUGCAUUAUCAGCAACAAAAGGUGAGAAUUCUGUCCGGAAAAAUCAGGAAAAAUCAGCAAAGCAAAAUCCGGAUAAAAAAUCGCAAAACAAGAUUACCCGGCAUUUUUAAGGUAUAAUUCGGAGAAAAAGGCCUCGACGGAUGCUGCGAUAGCCCCGCCCAUCCACCCCAGACUGCCACCAGCCCCUUCGCCCCUCCCUUUGUCGAAUCUGGCAGUUCUGUCACCAUUUGAAGGGAGGGCAGGUGAGCGGACACACUGAAGAUAUCAUUCUUUGCUUUCUUCAGGGAAUAGACAAAGAACAAUUCCAGUAGCGUAAGGUCGAGGCUGUACAGCAUGUUGAUAAUGCUGCAUCCCAUCAGCACCCGGACAAGGUUGGGAUGAAUGAAGAUGGGUGGAAUCUGAGAGAAGUGGAGGAAUUCCUUGAACAAGGCUGGCAGAGGGAACCGGAGCCCCGCGUUGAAUUGUUCCUUUGUGAAGAGGAUAGCGUUUUUUCCACCUUUCUCAGUAGGAAUAGUCGCCUCCUCGUUCACCAGGUCUAUCAAUACGUCAUGGGGGAUGCGGAAUCGCUCCCGGAACUCCUUCGCAUUUAGUUUAUCUAUCGCCUUUUCGCCAGCCUCGCUGACCCGGACAGACGAAACAGUCUUUUUUGGAGCCAUUUCUUACCACAAAGCCAAAGCAAAAUCUACACGCAAAAACAAUGCAAACGGUUCAGACCAAGCAAUCAGAAAAUACACAAACUCAAAGCAGUCAGAAAAACCCCUCAAAAACCCCUCCAAACAAACAACAAAGUACCAACAUUAAACAAACAAUUGCAAGCGACUUGUUCAAAACAAAGCCAGGAACCAAGUUUAAAGAACCGGCAAACGCAACCAAAGGAAUGACAAUAGCAAAGAGGUACGUACCAAAUAGAGCUCUGGAGAAGAAGAACGGUUACUCUCUCGGUAUAAAAUCACCGGCAACAAACAAACGAGGUCGUUCGAAGUUUUUCUCAGAAAAGCAAAGGACGGAGAAAAAGUAAGAAGAAGGAAGGCUCUCAAGAGAAUGCAGUAGAAAAAAUACAAAAGAGGUACAGUGCCCUAUUUAUAGCAGGACAGCCCCUCGGAAAGCCAAACCAACAGCCGUGUUAUCAUUGAAACGACAUAUUGCCUGGGGAUACACAGGGUCGGCGGCUCGCCAUAAAUGCCUUUUUUGGCUUCCGCACCCCCACUCGCCACGUGGCCAAGUUAGACGAAUGGACUUUUUCAAUUUUCAAAAACCCAGUUAUUUUUAACCCGCCCAUUUUUUGGCAAAAUAGGCAAGUUAAAAAGGAGGGCAAUGUAGGGACCCCUCCCCUUGGGAAACACGUGGCACGCAGCUCAUGGUGACGCGUGGCACGUGCUAUCAGCCGGACCAUCAUCAUCCGGAUUCUCCUAAAGAUAUGCAUGGUGCGGCUAUCCUAUCCGGAACCCCUCAAGGAAAGGCAAACGACGUUUCAGCUUCUCCUAUCCAAGGAAGAGCAAACGACGCUGGCAGAGNNNNNNNNNNNNNNNNNNNNNNNNNNNNNNNNNNNNNNNNNNNNNNNNNNNNNNNNNNNNNNNNNNNNNNNNNNNNNNNNNNNNNNNNNNNNNNNNNNNNGCAUGAUCCAUCCGGAUAUAAAUCGUCUGGAUGGUCAAUUAAAGUAAAGCGAGUCUUACACGCAAUCACAACAAGCAGCCAUGGCCCACAUCCCAUCACCUGCAGAAUGAGAAGACAAGAGGAAGUGACAGCAAGUCACUUCCCACGAUCAUUCUACAUAAUCACUUCCCACGAUCUCUGACAGCCGCAUCACCUACCAUGGUCUCUGACAGCCAUUCGUAGGAUGAUAGUGCUCCUACUAACACCUAUUGUCAUCAUCACAACAGAAAAUAUCUCCUCACCAUUAAUGAGAGGAACAGUACCCCUGAAGCUGUAUAUAUAUGACUUCACACGAAGAAGAAAGGGAUGAUGAUCUCCUGGUAACCUCUUGAUACCUAGUAAAAGGCCAACUGCCUCAUAUAUCUUAUUCUCUUACCAUGGCUAACAACAUCAUCGGAGGGUGCAUCCGGACACCCUGUCCGGAUGCCUUUUUGCAGGUACAACCACUGAAUCAAGAACCCCUUGUGUGUUGAGAAUCGCGUGUCCAUCCAUCUAGCAGCAACGCGGCCCACAUGAUACGCGAGGUGACAACACCAUUGGUGUCAUCUUGGCAUCUUGACCUAACCCACCUUUCAUAUUAUAGCUAUCUUGAAGCUCUUUCAAGGUAUUUUUGCCAAAGGAUGGCAACUACCUAACAUUUCUAGUAGGGUUCAAAUAAAAAUGAAGUUUUUCCAUUGGAUUUUGACCUACCACUUUAUUAGUUUUAGAUUGCGUUUUACUUCGAGUAUUUUCAGUGAAAAUAUUUUCUUUAAAAGUGUUUUCAAAAGAAUCACAAAAUAUUAACUUCGACUUCAUUUUAAUUAACCAAAACAGAAAAUUAUCACAAACAAGACCAUAAUAUAAGUUUUUUUUUAAAUAAUUAUCAAAGAUAUAUUUUGUAUUUAUAUUUAAAGAUUAAUUAAUUAUCCAUAAAAUUACUUCUAAUAAAAUUAAUAUUAACAUAAAUACUACAAGUUAAAAAUACUAUUAUCAUAUUUGCUCAUAAUUGAAAUCAAAUUAUUUAUAAAAAAAACAAAUACUUUUUAUUACAUAUUUAGGUAAAUUCAUACAUAUUUAAAUUUUUAAAAAAAUAAGGAAGAAGAAGAAGAAAUAUCUCCUAUAUGUCAUUUAAAAAUAAUUUUUAAAUGGACUAACGGAUAAAUAUUUUUUAAGUAUAGAAAAAAUACUAUGAUUUUCCUUAGAUAUAUUAUCCAUAUAUUAUCAUUUUAUGUGUUUUUAUUGGUUUCAUGUGAGAACUAAUUGAUAUUGAAUGAAAGGAGAUCAAAUCUUUAAUGUCAUUUUAUACUUGUUCCAAAAAAUCUCAUUUUAGUGAUCUAAUGAUUCAUUUUUAUUCUUAUACAUAAUGCCCGAUCUAAAUCUAAUAAACUCUUCUUAUAUUGAAACAAGUUUUUAAAGAUCCCACUAAGAACACAAGCCUGGACAGCUAUUUUCGAGAACCACAUUUAACAAUUAGAAACUGUAUUUUAUUUUAUAUUCUUAAAAAUAGAAAAUAAGAUACUUUCAAAAAAACAUUUUUUACUUGUUUUUUUAUGACAAGUUUAAAAAAAUAUUCAUAUAAAUAUAUAGAAUAAUUAAAAAUAAGACACUAUAUAUAAAAAUUAUUUUUAAAAUAUAUUUAAUAUUAUUAAAAAUAAUUUAAAAACAUUCCAAAUUUUCACACAGAAUUUUGUUCAAUCAAACAUUAGAAAAUGAUUUUUAGUAAGGGUUGUAAAAAAUUGUUUUUAAAAAAAAUAGUCCUCAAACAAAGGAAAUAAUUUAUUUUUUUUCCUAUUAGAGUUGAAAUAUCACUGCCUGAACUUAAAAGGAUAUCAUUUCUGCUGGCACACAAUCUUUUCAACUAUGAAGAUACGAUCACGAUUUGGGGCACUAGACUAAGUCCAAGUACGUCCUUCCUCUUUAUGCGUGCCUUUUUUUCUUUGUCUUAGACAACGACAAUAAUUUGUAUCAGCACGGAAAUGGUGAAUUCCUUGGUUGAUGACUGACCCACGUCUAAUUCUUUGUUUGGAAGGAUGCUCCAUAAGUCAGACUCUAGCGUUUCGAGACAAGGCAAGCGCCACGAUCACACUACAAUGUAGUACAAUUAUAUUGCAAUUCCCAACUAUCAGUCCUUUAUGUCCUAAGCCACUUUGACUAGUUGCUUGUGUACAACAAAAUUUGGAUGAUUUAUGCACCACUUUGACUUUUUGUAAAAGCCACUUUGACUAGUCGGAUCUGUACAAUAAAAUUUGGAUGAUUUAUGCAACUUGGUAACCUAUUGAUGCCGAUAUUACAUUUUUGGAUAAGUGAAAUAAAAUAUUCGAUAAAACAAUAAAACUUUGGCUUUUUUUAGGGUUGGGAAGAUAAGUGAUCCAAACACCUCUACAUGGUCUCUACGUGGUGUCCUCUUUACCAAGUUAUACAGUCUUAAAAGGUGUUUGUUUUUUGAUUGAAUAAAAAAAAUCAAAAUAUUUAAUUUUUUCUAUUCAAUUAAAAAUAAUAUGUUGACAUCAUUCAACAUAACUAAACUGAACCUAUUGAUAAUAAGUUCAUUUUAACUAGAUUGGAUGAUAUCAACAAAUUAUUUUUAACUGAAUAGAAAAAGUCAAAUAUUUUAAUUUUUUCUAUUCAGUAAAAAAAACAAAUAAUAUUAAAUUUCCAAUCAAAAGUCAUGUGGAGCCCACAAGUCAGUGAAGAGGAUAUUGGACUGGUUGUUCGGAGUUUGGGUUAAGAAUAACCCCCUUCACCAAACAAAUGUGGAUAUUUAUUGACCCUCUUUUGAAUGUUUGUUCAAAAUGGUUUCUUUCUCUCUUAUUCUUCAUCUUUUAUGAUUAUUAUUUUUAAUUAUUUUUUUAAAAGUUAUUUGAAAAAAAAAAAUUGAAGAUGGAGGUGUGGGACUUGGUGGGGCAACCGUGGGCAUCGUCAGGAAGGUCCAGCCAUGAGCGACACCAACGGCAUGACGUCGCUGGCCGACAGUGAGUAGCAGCAGGAGUCGGAGGAAAAGAAAAAUGGGUAUGGGUGUAGGAUGGAGAGAGAGAGAGAGGAGAAAGGGGGUGCCGCCGGUCGAAGAAGGGGGCGACGUCGCCCGCGAUGGGUGUGCAGGUGGAAGGAGAAGGAAGAAAUGCAAUUUCAAUUUUAUUUUUUUAUUUUUAAAUAAGAAGAAGGUUAGUUAGAAGUUAGAACACUAGUUUCAACACUGGCCUUAGAUUCUUUGUUUGGGUCAAAGUAGCUGUUUGAGUCUUAUUAUAAGAAAAAAAAAUGCAUCUUUUUGCCCCAAACAGUUGGUUCAUAUUUGGUACGUUCCAUAUACAAUUGAAUAAUAUAAAAGAGGGUAGAUCAUAAGGGUGAAAAAGUUUGAUAUGAUUUAUUAAUAUGACUUAAAUUCAACAUAUUUGUGGAGGGUUUAGAUUGAAUAUAAUUAGAUUUAAGUCAAAUUUAUGUCAAUCUGAAUAAAUAAAUUAUUUUUUGAUCAAUAUGCAUAACACGACUUUGAACUGAAUUAACCCAUUUAACAAUUUUAUUGAUUAACUCAAUUAUAACAACUUUAAACUAUUUAACUAAUAAUUGAUUUAUUUUAAAUAAAUAGAUCAAUUGAAUCAUAAGUAUAUUUGGUUGAAACAUUAAUCAUAUAAACUCAUAAAACUCAACCCGAUAAAUUAAAUAAGAUGACUUAAUUAUUAAAUGGGUUACAAAUGUUACUUGUUUAAUAAAUAGAUGGUAUUUGAGUUCAUAUUUAUUAUUCCACCAUUAUUCGUGUUGGGCUUUGGUUAACCUAUAUAGUAGAAUCUCUAAACUUUAACACAACCCAAAUUGUCACAUCUAGGAUAUUAUAUCUUAUUUUAUAUUUGAUGGUGAUAAGAUAUGAUAAGUUAUUAUCACUCAUCUAAUCACAUGUUCAACAAAGCAUGGGAUAUUAUUACUUAUAAAAUUUAAUGUUUAUCCUCUUUUUUAUAUUCAUUCUACAUGGAAUAUGUUAAUUUUGUGUUAAAAUGUACAAUAUAUAUAUCUCAUAUAUCAUAAAUUUAUAUUUUUUUAUCAAUUUUUUUUUAUAUUACUUCUUUUGCAAAAAAAUAUUAUUAUUAUUAUUAUUAUUAAAAUUUUGGUUAAAAACUAAUAUAUAUAUAUAUAUAUAUAUAUUUAUAAAAUAAUAUUAAUGUUUAUUAUUUUAUAUAUAUUAUUUUUAUAUAUUGAAUAACAUAACAUAAAAAAAUUAUUUAUAAAGUUUAAAUAUUUUAAUUAUGAAUAUUAUUAAAUAUAAGAGAAAUUUUCUUUUUAAAAUAAAAAGUAUUGGAAUGUAAUAUAAUUUUUAUUUUAAAUAUUAAAAAAAUUAUAUAUAUAUAUAUAUAUAUAUAUAUAUUUUUAUUUCACAAAUUAAAUAUAAAUAUAUAUAAGAGAAUAAAGAGGCAAAGAAAAUCAUUGUGUUUUUGUGAUGUCAUCUAUAUAUAGAUUCACCUUCAAUAUGAUUGUACGAUUUAUUAUUUUGGAAUGCUAUGAAAAAAGUUUUAUUUUUUAUUUAGAAAAAAAAAAGUUUUCUUAAGAUACCUUAAUUUCCUUUGAGUAUUUCCUUAAUUUCUUUAAUUCUAUUUUACCUUUUUUUUAGCUUUCUCUUACUUUCUAUUUUGUUUUACUUUCCGGAUCUACUUAAGAUACCUUAAGUUAUAUUUGGUUCCUAAAAAAUUUAAAGGAAAAUAUAAAAAUAAAUAAAUAAAUAAAGAGAAAAAAUAGAAUUAAAGAAAAAGUAAAGAAAAAAAAAUAAAAAAAAAAUCGAAAGUCAAUAAAUUAUUUUUAAAUGCUUAGAAUUUGUUUAACAAUAAUUUUUUAUAGUUUUUUUAAUACUUAAAUAAUAAUUAAAAAUUUAAAUAUUAGAAAGAUUAUAAACGCUUCCUAUAAUUACUACCAAAUGAGCUCAUAUUCAAACUCAUUUUACUUACUUUCCUCUAUUAUAUAAAAAUUAAAUAAUUUUAAAAUACAUAAACUCUUAAUUAAUUUUAAUUAUAUUUAAUUUUUUAUUUGCUAUUUUCUAACGUGAAACCAAAUAUAAGAAAAACAUUUUUCUUCUUUCCAAAUACUUUCCAGGAACCGAACACAACCUUAGAGUCCCACGAGGCUAAUCUCGUAUGAUUAGAAGUAAAAAAAGAUAUAUAAAAAAAUAAAAAACAAAACAAAAUGAAACUUAUUUAUUUUCCUUAAUAAAUUGAAAUCCCAUACAAUAUUUUUUCCUUCACUUUAACUUUAAGCUUAUUCAACACUUCUGACCUAUGAUUUUAGGCCCAGCCCAGUCACACCCACAUCCCCAUUUUCAAAAUUGUAGACCCAAGUUAAAGGUUUUGUAACAAUAAUGGGCCCAACAUUGGGUCCUAAAAGCCCAUCUAUCAAACCAUUAUUUUGAAGGACCCUCUGGGCUCAAAGCCCAUGCCACAAAACCACGAACCAAGAGGCCAACCAGCUCUCUUCAAUUCCUUUUAGCUUUAUAUUUGUAAGCCCGGUUCCCCACUAAAAUGACCACCUUUUUUUUAUCAAUUUCAUAUAUAUAUAUAUAUCUAUCUUUUUAACCAAAAUUUUAAAUUUCUUUCUUCUCCUUAAGCCUAUCUUACUAGAUUUUUUAUUUUCUUAUUCAACUAAGGAAGUAUUUGAUAAAACUUAAUACUUAUUACUUAAUGAUUUAAAUUGACUUUAAGUUAUAUUAUAUUUAAUUUGUUAACUUAAAACUUAUUACUUAAUUCUUACUUUAAGUAUUAAGGUUAUUUAAUAAAAUUAACUUAAAACAUAUUUUAAAUCAUCAAACUGACAUUCUUAUCGUCAUAAAUUAUAAUUAAGAUAAAAGAGCCGAAUAACAAAGAAGAUCGUGAAGAUAAUUAUAACAAACGAGGGUAAAAAGAUAAAACAAGAAUGUGUACUUAAAAAUAAAUAAUUUAUUUUUACUUAUUGGUUAAAAUUAUUUUUUACUUGGAGUCAUACCAUUAAAUUAUUUUAUCAAAUAUACUUAAUUUAUUUAAUGACUUAAAUUAAGUUAUUAAGUUAGUUUAUCAAACACCAAUUAAAAGUUAAAGUUAAAGCUAAAAUCAUGUAACAAUUUUUUACUAAAUAUAAAAUAUUUUUGUAAGAAUUAAAAAAAAUGAAUUAUUUUAAAUAUGGAAUCUCUUUAAUAUUUAUAUUAAACUCUUUUUCAAUUUUUAUUUUUUUUAAAUAUCAGGUAAAAUUCUCUUCUUAAAAUUAAAAAAUAAAAAUAAAAAUUUACCUUCUAAAAAGUCAAUCCAAACAUGAUUUUGAAAGGGGAUAUUUUCUAAAUUUAUGUUUCAUUAAACCUAUCAAUCCAAAAUUAAGAACAUCAACCAUCAUAAUCAGUCUUUGGUGCCCACACGCUUCGUUGAGACUUGAGAGGCAAACAAAAGGAAAAACCAAUAGCAAUAAUUGGGGAAAAUAUCCCAUGACAUGUGACAUUAAAAAAUUUAUAAGCCCUCUAAGAUUACUUAAAAGCAUUCCUCAAAGUAUAAUUUGCUAAUUCCCCAUCUUGUUUAAUAGUUUAUUUUUUUUUUUAAAAUGAUUAAAAUAUAAGGCUGUGUUUGAUAAUUGUUUUUCAAAACGGGUUUUUGUGUUCCCAAAAUAAAAAAUAAAAAAUAAAAACACAUAUUUAAUAAAUAAAGAACAUAAAAUAAUUUUUUAUUCUUAAAAACAAAACAUGUUUGAUGAUUAUUUUUUGGAAUAGUUUUUGGAAAAUGUUCUCUAAUUUUUGUAGAACAAAAGUUUGUUUGAAAUCUAAAAUAUCUUUAACACAUUUUUAAUAGUUUUAAAUAUGUUUUUAAAAUAAUUUUUAUAUCUAGUGUUUUAUUUUUAAGCACUUUACAUAUUUGUAUAAUUAUUUUUUAAAACAUCCAUAAAAAAAAUGAAAACAGUAAAAAAUAAUUAAAAAGUGUUAUUUAAAUAUGUUCUAUUUUAUGUUCUUAAAAAUAAAAAACAUGAAACAAUUUUUUGUUAUCAAAUAUGUUUUCUGUGUUUUAUGUUCCAAAUAAUAAAAAAUUAUUCUCAAAAACAAUUCUCAGCCCAAAAAAUAAAGUGUAUCAAUAACAAUUUUUAUUAUUUUANCAUUUCNNNNNNNNNNNNNNNNNNNNNNNNNNNNNNNNNNNNNNNNNNNNNNNNNNNNNNNNNNNNNNNNNNNNNNNNNNNNNNNNNNNNNNNNNNNNNNNNNNNNAAAACAAUUCUCAAGCCCAAAAAAUAAAGUGUUAUCAAAUAACAAUUUUUAAUUAUUUUUAAUCAUUUUCUAAUUAUUAUUUUUUUAAAUAAUUAUAUGGAGAAUAAUUAAAAAUAAAGUUAUUUAUAAAAUAUAUUUAAAAAUAUUAAAAAAUAAGUUAAAAAUAUUUCAAGUUCUUAAACAAACUUUUAUCUUACAAAACAUUCAAAACUUAUUUUUUAAAAACACUUUCCAAACAAAACCUUACAUUCUCCAUUAUACAUCACAAUAAUGCAAAUUUUUAUUAAUUUCACCCCAAAAAAAUCACUCAAUGAGGCCCAAAGAAUUGAAAGAUAACCAAGUUGAGAGACAAAUAAAUUGAAAGCAAUAGCAAUAAUUGGGGAAAAUAUCCUAUGGCAUGUGACAUUGAAAAUGAACAAGCCCUUUAAGAUUUCUUAAACUAUUCUUCAACAAAUAAAGUACAUUUUUCCACUUCCCCAUCUUAUUCAAUAAUUUAUUUUCAAAAUUUUAUUAAUAAAUACAACACUCUCCAUGUUACAUCACAAUACUACAAACUUUCAUAAAAAAUAAAAUUAAAAAUUUAUUUAUUUAUUUAUUAAAAAGUUAGGAGCUUUGUGUUAGGUGUCCAAGAGAGAUUGAUACAAUGAUUAAAACCAUUUAAUACAAUCAACCCAUGAUUAUUAGUAUAAGAGGCUCAAUCAAACUUAAACAACAUAAAGGCUAAAGCCCUUGAACUAAAUUUAAUUGCAAUGAUGUGCUCUUGAUGGAAUUGGGUUUUUUUUUGUGAAAAAAAUAAGUAUAAAAUGAAGAAUGAGAGAUACCAAUCAAACACUAUUAGAAAGGAGAAGCAUGGCCCCAAAAAAAGGGGGUUCCUCUUAUAUAAUUUUUCCACACCCAUAAGGUCACUUUCCAUUAUCUUUUGAUUCUAGUGGUCUUGUGUCUAGUGUCUACAUCUUUGGCCUCUAAGGGGGGCCAUAUUUUAGCUUGAAGCUAUCUCCCACUCUCCCACUGCCCUAUUUCUUUUGACACUUUGAGUUGGGAGAGGUGUGGCCUCUUUUUGCAACUUGUAAUUGUGGCCCACUAGGUGGGUGGCAGCAUGGCCUAUCUUGGAAUAUGAAUUUGGAUGUGGGAAAAAGGCAUUUUGGGCUUCAUAUUUUUUUAUGCAGUGGUUAAUAGUAGGGCAAAUUGGCAAAAUACCAAUCUAUUCCUUCCCCAUCUUUAUUAUACUAUUAUUUUUACUAAAAAGUGAUGGCAUGCACUUACACCGACCAUAAAAUAUCUCAACAUAUGAAAGGAAUAUUAAUGGUGAAUAUAAUAUGUGGGGUGGCCUCAUUGUUAUUUAAGUCUCAAGAUGUAAGGAUUUGUUGAAAUAAAAAAUAGAAAUAAAUAUAAAAUAAUAAAAAUAUCAUUUACUUUCGAUAUUUCAUAUAAAAGUUUAGGUGUGUUUGAUAAUUAUUUUCAAUAACAAUUCUUUAUUUUUUAUUUUUAAAAAAACAUGUUGAACAACUAAAAACUGUUUUUUAUUUUUUGUUUUUAAGGAAAAAAAAGUGUUUUAAAAGAAUAUUUUUAAAUUGUUUUAUAUUAUUUUUAUUUGUUUUUUUAUGAUUGCUUAUAGAAUUAUUAAAAAUAAAAUCAUAAACAUAAAAAUUAUUUUUUAAAUAUAUUUAAAAAUAUUAAAAAGAAGUUAAAAAUAUUUUAAUUUUUUUUAAAUAAACUUUUAUUUCAUACAACAUUACAAAACAAUUUUUAAAAAGUAUUAUCAAAAACUAUUUUUUAAAACUAUUUUAAAAAAUAGUUACUAAACAAAUCCUUAGCCACAAUGUUUUUGAAAAUGGUUGUUAAAAAUAGUUUUUAAUUAUAAACUCAAAUAUAAAAACAACUUUUUCACAUUAUUCUUCGUGAAAAUACUGCAUACUUUUAUGUAUAUAGUAUAAAAAAUUUAAAAGAUUCUUCAUAUUUUCAAUUUUUGCUUGGAAUAUUAUAAAAAAAAACAAUUAAAAAUACUUAAAAUUUCUUCUAAAAAACAAUAUGUUUCAAAACAAAUUCUUAAAAAACUAUUUUAUCUCGGAAGUUUGUCAAAUAUAUUUAUUAAAUCAUAAAAUAGUUUUUAUUUUUAAGAACAUAAAUUUAUUUUCAAGAUUAGUUAACAAAUAUGAUUGAAAAUUUUCAUCUCUAUAUUUUAGAUAAAAUAUUUGAAAAUAAGACUAAAAUAAAAAUAAUACAAGAGCUUGGUAUUGUGUCUUUUAAGUUUGUAUACAGGAUUUUUAAAAAAUAUAAAAAUUAGCCAGUUUUGUAAACAAAAAGAAAAAAAAUUAGAAAUAUUAUUAAGGGUGGAAUCAUAUGUAAAAAUAUUAUCAAAAAAAGGUAGAAAAAUUGCAUGUAUAUGUGAGUGGAAAAGUUGAGUCAAUAUAAAAGGACAUAACAAGAUGAGAGAUGGAAAAAAAAUUAAAAAUUUAAUUGAUGUUUUUAAAAUAAUUUGAAUUAUUAAUACUUUAUUUAUAAAUUAAAUUAUCAUGAAGUAAGAGCUAACAUGGAAGCAAGCCUAUUCGCUUUCCAAUAGUAUAAAUUCGGAAUCAAUAUUUUAUGUUUGGGUUGUAAAAGUUGUUCUGAUAAUCAUUUUUUUUUUUAAAAAAAAAUUAUUUUAAUAUCUAUGCAAGAAAAAAAAAAUAUUCGUAUGCUAAAUGGGCUGAAAGAGGCCGGAGUUUAUAAAGGCCCAAACUACUCCAAGCCAUAGGGGGAGAAAUUUGGGGUGGGCUGGGCUGAAGAGUAGGGUUUGGUGCACACACCUUAAUAUUUUUAGUAUCAAAAAUUAGAAUUUAAGAAUGAAUACAAAAGGAGAUAUUUUCCAUAAUAAUUGAGAGCAAGGGUCCAUUUGAGAUACCUUUUUUUCUUUCUGGCGUUUAGUCGCCAAAAUCAAAGUAAUACUUUUUAAAAAAAUAUAUUAAUAAUACAAAAAAUUAUUAAAUAAUAUGUGUAUAUAUAUAUAUAUAUAUUUACAUGGAAAAAAAAACUACUAAUGUUAAUUUUUUUUUUAAAUCAUAAACCAUUUUAGAAAAUUUCUAACAAAAUAAAAGUUCAUUUAGAGCUUGUGCGGAGCCAUUGGGUAAGAAAAUAUAUUUAAAAUUUUAAUUUCACAAAAUUUUAAAUAUGCGAUGUUUGGAAAGUUAAAAAUAUUUUCUAAUAAUUAGAAGAGUUUUUUUAUUGGAUAUUUUUUGAAAAUUAUGUGUUUGUUACCUAUAAUAUCGAAUAAGAGAUAACAUGGGUCUCUCUGAACCUGGAAAAAACAAUAUCUAUAAUGCAAAUCACUACAAAGGUUUCGAUGUAAUGAGUUGUUUAGACCAAUGAGGUAUGUUUGUUUGUUUGACUCUGUAAUCUUAUAAGACACAACGAGAACAUUGUAUCUGCAUUGUGAUAUCUCACACCAGUUACUCACAUUGCUUAGAAGAAAAAGUUUUAAGUAUAAACUCUUCUUAAUUUUAUAGACGUAGUUUAAAACCAUUAGAAUUCUUUAGACGUUGAACCAAUAAUAUUUAUAAAAUGUUGUCAUCAUUAUUAAAAAUAAUAUUUUUAUUUAUUUAUAUUAUAAUGAAUUAUGUUUUUUUUUUUUUUUAAUAAAAUCUAAGAACCUAAGUAUCAUAUUCACAUAGCUUACAUCAAUCAAAACUAAUUUUACAAAAGUGACACAAAAACUCAAAAAAAAAAAAGAAAAAAAGAAAAAAAAAAGUUUAUAAGUCUAGCUCUCAGUUUGGCAAUUUGCUCCCACCAUAGAUUAGGUCCCCUACCAAGAAAAUUAGACAGAACCAAAAAAAAAAAAAAAAAGAAGAAGAAGGGUAAAGCUGACAGCUUAAUGAACCGCAAACUUCCAACUGUACCAAACCCAAACUAAUGCCCAUUGCCCACCAUUAAUUACACCGAUUCCUUUUGCCAGAGGGAUGCUAAAUCAUGGGUACCGAUCACUGACACUUGUCCACAAUCUUCUAACCGCCGUCGGACACGUGUUCCUGGCAACCUCUCUUUUUCUACCAAUCCAACGGCUCCGAUGGUUUACGGCGCAAGAAAAAGGCGAAAAAGGUAGGUGCAUGGUAUGCAGCUGUCACGUGACGUCGGGUGCCACGGUGUUCGAGAAUGUAGGGCUGAGUGGUAGGAUGCCGGAGGAUGACCGGAUGUAACCGGUGACUAAGGGGUGGGAAGAAGAUGCGUACGGAUAAAGUGGGUUCGCUUUCAGGAAUUUCAACGUGGUAACGGAAAUUAUAACGGCUAACUGAAGAUGGCCCUUUAAUGACAGCUAUUAAAUGCUAUUUAAUAAAAAGUCAUUCUUCGGGGACUCUGGUGAUUUAACCUCAGAAAAUACAGUUACUUUUGCAAUUUAUAUAUAUAUAUAUUAUUUUUAUCAUUUAUGUCCUCAAAUUUUACUAUUUUGCAAGAAAAUUAUUAAAAUUUAAGACAUUGGAGUGGUAAAGCAUGUUAUCAUGAAAAAUAUUUAAAUUUUGUUAUUUUUAUGUUUAUUCCCAUUUGAGUUUCACAUGUAUUUUCUAUUGUAAGAUUGCAAAAUAUUUAUUCAAUUGUUGAGGUGUAUCUUAAUACCAAAUAUAAGAAACAUUCAUGAUCUACUUAGUGACUUUUUGUCCCAACAUUUUUGAAUUAUUCUUUUGAAAUGCUUCUUCCAAUCAAGACAAUAAAUAAAAACUUAAUUUUAUUAAGUCACAUGUGAAUGCCUUGGGAACCAUUUCAAUAUAUUUAAUAAUGAUGGAAAAUAAUUAGUUUUUUAAGUGCUUCAUCCAAUUAUAAUUAUUAUUAUUUUCUGAUUUAGUAUUAUUGUUGUAUUUUAUUUUACUUUUAUUCUAUACUAUAAAACUUUAAGUGUUCCUAAAAAUUUAUUUGACAAUUAUUUUAAGAAGCGUUUCAAUUUUUUUAGGAUUUAAAAACAAUUAUUUUAAUAAAAAAAUUCAGGUAUUAUAAAUAUUAGAAAUGUUUUCUAAAAUUACUAUUAAAUAAAUUCUAAAUUUGUGUGAAUUUGUGAUUAUUAGUAAAUCCAAAAGGCAUCAUAUCAUCAUAAGUUAAGUCAAUAAAAAUAUUAUAAUAAAAAAUUAAACGAUACGGAAUAUUAUUUAUAGAAAUUGUGUAAAUUAACCUUAUAUGUUAUAUAAUAAUACGAUACUAUAUUAAAAUGAUGCUUUUACCCCCGUUGUUUGUUUGUUUUUUUUUUUUUCUUUUAAGAAAAAAAACUACAAAGUAGAGUAUUUAUACAUUCAGUCGAACAAAAAAAAUGCAAUAAUCUUUGAAACCAAACUUUAUAACAUUUUCAAAAAAAUUUGACCUCAAAGUGAUAAAUUCUAAAUUACAGAUAUAUUUUUUAGCUAAAUAAUAUGUUGUUUUAUAAAAUAUAAUUGCAUUUCCAAUAUUUGCUAGCAAAUAGCAAACAUAAUUUGUAUAUCCAAUGAUAUUUUAUAAAAUAAAAUAAAAAAUUAUAUAAUAUAUAUUGUUAAAAAAAAUCAUUUGAAUAAAUAAUUCAAAAAAGCUAAUAUUACAUAAUUACCCAUACCUAAAUCAUAACUUAUUGUGGCACAAUAAAAAAAUUGGUAGUAAAUAAUAGAGAGUUGAAAUUAGCUUAAAAUAUUGGAGGAUAUUUUAGAGAUGGAAGAAUAAUCAUAGCUAUUUAAUAAAAAAAUAAGCAAAAGAAUAGUCCAACUUCACAUACUUUUAAUAAUUUGAUUCAUAUUUUAUAUGUCUAAUUAUAAACCCAUCUAUACUUCCUUGACCAUUCACAUGUGAUUAAUUGCCAGAAAUUCCAUCUAUAUUUAAUCUAUACUUCCUUGACCAUGUACAUGUGAUUAAUUGCCAUAAAUUCCAUCCAUAUGAGUUUUUUUUUUUUUUUUAAAAAAAAAAAAAACUUAGAUUAGAAGUGAACUUAAACCAAAAUCCUAAUUUUAAAUAAUAAAUACUGACAAUGAGAAAAUAAUUUUUGGGGAAGUGUGUUUCGGUGCAAAAGUUAAAUAUAUAUAUAUAUAUAUAUAUAUAUAUAUAUAUAUAUAUAUAUAUAUAUAUAUAUAUCAAAAAAUAAUUAAAAUUUCAUGUACUUUUGCGUGAAAUGUGAUAUUUAUUCGAGCCAAAUGUAUGAACUGUAUUAUUAAAAGGUAACACCUUCUGUCUUUAAUCUAAAAGUAUAUAAAAUAAAAAAUAAUUUUAAAAUAUGAAAACAUGUAUACCUUUUCUUGUAAGAUUUUAUAAGCUAAAACAAGACUUGGAGUCUUUUUUUAGAGCAAUUUUGAAAGAGAUUAAAAGCUUUUUUAAUACUUAAAAAUAUUUUAUUAUAAAACUUAAGCAUUUAAUAAUUUUAAUUUUAAAAUUACUUUAAAAAAUCUGGUGAAUCAAUUGGAGUCAACUUGAUAAGUGAUUCUUUGAAUAAUCACCUUUUUUAUUGUAUAAUUAUAUUACCGAAAAAUUUUCAAAAUAGAAAUGAAUGAUUUUGUUUUUUUAUUUUUUUUUCUAUCAUUUAGGGAUAAUUUUGUAUUUAUAUGGUUUCAUAACCAAAUAUUCAUAAUUGGCUAGAUUGUUGAUAUAAAUAAUAUUAGAAUACAAAAAACGUCCUUAUAUGAGCUUCCCCGUAAGAAGAAACUCUCGGUAAGAUUAAGAAAAAAAAGCUUGUUCUUUCUCUCUAAUUAAUUAUUCAAAAAAUUCUAAAUCUAGUCUUUUCAAAAAAACAGGUUACAGUACUUUUGUGUUUACGAGCCAAAGUUCAAGCACAAAAAAGUUGAAGUAUAUAUUUGAUUAUUUAUAUCAAAUUACCAAGGUAGUUUUUGGUAAAACUUAUUACUUAAUUCUUACUUGUUUGAUAAAAUUAAUAUGAAAUUUAUUCUAAAAUAUCAAAUUGACAUAUUUAUCUUUAUAAAUUAUAAUUAGGAUAAAAAAAGAUUGAAUAACAAUGAAGGACAUGAAGUAGAAAAAGAGAUUCGUGAAAGUAAUUAAGACAAAUGUGAAUAAAAAUAUAAAAUAAAAAUGCAAACUUACAAAUAAAUUAAUGGUUUUUACUUAUUACUUAACGUUAUUUUUGGCUUUAAGUCAUAUUAUUAAAUUAUUUUACCAAAUAUAUUUAAUUUACUUAAUAGUUUAAAUCAAAUUAAAUUAUUAAGUCACUUUAAAUUAUUAAGUUGGUUUACCAUAGAUACGAUAACUCUUAAAAACUUACAUUAGACAGAAAAAAAAUUAAUUAUUUAAAAUUUGAAUAUUUUUAAAAUUUAAANNNNNNNNNNNNNNNNNNNNNNNNNNNNNNNNNNNNNNNNNNNNNNNNNNNNNNNNNNNNNNNNNNNNNNNNNNNNNNNNNNNNNNNNNNNNNNNNNNNNAUACGAUAACUCUUAAAAACUUACAUUAGACAAGAAAAAAAAAUUAAAUUAUUUAAAAUUUUGAAUAUUUUUAAAAUUUUAAAAUAAAUUUAUAAAUUUUUAUAUAUAUUUGGAUAAUUCUAUUGAAAUUUUUUUGGACAUCUAGGUGUUAAUGACUAGGAAUAGAUAUUACUACGAAUAAAAUCAUUAUAAUAUGGAAAUUGUCUUUUACCUAAAAAAUUAUUUAUUUUAAAUCAAAUUUAGAAUCAUUUUAGGUAAUUUAGAUUACGUUUGAGAGUUAUUUUAGAAAACGUUUCUAUCAUUUUUAAUAUUUGAAUGAUAAAAUUUUUUAAGUAUUAAAAAUGUUAAAAACACUUUACACAAUCAUCAUCCAACGAGUUCUUAAUAUUUUACAUUAUUAGUAAAAGGGUUUUUAUGUUAUUUCUGACCGUAGUCUAAAUUCAAAUGUUUUGGUACAAAUCUUCCAACCAAAUCUGAAUUGAUCUUCAAAAUCCCAAUUAAAAAAAUGUCCACCGUCGAUUACGUUGACCGUCACCGCCCAUUCCCGUCAACCCUCUGACGAAACGAAAAUGUUUAUAAGGGCCAAGGGGAGUGUGGAUUUCGUGUGCCCUGAAAAGCGUGUUGGGGUAAGAAGGUCGGCGUCGAUGGAUUCCACCUUCGAAGUUCGAACCCGGAUAUCCAUGGUUUACACACUCACACUAAACCACGUAGCCAAACACGGCCCCACAACCCCGCCCCCCCCCCCCCCCCCCCNNNNNNNNNNNNNNNNNNNNNNNNNNNNNNNNNNNNNNNNNNNNNNNNNNNNNNNNNNNNNNNNNNNNNNNNNNNNNNNNNNNNNNNNNNNNNNNNNNNNCCCCCCCCCCCCCUCCCCCCUUGAAAUGACCAUAACGCCCUCAGUCGCCACGAGUUAGGAGUGAUUCGUUUUUCUGUUAGGCUGUCUCCACCAACUCCGAAACAGAACGCCCCCUCCCAUAUUAUUAGAGAGAUAUGGAUAUAUAUAUCCAUAAAUGACCAAAAUGCCCCUGUCGCCCCAAGGUGGUUAGUUAUGAAUUUAGGUGAGGGUGUUAAUCAUGAGAAAGCGUUGUGGUGCAUUAUAGAACAGAUAAGAGUUAGGUAAAUUUGGAAUUUCGGGAUUUAAAUGUGUCUUCUCGGGAAAAGAAUAUGCGGUGGAGGGCGUAGGUUGAGGUGGGUGUGUGACACGUGGCACUUUUGACAAAUAUCUUUGCCACGUGGCAACGCCAAAAUGGGUUGAUGCUAUUUUGAGACAAGUGAAGAUAAAGGGGGUAGCUUAGAUGGGUCUUUUGCUAACCAAUUUCUCCCAAAUUUUGCCCACACGCAACAAAGAAUGAGUUGGUUUGGUAGAAGUAAUCUAUGUGAAAUUACAUACUUGGUUUGUAUCUCAAGUUGAUAUCAUUGACCCAAAAACUAUAUCUACAUAUACUUUAUAUUAGGUCUUGGAUUCUCUAAUCAAGAUUCUUGAAUGAUAUCAAUUUUUUUCAAUGUAUUCAAGUUGAAUUAGGGAGACCCUAAUUUUUAGGCUUAUUAUUGUGAUGAUAAUAAUAAUAAUGGUUAUAAUUAUGAAUGUUGAAAGUUUAAUAUUCAAUUGAGGAUAUGAUUUGACCUUUUAAAUAAUCAAAAUUCAACCAUAGGGAGUUGUAGAUUAGGUUAUGGGCAUGGUAAGGAUCAUGUUCUUUGUUUCAAGCACCAAAUAAUAAUAAUAAUAAUAAUAGUUGUUAUCUAUGACAUUGGUUUAGACUUCAUAACAUUUUUCCACAUUAUAUUUUUAUUUUUCUACAUAAAAAAUUGAAAUUUGAAAGACACAAGUUUUUGAGUAAUUUUUUUAUUAUUUGAGUUCCCUUUCCACCAAACUAAAGAAUUUAAGGGUAUUUUAGAACAAUUUUUGGAAAUUGUUGUCUAAUAUUUUAUAAAGUAAAAGUCUGUUUAAAAAUUUAAAAUAUUUUUAAUUUAUUUUUAAUAUUUUUAAAUAUGUUUUAAAAAUAUUUUUUUUAUAUUUAGUAUUUUAUUUGUAAUCAUUUUACAUGUUUAUAUAAUUAUUUUUUAAAACAACUUUAAAAAAAUGAAAACAACAUAAAAAAAAACUAAAAAAUGUUAUAUAUAACGAAAAAUUGAAAACAAUUUUUUAUUAUUAUACAUUUUUUUUUGGUUUCUCAAAAACAAUUGUUAACACAGGCCUUCGAGAAUUUUUUUAUUUAAUUUUUUUUACUACUUUCAUAAUUCAAAUAAGAAAAAUAUGAGGGUAUGGCAUCUUAUUAAAGUUCUUACGUUGAAGUAUGGAUAACUAAUAGAGAUUAUAAAUAACGAUAGUAAGACACAAAAGAAUUAAAUUAGGUACAGAUAAUGGAAUUAAGGCGUAAAAGAAUUAGACCAAGUACAAAAUGAUGUAAUCUCGCAUGUAACAUGAUUGAUUUUUUUAUUUUUUAUUUUUGGUAUAUACUAAUUUGAUAUUCUAUGUGAUCCUUUGAAUACAACCUAAAAGUUUAAUUCGAGGUAUAAUUUGGUAUGUAACUAGAAAACUUAAAGUGGGGAAUUUAACUCAAUGUAAGCGAUUAAUACCAAGACUUUUUGGAGAUGGUUACCAAAAUUGUGAAUGAAGAUUGUUGGAAUAUAUAGAGAAGAAACGUUUCAAUUCAAAUCUAAAUGACAUAAGAUCACACAUGAAAAAUGCUUCCCCAAUGGCUUGGUGUUGAAGCCAAAGGAAUUGGGAAUGUGGACAAGAACUUUCACAAUCUUUUUUAGCCACCAUUUUGGGUUUCACCAAAUAUUUAUUUGAUUGAGAAAUUGGGAGGUCACGCUUCUCAUGAGGACCAACUUGCUCUCCCAUCACAUUGAUUUAAUACAUAGCUCAAGCUCUCAUGUUCAUACCAAAAACAUGUGUGCAAAAAUAAAUACAAAAUAUUAUUAAAAAAAAAAUAAUUGGGGUGCCACCAUAAGUAAUUUAUGGAAAUGGGUCUUUUUUUUUUUUUUUUUUUAUCACGAGAAAAAAAAAUCAAAAAAACACAACACCCUUUUAAUACUUAGAUAACAAAUCAUCACAUUUAUUAAUUUUCCUAAUUACAUUAGGAAUUAUUAGAAAGGAUUUAAGAUAACCUUUUUUUUUUCUAAAAAUUAAACAUUCUAUUAAAAUUUAUAGAAUAAUUCUCAAAUUAGCAAUGAUAGUUGUUUUUGAAUACUCGUUAAUUUUUUAUAGAAAUAUUUUUAAUUUUAAUGUCAUAAAUGUGUUUACCAUAGUUAGAAUUCUUUUAACAAUAAUUUUAGAAAAUAUUUUUAAAAAUAUAAAAAAUCACUUAUAAUAUUUUUUGAAGAAACAUUUGAUAAGUAGGGUGGAAUGGGCGGGUAUGAAAAUUUCCCCCCACUCUAUCUUACCUCAUCUCAUUUAAUUUUUUUUAAUGGAACGAUGAUGAUAAAUUUUUUGAAUAAACAGGACGGAAUUGAGAUAUGAUCGACUUGUCCCAAACCUAUCUCAAUGUCAUUCCUACUCUAUAAUAAAUCAUCAAUACUUUUAGAGUUUGUUUCUCAUAACAUAAAAAUAUCUUAUGUCAAAUUAUAAAAAAAAAACAUUAUUAUAAUAUUUGCAUUUUUAUUCGAAGUAAAAACGAUAAUUUUUAAAUUAGUGAACAUGUUAUUUGUUUUUCUUUUUUAUCAAAUUAAAUUAUAUAAAAUUCAUGAAAGAAACACGUGUAAUGAUCAAUCCAUUGCAUGAUAUGAUAAGGCAAAUUACUUUCAUUUUGUAAUCAUAAAAUGCAUGUGAAGAUCACCUAUCUUAAUCAUUUAAUUUUAACCAUUUAGAAUCAAACAUUUCAUAAGUGAGAGCCUCGAGUAUACAAAUAUUUCUCAAUGUGUUAAUAGUGUAUAGAAAAAAAAUUGGUGUCAAAAUUCAAACAUAAUCAUCUUCACUUAGUACUUAUGCCAGCCCCCAAAACAACAGUUGGAACCCUUAAAAAAUAAAAUAAAAAUAUUAAAAAAAGAAAAAAGAAAAAAGAAAAAAAGAAAGUAAGCUUUGAAAUCCAUCUUAUCUUCUUCAUCAAUCCAUGAAGUGAAAAAACUCAUCAAAAGAUCAAAUGGUUGGUAUCUAAUCAUCCACUUUCAACCCCAUUUUUCUGACAUGGAGGCCAAUUUCAAAAUUGGUGGGGGUCCCCUUUUUACCCAACACCACCCUCUUGCAAAACCAUGUUACAAAUUUUGAGGGUAUUUUCGUCAAUUAAUAAUUAUUUUGCGAUUAAAUUAAUUGUGAAUAAUUUACAAAAUUGAAGAGAAUUUUACUUUAAUUUGAAGCAAUAGAAGCAGGAUGGGCAUUUUCUUGGCAGAAACUUUUAGGUAUUUUGAUUUUUAUUAUUUAAAUGGUUGGGGUUUUGCCAACGUAGACAGCUUUCUGGUUUUUGAAAUUCUAUACUCAGACGUAAAGUCAGUACACUGGCAGGUGUAAGUCAACCCUCCUAAACCCACCGGCUAUUUCCGGUUACGACAAACCCCGUUACUGGAUUUCGAAUCGACGAGCCGGAGGUGGGGACGUAAGGGUUACAGUGCUGUUAUUUAAGUUUGUGCCCAGGACAAACUCGUGAGGUGCCACGUGUGUUAUGGAUUGCGUUCAUGGGUUAAUGGGGCUGGGGUUUUGUGAAAGUCUCUCUCACCAUGCUGUCGCGGAAUCAUCGCAGUAUAAAGAUCAUCUCUUGCACAUAAACGGAAUUCCAAGCGCACGCUUAAAUUUAGCGCGUGCUUUGAACCUUUGGUUGGAACUUGGAAGUGGCGGCAGUGCCUUUGUCAGGUGGUUUUGAGAGAACCGACUUACUCGCAUUGGAUUUCAAUUUUGAAUUGCAGAGCCUGAACGUGCAAUCACGCGUCAAAACACGAGAGUAGGGACGGUUACUCUCCUAACACCGAAGCGGGAUAACAGUGUGAAAGCAAGGUGUUCGUCUCACUUAAGAAAUCACCGUUCAUUGUCUUCAAAAGCGGGAAUAAGUCAAAUCAGGGAGAAUCCAACGGCUCAGAGGCGAUGGCGUACGUACUCGUGAGCUUAUAAGAAUAAAUACUAUAUAUAUAUAUAAAUAUAUAUGCAUAUAAAAAAAACUGAAAAACCAAAACCAGAGAACAAUAGCUUGUUUGGAAACUGAUCUCUGUCUAUUUGAAACUCUCCCGUCUCGAAACGACGAGAAUCGAUUCAAUCGCAUAGGUGCAAACGCUCAUUCUUUUUAAGUUCUCAUGUAUUUGGCGAGAAACGACGCCGUAUAACUCUGCCGGAAACAUUCUCGGCGGAUCACCAUGUCUUCAGGCUUUCCCGGCGGUGCACCGGACUUCUACGCCUCCGGUGGAAUCGGUGGAAGAUCCGUCGCCAUGAACAACAACCCUCAUGUUCCGUACAGGUCUCAGAUGCCCGGAAUUCUCGUCGACCCAUCUUCUCAGAUCGUUCAACGCCGGCCUGAUUGGAUCGGAAAACGGUCGCUGGCGGAGUUUCAGGCCCAGCAUCAGCAACAGCAACAGCAACAGCAACAGCAGCAACCAGGUUUAGGGCUUCUUCUCCGGUCCGUGAAGCCGAGGAUGUACCAGCAUGCUUCUCCAAUAUCUCCUCUUUCACCGGUGGACUAUUCAGCCUCCAUCUCGCCGGAGUUUCCGUCGGUUUCAGCGGGAAGGUAUGGAUUGCCUCUUCUUCAACAGCUACGACCGCAACCCAUCGCGCUUGGUAACAACGUGAUGGCUCCUCGGACCGCUAAUUUAUCGACUGUGACAUACCCAAAUUUCCCUCACAAUAGAGGUGCGUUACAAGAAUCAGAGCCGGAAUCAGAGAAGAAGAUUAUGAAUCGGCUCCAGGAACUCGAGAAACAGCUGUUAGACGACGACGACGUCGACCAAGAGGGCGAUGCUGUGUCUGUCGUCACGCACAGCGAGUGGUCGGAAGCCAUACAGAGCCUCAUCAUCCCAAAUCAAAAGCCCAUUUCGCCAUCAUCUUCGUCUUCUUCAACGUCAUCGAUCGCUUCUGCGGUACCCAUCUGCCCCAAGCAAUCGGCCCACGAAGCCGCAUCUGCCAUAUCCGAAGGCAUGUUGGACGCAGCGAUGGAGUCCCUCACGCGCCUGACCCUGGUCGCCAACGCUCGAGGUAAUUCAGAGCAACGUUUAGCGGCGUACAUGGCGUCGGCGCUCAAAUCCCGAUUGAGCGCAGCCGAGAAUCCGCCUCCAGUGGCGGAGCUCUACAGCAAGGACCAUAUAAUGGCAACCCAAAUGCUGUACGAUAUGUCUCCGUGCUUCAAGCUGGGGUUCAUGGCGGCAAACCUUGCAAUUCUUGAAACGACGUCGUCGGAGCAGAGCGCCGCCAAGUUUCACGUUCUCGAUUUCGACAUCGGCCAAGGAGGCCAAUACGUAAACUUGGUCCACGCCCUCGGUGCGCGUCAAAACGGGAAGCACACUUCCUUGAAAAUCACCACCAUCGCAGAUCCCAGCAAUGGUGGCACCGACGAGAGGUUGAAAGUGGGCGAAGAUCUGAGUCAACUCGCGGAACGGCUUUGCAUCAGCUUGAAAUUCAAGGUCGUGACUCAUAAAAUCCAUGAACUGAGUCGCGAGUCACUGGGCUGCGAGUCCGAUGAGGUCCUGGUGGUGAAUUUAGCGUUCAAGCUCUACAAAAUGCCGGACGAGAGCGUGACGACGGAGAACCCUCGUGACGAGCUUCUCCGGCGGGUGAAGUCUUUGCAGCCGCGGGUGGUGACUGUGGUGGAGCAAGAGAUGAAUGCAAAUACUGCGCCUUUUUUGACCAGGGUGAACGAGGCCUGCGCAUACUAUGGUGCUUUGCUCGACUCGCUAGACUCGACCGUGUCAAGAGACAGAUCGGAAAGAGUCCAAGUCGAGGAGUGUCUGGGUCGCAAACUGGCAAACUCGGUUGCGUGCGAAGGGAGGGACCGCGUGGAAAGAUGCGAGGUGUUUGGGAAGUGGCGGGCCCGGAUGGGCAUGGCCGGGUUCGAGCCCAGGCCCAUGAGUCAACACAUUGCCGACUCAAUGAGAUCCCGCGUCAACUCACACCAGCGCGGUAACCCAGGAUUCACCGUCAAAGAAGAAACCGGUGGGAUCUGCUUUGGAUGGAACGGACGAACUCUCACCGUCGCAUCUGCUUGGCGUUAACUUCACUCUCUCUCUCUCUCAAAUUAUCAUUAUUAUUAAUAUUAUCAAUAUUAAUUGUUAUAUUUUUAACGUUUUCUCGAGAAAAAAAAAAUGAAGGGUAAAGAAAGAAAGACCCACCAACAAAAAAAUAAACGGGGGUUGUUUGGAUGGAAGGAAAAUUCGAGCAUAGUGCAUUUAUUGAUAUUUGGUGGAAGGGUUGGGGGGGUGUUUGGUAAUGGCUGACUUGUAAUGGAUGGGGCCUCACAUUAGUGGCAAAGAAGGGGCUCCACUUAUAGAUUAUUUUUUGUUUCUUUUUUGAGUUUUAGUUGAACUUAUUUAGGUAAUUUUAGUUAUGCGUGAGCCUCGUGUCAACUUCUCAUUGGUUACAUCACACUUUUCCUUUUCUCCUUCUUCUCUCUCACCCAUUUUUAUUUUACAAAUUACAACAAGGAGUGUAUGGGAUUUCACGUGCGCAUGCUGAGAAAUUCAGAAAUCAAGAUGUUAAAUUCGUUGCCAAACAUGCUCGUUUCGUUGUUGUUUGUGUGGGGCAUAGUGAGUUCUGUGCCCCCAAUAGGUGGUGACGUGGGCGUGCUGAUGUAGCAAGCAAUGACCCCAAAAUUAUGGAAUGUUGUGUGCUUUGGGCCACCCUGCCAUCUUUAUCUCCAUUCAAACUGGCCCAUUUCACUGUACUUCCCCAACUGAUUCAGACCAUCGAAGUUUAUAUGCCCGGCUCUUUCUUUACUGUGGAUUGGUUGAAACUUAAAGCUAGAUUGUGUUUGUUGUCUCAUUAUAUUCAAAAAAAAAAAAAAAAAAAAAAACUAUGGAUUUAUUUUCCUUUCAAAGCAUUGGCUUUAUUUAUAUUCAAUUUUUUUUUUUGGUAUACUAACAAAAAUACUAAGACUUUGUUUGAUUUGUGAAAGAAAAAAAAUAAAAAAUAGAUUCAAAACUAAUAAAUUAUUUUAUAUCUCUUCAAUUUAUUUCACUUAUUUUCCUCCAUUUUAUAAAUAUUAAAUAAUUUUAAAAUAUAUAAUUUUUAGUUAAUUUUAAUUAUAUACUAUGAAACCAAAUACAAGAAAAUAAUUUAUCUUUAACUCUUUUUUUUUACUUGUCAAAACCAAACAUAGCCCAAGGGUUAUAUUAUCUUCAUGAUAUCUUAUGUUUGGUUUCCCAAGGGAAAUACAAGGAAAAUAAAAUAAAAAUAAAAAAUAGAUUUAAAAUUGAUAAAUUAUUCUUAUUUACCAUUUCAAACUCAUUUCACUUGUUAGCUCAUUGAUGCAAAAAUUAAAUAAUUUGAAAUUAUGUAUGUUUUUAAUUUGUUUUAAUUAUAAUUGAUUUUUUAUAUUUUUUAUAGGUCAAUUAAAAAUGAGAAUUUUUUUUUUAAUUUUCUUAGUAUUUUGAAAUCAUGAAUUUCACAUAAAAUCCAAUUUGGCACAAAUUAUAAUAAUUUUAGAAUUUCUAUAAAAUGGGAAAUAUUAAUGAAAAUGGUCAUUAAUGAUAGUAAUGAUGGAAAAUAAAGAGAGUACAGAUGUUAUGGAUUUUAUGUUUUAAUCACAAAUAAAUGCAUAAUAAAAGGGGGAAGAGAUGGGAAGGAGUUACGAUUAUGAUGAUGUUAUGGUAGAGAGUUAUUGAUGCGUGACCAAACAAAAAUAAAUUGAAGCAAAUACUCAUAAAAAUCUUGGAUAUCAGUGGAAGAUUUAACAUAAAUGAUAUUGAUACCCAAAUUUAUUGAUAUUCAACAACAUGCCCAUGAGAGAACGGGAGAGUUAAUUCUAAUUAAAUAUGCAUGAUAAAUGUCGGGAUAAUUUAGGAUUUUUAAAUUUAAAAAAAAAAAAAAAAACUACACUAAAUUUUCAGGAACAUUCUCAUAUUUUUAUCUUUCAUUGCAAUUCUAUGUAUUAAAUCUUGAUUGACUAAGAGGGUAAUUAUUCAUAAUAGAAAAAUAUUCUAAUAAUUUCUUUUUUUUUUUUAAGGAUAAUAUGCGUAUAGACUUUUUUUUUUUUUUAAAUAUCCUUAAUGUCUUUCUAUUUUUGGUCAUAUUUAUUAAUCAAUUCAUUGCAAUUUUUUUUGUUACUAUAAUAGUAAUAUUGAUUUUAAUUUUUAAUUGGUAAGUGUUUUAUUGUAUUGAUUUAAUUUACAUUUUUGUUUUUAUAUGAAUUUUGACUUAUUUAAUUUGUAACCUUUCCCAUCCAAUUUCCUUUUAUUUCAUUUUAUUAUAAGAAAUAUUUUCCAUUUUUUAAUAACUUGGAAAAUGUUCCUUGUAUUUUUUUUUCUUAUUAUAAUUAUAUUGCCAAAUAUUUUAUUUUAUUGCUUUAAUUUCCUUUGAAUAUAAUAAUUCUUGCUUGUCAUUUUAAUUAGUGAUUGUAGUUUGUAAGGAAGUUACCUUAUUUUUAAGCUAUUUUUAUAUUUUAUGAUUUUUAUUUAUUUUUAAUUAAUUUCAACUAUUCCUUUCAAUUCAGGGCCUUCCAUGUUACCUUGAACCUUUGUUCCAAGGUUCAAGCCCUCUUCUUCCACGCUUUGAAUUUUAUUUCAAUAAGCUACAAUUCAUCCCACAUCGAAACUUCAUGGGGAUGAAAAGAGGUUAUAAACCUCAGUCAACCUGAAUAGGGCAUGAGGAUUUUGGGCCGUAGAGGCAAUGCUGUUAGUGGGCUCUAUCUAGUAAAAAGGUAAGGGGCCCAUUAUGACAGCAAUGGAAAACAACGUGAACCAGAUGUUUAGGGCCUGUUUGGUUGCUGUUUUUGAAAACUGUUCUGGAAAAUAAUUUUUGAGAACAGUUUUUGGUGUUUUUAAAAAAAAAAUUAUGUUUGGAAACUGAAUUUUAAAAAACAGUUUUUGUUCUCAAAAACAAAAAAACAUGUUUGGUUGAGUUAAUAAAAAAAAAAUUUAGAACAAAUAAAACAAAAGACACGUUUGAAAGAUGUUUUUUUUUUCUUUUCUAAUUAAUAAAAUAUUUUCUUCAAGUAAUUUUAUAUUAUAAAUUUAUAAAUAAUUUUUAGAUAUAUAGUUCAUUUAAAUUAAAAAAAUUAUUUAUUUUAUUAAUUUUAAAAUAAAAAUAUUUUUUAUAUUUUUUUAAAAUAAAUCAAACAUAAUAAAAUUAUUUUUAUUAAUAUUUUUUUUAUUUAAUCUUUAACUUUAUUAAAAAUGAUAGCAUAUUCUAUUAAAUUGAGAUAAAAUUGUUCUCGUAUUUGUUAAUUUUUUUUUUAUCUCUACUAAAACCAAAAAUUAAAAAUGUCAUCCACUUCUCUCUCUCUCAGGCAUCAAGAAGCCCUUUUCUGAAGUUGCCCUCCAUCGGGCAUCAAGAAGCCCCUUUCUGAAGUUGCCCUCCAGCCGAGAGAAUCCCUAAAAGGCCCUAUUUUCCUCUGCCACUCUCAAUCCUCGCAGGUACUAAUCUAAUCAUGUUAUUAUUAUUAUUUUUUUUUUGCAACCCCCGUUUGAUUCCCAAGAAAAUCCAUCCCCCAUUCGAUUUCCGGGAAAAUUCAUCCUCGUUUGAUUUCCGAGAAAAUCCAAGCAAAAACCCCAAGGAAAACAAAAAAAAAUGGAUUUUCUUUUGCUCCCUGUGUUUUCUGGAUCCGUUUUAGGGGUCUCUUUGCUAUUGUGCCAUUGGAUUUAAAUUUCAUGAACCUUGAAUCAAGACUGAGACUGUGCUGGAGAAGAGAUGAGAACGGGAAGAAAUAAAAAAAACACGGAGAACAGAUGGUUUUUUUUUGUUUAAUUUUGUCUUGUAAACAGUAAAAAAACGGGGAAAACAACAUUUUGUUGUUCUCUAACAGUGUCAUUUUGAGAACACGGGAAACAACAAAAACAAAAACGACCCUCUCAACCAAACGAGUUUUUUGUGUUUUUUGUUUUCAAGAACAGAAAAC